rnacentral:lncRNA from 1 species
GACUAUGAGCUUAAACCUGGAGGACGAAACAUACGAGUAACAGAAGAAACAAAACAUGAAUAUGUUGACCUUGUAGCCGGCCACAUACUUACCAAUGCUAUUCGGCCUCAAAUCAACGCCUUCCUCGAGGGCUUUAAUGAGUUGAUACCUCGUGAGCUCGUAUCCAUUUUCAACGACAAAGAGCUCGAGCUCCUAAUCAGUGGAUUGCCUGAGAUUGAUUGUAAGUUGGAUCCUGUUGUUCAAUAUUGUUGCAUGUAUUUGCUUAUGCAUCAGGUUAUUUUAACAGUCUCAUGUUAUUUCGUUGUUUAGUUGAUGAUCUUAAAGCCAAUACCGAGUAUACCAGCUACACGGCAGGAUCUCCUGUUAUUCAUUGGUUCUGGGAGGUCGUUAAAGCUUUUAGCAAAGAAGACAUGGCUAGAUUUCUUCAAUUUGUCACCGGAACAUCAAAGGUAAACCAAAUAGUAGCACCGCUUCCGUCCAAGUCACUUGAAAUGCAUUUCCUGAUAUAUCCGUAUUUGGCUUCUUUCUGCUGGUGGAUGAUCUCGAUCUCCUCCUGCCUCGCUCUUGUGUAACGAUAGAUAAUCGCAAAAGAGGGAAAUCAUCUUUUGUUUUACGAAGUGAUUGGGUCUGUUUUUUUUUACAGGUUCCUUUGGAAGGUUUCAAGGCUCUGCAAGGUAUAUCUGGCCCUCAAAGAUUACAAAUCCACAAAGCGUAUGGAGCUCCGGAGCGGCUGCCAUCAGCCCAUACAUGGUUCGAAAUCAAUACAAAGCCUUUCCUUAAUACAAAACGGUUCAAUCUCGCCUUGAUUCUCAUUGGUUACGUCUGUUUUGUUCUGUUGCAGUUUCAACCAACUAGACCUCCCUGAGUAUCCAUCCAAGGAACAGCUUCAGGAACGCCUGCUACUUGCCAUUCACGAAGCCAGUGAAGGUUUCGGGUUUGCUUGAGCUACGCUUCUCGAAACCGUCACACCUUCAGAACCAGUGAAAACCCCCUUCAAUCCUUCAUUCUUUCGGCUCCCCUGUACAUGUAAGUAAGCUUCCAUACUUGUUUGAUACCCAAAGAAAAAAAGAUUGACCAUAAAGUGCUGGUUUGUUUGCCACACAAAUCUCAAGUUUUCAUUGGUUCCGUGGCAGAGACCGAAGAUUUUCUGGCAGGAUAAGGAGAAGAGCUUUCGAGAAAGUCUGCAGAAUGAAUACAAAACUCAAGAGGCUAUUUUUAUAUGUCCAUAUAUGUUAGUAUUAGACCAUUAGGGUUUAUGUUUCUCUUUAGAUUUUGUAAAGCAAAAAUCUUUGAAAUAAUUGCUGGCCUUUCUUUUGAGUUUGAAUACACCGGCUCUCUCUUUCCAUUACAUAAACGCGAUACAAGUGCAGGCGGAUAAAGCUAAGACAACUGAUUUAACUGUCACGGUCACUGGCAUUUUCCCUUUGUCGUUCCUCAACAACAUGCCUUGAUACAGAGGCCAGUUUAGUACCACAAGUACUCCUGUUAUCACAAUCUGCAUGCCCAUUGUCUGAAAAUGUUCACCGUCUCUUGAAGUGAUCAGUCUCAUAGCCGCUGCAGCGAAGCAGAAGAGAUUGAGCAUCCCGAGUGUUCCGAGGAGGAGAAACAUCGGAGACUCCACUCCAAACUCCAUUACCUCUUUCUCGUAUCUCUCUGCUGCUUCUUCCUCUGCUACUUUCGCCGUGAUUACAAAUGCAGACUCCGAAGCCCCAAGUUUCUUCAGAAUCGUGUCCGUGAAUCCGAAUACAAACGAGCUUGUUCUUCUAUAAAGCCACAUCCUUUGCUCGUUCCACCAUCCACGGAACGUUCCUCCGCACCACAAGAACUCGGCUAGGCUAUAGGAAUUAACUGCGACAGUCACGUAUCCAAAUGGGAAAAACCACGAGCUUGAGACCUGGAUUCAAAGACCAGAUCAGUUUUACCUGAAUGAGAUUCCGGGUUUAUGACAAACACAUAAAGAAACAGAGGGAAAGCCCUUUCUUUACCUUUGGAAACAGAGGAAUGCCUUUGAGUAGACAGAGAGAGGUCAAAACAGAGUAAACAAGCACAGGUACUGAACUUGGUGCCCAAAGGCAAAAGCAACAGUAACCAAGUAUCAGUCCCAAACCAAUCUUUCCGUGGCCAUACCAAACCGGACUAUACUCUGAAAGCAGAACCUGAAAGUCUCCCUCUGACUCUGCUGCACAAGCAUUUGAUGCAAAUUUGUCGGCGCUACCCCGACAAAAAGCUUUCUUUUUUGGGUUCAGGUACGCUAAUUUCCAUCCAUGGCAUUGAAUCGCUAAACCGGUUAUUACAUCUUCUACCGGGCAUAACCAUAUUUUACACCCAUCUGCAAUGGAAACAACCAUGGUUUACUUGGUUUUCAAUGAAUGAGACACUGGUUUAAUUCCGGUCCAUAUAUAAAUUUUCCAUACGACGAAAAAAAAUAUAAUAAUACAUAUGUUUUUGAGCAUUUUGUCCAUCCAUAUAUUAAAUCAUCAUUUACAACAUACCAAUAUAUUCUUUUUCAAUGUGCCAAUACACAAAAUCCUCAAAAAUCAACAAAACAAAAAAUAUUGAUUUAAUAACGUGAUACAUAGCUUACCAUCAACGAUGUUCUAUACACCAAAAUAAACUUUAUAUACAUAAAAAUAGAAAUUCUAUACACAAAAUAUUCUUAAUUUGUUUCUUGAAGAACUAACAAUGCUUAUAAUUCAACUCAAUUCAAUAUCUAGAUCUAUAUUUUAAGAUUUAACAAUUUAAAAAUCACCAAACGCAUAACAAAGGUUCCAUAGUUAAAGAUGCAAUUUAGAGAUGUUUCGUUCUUUUCAAGCUUCAUUCUUGGGUGAAAGGGUUAACAUGUUUGUCGACGGGAGGAAUCAGGAGAAAACGAGUGAGGCCGUAAACGAGCUAGGCUAGGGAUUAUAAGAAGAGGAGGAAGAUGAAGUAGAUGAUAGAUUUUCACGGGAGGAAGAUUAAUGAAUUUAAUGAAUAAGAAGAAAAUAGUUCGAAAGUGAAGCCUCAUAUAUACAAAAGGAAUUGGCUUGAUCGGGACCUUGGGUUUAGGGGAGGAAGGAUCUGCUAGACAAAUUGAUUAUAUAGUGUGAGAAAACUUGACAAAAUGCAAUGGAACGGCCAGAUGCUAAGCAGCCGUGGCAAGAAAAGAGAACAACUGAUCGGAUAAAACUAACGACGCUUAUACCAAAUUCGUUUACGUCUUCGUUAUUUUCUCUUCCUUAACAAUUAAGAUCCGAGAAAACGGUGGAGGUGGUGACAAUCCAAUUUUAUUAUCAUAGGAUCCAAUUGAGUUUUGUUGGAACCUUGCACCGCCAUGGUAAUUUACACCGUAUCUGUGUAAGGGAAAAAUAAAUAGAACAAAAGAGAUAAAAGAGAAGAGUGGUUUACACUCAACGACACUUUUUCUACUUAUUUUUACAAAAUGGCACUUCUAACUAUUAUAGUAUUUUUUUUUUUUUUACACCAAAAUAAUCCAAAAUUGCUUUUCGUGUUGACGAUAAAGGUGAAGGCGAACUUGUGGAUACCGGAUUACGUCCAGAUUUUAAAAAUAAUAAUUAUUUUUUUUCAUCUCUUUUAUUUUGUAUUUUUCUGUAUUAUGAAAAAUAGAAAAUAAUUUUUUUUGUUAAAAUGAAUUAUAAUUUUAUUUUCUCAUAUUUUUUUUAAAAUAUACUAUAGUUUGUUUAUAUUUUUUUAAAAGCAUUUAUAAAAAAUUCAAAAAAAAAUUACAAGUAUAGUUAGAUAUUCAUUCACAAAAUACGAUGUGGAUGAUUCAUGAUGGGUAUAUAACAUGGACAUACUAGCGUGAAUUAGUUUUAAUUGAUAUAUUCGACGUGAAUAUAUAGUUUACAUUAUCUACAAUGUAGACAUGAUUGCGUGGAUAUGUUUUCAUUAAUAUAUUCAACAUGUAUAUACAUUUUACAUUGUCCAUAACCUAUCCACAUGGUCAUGUCCACGUUAUGGACAAUGUAAAGUGUAUAUCCAUACGAAUAUAUAAAUGAAAACAUAUCUAUACAACCAUGUCCAUAUUGUGGAUAAUGUAAAAUGUAUAUUUACGUCGAAUAUAUCAAUUAAUACUAAUCUACGCCAUCAUGUCCAUGUUAUAUAUAUGUCCAUCAUGCAUCAUUCACUUGUGAUUUCUUUUGAUUUUUUUUUUGUAAAUGUUUUUUGAAAAGUUUUUUGUUUGAUAAAUAAACUAUAGUAUAAUAGGUCUUAAAACAAUGGAAAAUAAAAUUAUAAUUUAUUCUAACAAAAAAUUGUUUUCUAUCUUUCACAAUAUAGGAAAAUACAAAAAAGAUGGGAAAAUAAUUUGGUAUUCAUGAGUUCAAUUCUACCGUUAUCGUGAACACGAGAGGCAAUUUCAGACUAUUUGGGUAUGAAAAUUAAAAAUAAGAAAAGUACCCUACUAGCUAGAAGUGUCUUAUAUUGUAAUAUGUAUUUGAAAAAGUGCCUUUUAUAUGUAAUUGUCUCAAAAGAGAAGGAGGGUAUAUAUGUGAUUAAAGUUAAAUUGAUAUUAAUACAUAAUUUAGAGAGAAAUUGGUUACAGAUUAUUUUUUGUUUAGUUUAUUAAUUAUAAUUUGUUUGAUGGAUAUUGGAUGCAAUUUCUCUUAAAACAAAAAAAAUUACACAAAAAUAACUAUUCAAAUAAAUAAAAGCCAAAAAAUUUAUUGAAAAUGGAAAACUACAUUUUUGUUUAGAAUAUGGAAAUUUUAUUAUAUAAAAUAGAAUGUUUCAAAAUUGCUGAUUUAUCUCGCCGUGAUACAUCAAGUUAAAGUUGGAAAAAUGAAAUUAAUUAAUAAAAAAUUAAAACUUUCAAAAAUUUAAUAAUUGAUUUUAUAUUCUUAAAAAACAAAGUUACUAAAAAAUAAAAAUAUAAUAUAAAGAAGAAAGCAAUAACAUAUAUAGUCUUAAGCUUAGAUUAAUACUAAAAGGAAAAGAUUUUUAAUUUACCACUUCUAUAUAAACAACAAUUUGAUAUGUCAGUUACACACUAAAAAAAUAAAAACCAAUAAGCAUAUUCAAAACUACCAACUGUAUUUUUUCUACUAAAUUUUCUUUCAUUUUAUAUAUUUAUCUUAUUAGAAUUUUUUUUUUUAAAUAUAAAUAAUAUUAUAUAUUUUUCUGGAUGAUCUAAUUUUUUUUUUCAACAACCCAACUAAUACAUCACAUUUGGUCCGUUAAGGGAUAGGUCUGAAAACCGUCCUCAGCUGGUUCAGUAUGAAUGAUUUGGGAAAAAAUACUGCUUCUUGCUCGCGUUCUUUUUGCAAGACUAUCCGCUCGGGCGUUUUAACUUCUGGAGAUAUAGGAGAGAGUGAAAUCCAAGAAGUUUUCCCGAAGUAUGCGGAAGGCUUCCAACUCUGAUAAGAAAGAUGGUCAAUCCAAUGGAGAUUCAGACAUGUUUACCAGAUCCGAGCAAUCGGUCUGAAAGUGUACGGAUAAAAUUUGUCUAUCUUUUACGUAAGACAUAGCCCAUAAAAGGCUCUACAAUUCGGCAUGAAGAACCGAUAGGCUUCUACGACAGCCCUGAAGGCCAAAAGUCUCACCACCCCUGCCAUCCUUCAGACUCCACCGAACCCGCUAACCAGGCUGUUGCCUAUCCAAGAUGCAUCAACCUGGCAGAUCGGGAUCCUCUGGGCCUCGGGUAGAGAGUUCAGGAGCAAGGGGGUGAUCAGCAAAGUCCCGUCUGAUCCGUCCUCUUCUUCUUCCGGUUUGAUUUGCAAACUUUUAACUUUUAGCUUCAACCUUAGUGUGGCUCAACGUAUCUACCAGGGAGAUUUUGUCAUUUCUCGCUUUCCAAAUAUACCACAAGAUCCAAAGAUAAAAAUCUUUUUGAGGAUCUGUCAUGCCUAUCUCUUUUGUUUUUCAAAAGAGAAAGCUCAUAUUUUGGUAAAUAAAGGUACUCGGGAAGAGAUCUGGAAGGGACGGAAAGUCCGAUAACGCCCAGACUUAUAAAGCCGGAAGAUAUAAAAACAAAAGAUGGUUAAUAGAUUCUUCAGGAUUCCCACAGCGGGGGCAACUCUUAUCCGUUCUCAUAUGUCUGUAGGUUAGGUUUUGGCAAGUAGCGAUACAUCUUGAUAAAGCUUGCCACAUGAAAUGCUUUAUUUUUCUAGGCGUCCGUACUUUCUAAACGUAGUUUUGAAGUGCUGUGAUAUUCAGUUCACUCACGACAUCCAAAUUCUGUUCAAGUUUUGUUUUCCUAAUCAGAUCAUAUCCAGAUUCAACCGUGUAUAUUCCUGAUUUAGUAUUGUUCCACGCAAAUCCAUCAAUGGUACGGUUCUUACUAGGUCUCAAUCCAGGGAUAAGAGAGACUUCCUUAGGUUGGAAAAAUUUUCUUAGAAGAGGCUCAUCCCAUUGCUUCGUAUCUUGACGGAUAAAAGAGUAAACUAACACUCUUGGAUCUUGAAGUCCAAUUAGAGGGGUUAUUUUUGGUGGGCGAGCUCUGAUGUCGGAGAUCCAACGCUCACUCCACGCUCUCGAUUUAAGAAAUAAUUUAUGAAAUUACUUGGUAUUUUAGUUUUUGUUUUCAUGAAUUAUAAAAUAAUAAAUUAAAAACCUGCAUAUUACGGAUACUUAAUCUAAUAUAUCAUAAAACAAUAGAUAUUAACAUAUAGUUUUUGUACGUCAAUCCUAAUGAUAAAAUAUAGUUACAGACCAUAUAGAAAAUCGAAACUCAAAUUAACAUUAGAAGAAGAAAAAAGGGUAUCAAAGAAAAAGGGAAAAAAAAAAAAAGCUAAACCGGCAUUGGAACGAUUUUCGCUUCUGUAUAUAACACAAAGCGCCUUAGCUUUUUAGAAUUCUUCUCCACUUCUCUCUCUCACCGUCUUUCUCUCUCUCUCUCUAUCAAAUCCCUCUAUACGCGAUCCUCUUCAAAACCCUAGUUUCGGAUCGCUCCAGGCUUGGAUUAUUUCCAAGAUCGUUAAUUCUUCUCCUCCUUCUUCUUCUUCUCGUUCGUCUGCGUCUGCGAUCGAUCGCCAUCCGUCCAAAUACUGGACCAGUUCACCGGUGGUAUUUUGAUUCGAUUUCACAAGUGAUUCUUCAGUUCUCGAUCGGUGUAUUGAUCAAUUCUCAAUCUUUGGUUUGCUUCGGGAGAUGCCCUGUCUCUAAUCAUGAAGCUCAGAAGGAGGAGGGCUUCGGAAGUGGUAAGUGUUCCAAAACCGUGUAAUUAAACCCUUGAUCAGUUUGGAUUACUAUCCGUGUCUGUGCAUUAUCGUGUAUUUGUGCUUUCUAGAUUACUCUUUUGUUUUCUGCUACUUGUUAUUGCUUUUUAACUGUCUUUGGCUUCCUUGGAACUAGCGCUUGCCCAAGAUGUAUUGUAUAUUUGCUCGGUUAUUUAUAUGAUCUUCAGUCCUUGAUUGAUUGAUUCCUUUGAUUGUUAUUAUGGGGUUUGAGUUCUUAAACCAAACCUUGGAAGCGGUGGCAAUGGUUUUUUGUUUUUGUUUUAAUGGAGUGUAUGUUAACCUUAGUUACUUUUCCAUAAAAUGUUUCUCUGUAUUUUCCUUCUCCUUUUUUCCUGAAUGUGUGCGAUUCUAUUCUAUCUGAUGUUGUAUUUAUAGGCUGUGUUAACCUUUCUUUGAUUCAUUUCCACCAGCCUCCCAAAAUCAAAGCUUUCAUCAAUAGUGUCACUGCUGUUCCACUCGAGCAAAUACAAGAACCCCUUGCAUGUUUUCGCUGGGAAUUCGACAAGGUACCUUAUAUCCAGUUUGUGAUGCUCUUCUUCUUUUUUUUUUUUAAUUCUGUCAACUCUCGUUUUGAUCUAUGGCUGUUUUUCCUUUAUAUAGGGUGAUUUCCAUCACUGGGUGGACCUCUUUAAUCAUUUUGACUCAUAUUUUGAGAAGCACGUAAAAGGAAGGAAAGAUCUGCAUAUUGAGGAAAACUUCGAGGAAGCUGGUCCUUCUUUCCCAAAGGAUGCUGUUCUUCAAGUUCUCCGAGUUAUCAGAGUUGUCUUAGAGAAUUGCACGAACAAACAUUUUUAUAGUUCUUAUGAGGUAAAUCCAUGCCACAAUGCCCCUAAAUGUCAUUUGAUAUUUGCAUGGUUUCUUUCUUACUGGUGUCACAGUAUACAAGUCGGUGAUAUUGUUUAUUAACUCAUAUUCUGUAUUGGAUUUCUGGUUGUUCCUCGAGAUAUGUCGUUUUGUAUGCUAAUUCUUGAUAUGUCUACCUGACUAUUUCUCACACUCUUGUUCCUUCAUAACUGCAGCAGCAUCUUUCUCUCCUGCUUGCAUCUACUGAUGCAGAUGUCGUUGAAGCCUGUCUGCAGACGUUGGCUGCCUUCUUGAAGAGGCAAGUUGGAAAAUACUCCAUACGAGAUGCUUCUCUGAAUUCAAAACUAUUUUCCCUUGCACAGGGGUGGGGUGGAAAAGAGGAAGGUCUUGGCUUGACAUCAUGUGCCACAGAAAACAGUUGUGACCAGGUUUCCCACCAGCUAGGCUGUACUCUUCAUUUUGAGUUCUAUGCUUCUAAUGAAUCAUCAAGUGAGCUUCCUGGCGGUUUACAAGUUAUCCAUGUUCCUGAUGUCAGCAUGCGUGCAGAGUCUGACCUGGAACUUUUGAACAAAUUAGUCACUAAACAUAAUGUUCCUCCCAGUUUAAGAUUCGCGUUGUUGACCAGAUUAAGAUUUGCGAGGGCGUUCUCAUCUUUGUCUACCCGGCAACAGUAUACAUGCAUUCGCUUAUAUGCUUUCAUUGUUUUGGUUCAAGCAAGUGGUGACACCGAGAAUGUUGUUUCUUUCUUCAAUGGAGAACCCGAGUUUGUAAAUGAGUUAGUUACGCUGGUAAGCUAUGAGGAUACUGUUCCAGGGAAAAUAAGGAUACUAUGCUUGCUUUCCUUGGUUGCACUAUCCCAAGAUCGAACUCGGCAGCCAAUUGUUUUAACUGCAGUCACCUCCGGCGGGCAUCGUGGUUUGUUGUCUGGCCAAAUGCAGAAAGCGAUUGAUUCUGUUAUCUGUAAUACUUCUAAGUGGUCCCUGGCUUUUGCGGAAGCCUUGUUAUCCCUUGUUACAGUCCUGGUUUCAUCAUCGUCUGGAUGUUCAGCCAUGCGAGAAGCUGGUCUUAUUCCGACCCUAGUGCCUCUCAUCAAAGAUACAGAUCCUCAGCACUUGCAUUUGGUCAGUACCGCUGUGCAUAUAUUAGAAGCCUUCAUGGAUUACAGCAAUCCAGCUGCUGCUUUGUUCAGAGAUUUGGGUGGCUUAGAUGAUACGAUCUUUCGGUUGAAACUGGAAGUCUCUCGUACUGAAGACGAUGUAAAAGAAAAAAAUUGCAGUUCAGAUAGUAAUGGGAGGGAUGCACUUGUUUUCGGUGGUUCUCUUAAUCAGCCUGAUACCGAACAGCUUCCCUAUUCUGAAGCAUUAAUUUCGUACCACAGGAGAUUGUUGUUAAAAGCCUUGUUACGUGCAAUAUCUCUUGGAACUUAUGCUCCUGGUAACACUAACCUCUAUGGUUCCGAGGAGAGCUUGCUGCCUGAAUGCUUAUGCAUUAUCUUCCGGAGAGCAAAAGAUUUCGGUGGUGGAGUAUUCUCUCUUGCUGCCACUGUCAUGAGUGACCUCAUUCAUAAAGAUCCCACUUGUUUCAAUGCUUUAGACUCGGCUGGUUUAACUUCUGCCUUUCUUGAUACUAUAUCUGAUGAGGUCAUCUGCUCUGCAGAAGCCAUAACAUGCAUUCCGCAGUGUCUGGAUGCUCUGUGCCUCAACAAUAGUGGUCUUCAAGCUGUAAAGGACCGAAAUGCAUUGAAGUGUUUUGUUAAAAUAUUCACUUCGUCGUCUUAUUUGCGGGCUCUUACUGGCGAUACACCUGGUACUUUGUCAAGUGGGCUUGAUGAACUCUUAAGACACCAAUCUUCGUUGCGCACUUAUGGAGUUGAUAUGUUCAUUGACAUCCUGAAUUCCUUGUUGAUUAUUGGAUCUGGGAUGCAGGCCACCACUUCUGACUCAGCAGAUGUGCCUACUGAUGCUGCUCCCGUUCCUAUGGAAAUUGACGCUGAUGAGAAGAGCUUAGUGGUUUCGGAUGAAGCGGAAUCAUCUUCUGAUACUUCUCCAGCAAACAUUGAGUUGUUUCUUCCAGAUUGUGUGGGUAAUGUUGCUCGUCUCUUCGAAACAGUUCUUCAGAAUGCAGAAGUAUGUUCCCUGUUUGUUGAGAAGAAAGGUAUCGAUGCUGUUUUGCAGCUAUUCUCUUUACCUCUUAUGCCUCUGUCAACCUCUCUUGGUCAAAGUUUUUCUGUCGCUUUUAAGAACUUCUCCCCUCAGCAGUCGGCUGGUCUAGCCCGGAUAGUGUGCUCCUACCUAAGAGAUCAUCUGAAGAGCACACAUGAGCUUUUGGCUUCCAUUAAAGGCACUCAGCUUCUUAAAUUAGAGUCUGCGGUCCAGAUGAAGAUUUUGAGAUCUCUUUCCUGUCUAGAAGGCAUGUUGUCCCUCUCCAACUUUUUGUUGAAAGGAACAGCUUCAGUUAUCUCGGAAUUGAGUGCUGCUGAUGCUGAUGUACUGAAAGAACUUGGUCUAACAUACAAGCAAGUGAUUUGGCAGAUGGCUUUGUGUAGUGAUACCAAGGAAGAUGAAAAAAAAAGUGCUGAUCGGCAGCAUGAUAAUUCAGUUUCAGCAUCAUCUAGUACCGUUGAAAGAGAGAGUGAUGAGGAUUCAAGCAAUGCUUCAGCAGUUAGAUACACAAACCCUUUAUCCAUUAGAAGCAGUAGCACUCAGUCCAUUUGGCGUGGUGAUCGUGAAUUUCUGUCUGUAGUGCGUUCUGGCGAAGGUAUUCAUGGUCGUACACGACAUGCAAUAGCCCGAAUGAGGGGUGGGAGGAGUCGUCGACACCUGGAGUCUUUUAAUUUUGAUUCCGAGAUUCCACCUGAUCUACCAGAAACGUCAUCUUCCCAUGAGUUGAAAAAGAAAAGCACUGAUGUUCUCAUUGUUGAAAUUUUAAACAAGCUGAAUUGUACACUACGUCUUUUUUUCACUGCCCUUGUGAAAGGAUUCACCUCUGCUAAUCGUCGCAGAAUUGAUGGAGCACCAUUGAGUUCAGCAUCUAAGACGCUUGGUACUGCCCUAGCUAAACUAUUUCUUGAAGCUCUUAACUUCGAGGGGUAUGGUGCUACUGAUGGCCAUGAUGUCUCUCUCUCAGUAAAAUGCCGGUACCUUGGAAAAGUUGUAGAUGACAUCACUUCCCUGACAUUUGAUACUAGAAGGAGGGUCUGUUUUACAGCUAUGGUGAAUAGUUUUUAUGUCCAUGGAACCUUUAAGGAACUUCUCACCACAUUUGAAGCUACAAGCCAGCUGCUUUGGACAUUGCCGUUUUCUAUCCCUGCAUCUGGUACUGAGAAUGAGAAGCCAGGUGAAAGGAACAUAUGGUCUCACAGUACGUGGCUGGUAGAUACUCUGCAAAACUAUUGCCGGGCGUUGGACUGUUUCGUUAACUCUACAUUUCUUUUAUCUCCAGCCCCCACAUCUCAAACGCAGCUUCUUGUCCAGCAAGCUUCAGUUGGUUUGUCGAUUGGACUUUAUCCUGUACCAAGGGAACCUGAGACUUUCGUGCGAAAUCUGCAGUCUCAGGUUCUGGAUGUCAUACUACCUAUAUGGAACCACCCUAUGUUUCCUGAUUGCAAUCCCAGUUUUGUGGCAUCAGUUACCUCCCUUGUUAGACAUAUAUACUCUGGUGUUGUGGAUGCUAGGCAAAAUCGAAGUGGUGUUACCCAGGGUACAAACCAAAGAGCCUUGCCUUUACAGCCUGACGAAGCCAUUGUUGGUAUGAUCGUUGAAAUGGGAUUUUCAAGGUCAAGGGCGGAAAACGCGUUACGAACAGUUGGAACAAACAGUGUUGAAAUGGCUAUGGAGUGGUUGGUUACAAAUCCUGAGGAACAUGUGCAGGAAGAUGACGAGCUUGCUCAAGCACUUGCACUCUCUCUUGGAAAUCCAUCUGAAACUCCAAAACCUGAUGAGACAGAAAAGGUUGUAGAUGUUCCGCCGGAAGAAGCUGAUCCAAAAGAACCAUCUGUUGAUGAAGUUAUUGCUGCAUCAGUGAAGUUAUUUCAAAGUGAUGAUUCUAUGGCUUUCCCUCUUAUGGAUUUGUUUGUGACACUCUGUAGCCGAAACAAAGGGGAAGAUCGGCCAAAAAUCGUGUCGUAUCUCAUUCAGCAACUGAAGCUAGUCCAACUUGAUUUCUCCAAGGAUACUGGUGCUUUGACUAUGAUACCACACAUUUUAGCGUUAGUUCUCUCAGAGGAUGAUAACACUCGAGAAAUUGCUGCACAGGAUGGUGUUGUGGUUGUAGCAAUUGAUAUCUUGACGGAUUUCAAGCUUAAGAGUGAAUCUGACAAUAAGAUUCUGGCUCCAAAAUGCAUUAGUGCUUUGCUUCUUAUAUUGAGCAUGAUGCUGCAGGCACGGACAAGAAUCUCGUCCGAGUUUGUGGAAGGAAAUCAAGGUGGAUCUUUGGAUUCACAAGACUCAGCAGCAGCUUUAAAGAAAGCGUUAUCCUCUGAUGUUGCUAAAGGGGAGUCAAACCUGGCUUUGGAAUCGAUUUUUGGUAAAUCUACAGGCUAUCUGACCAUGGAAGAAGGUCAAAAGGCUCUACUAAUCGCCUGUGGCCUCAUAAAACAGUGUGUUCCAGAAAUGAUCAUGCAGGCUGUUCUUCAGUUAUGUGCUCGUCUAACGAAAACUCAUGCUUUAGCUAUCCAGUUUCUGGAAAACGGAGGCUUAUCUUCACUAUUUAAUCUUCCGAAAAAAUGCUUUUUCCCUGGGUAUGAUACUGUUGCAUCUGUUAUUGUACGGCAUCUCAUUGAAGAUCCUCAGACUCUCCAAAUUGCUAUGGAAUCAGAAAUUCGACAGACCUUGAGUGGGAAGAGACAUAUAGGUAGGGUAUUACCUCGGGCAUUCCUGACAACAAUGGCACCUGUAAUUUCAAGAGAUCCGGUGGUUUUUAUGAAAGCUGUGGCUUCUACUUGUCAGCUUGAGUCAUCAGGAGGGAGGGAGUUUGUGAUACUGUCAAAGGAAAAAGAAAAGCCAAAAGUUUCAGACAGUGAACACGGAUUCUCUAUGAAUGAACCCCUUGGAAUAUCCGAGAAUAAGCUUCAUGAUGGGUCAGGAAAAUGUUCAAAAAGUCACAGAAGAGUCCCUGCUAACUUCAUCCAAGUUAUUGAUCAGCUUAUUGACACUGUCUUGAGUUUUUCUAGGGGGAAGAGGCAGGAAGAUGACGAGACCAAUCCAAUUUCGAUGGAGGUUGAUGAGCCAACAAUUAAAGUGAAGGGUAAAUCAAAAGUUGGUGAUCUGGAGAAAGCAGAACUUGGAUCUGAAAAAUCGGAAGAAUUGGCAAGGGUAACAUUUAUCUUGAAGUUGUUGAGUGAUAUUGUUCUCAUGUACUUGCAUGGUGCCAGUGUCAUACUGAGACGGGAUACAGAAAUAUCUCAUCUUCGGGGAUCAAACCUACCUGAUGAAUCACCUGGCAAUGGAGGGUUAAUUUACCAUGUCAUUCAUCGCUUACUUCCCAUAUCUCUUGAUAAGUUUGUUGGAACUGAAGAAUGGAAGGAGAAAUUGUCUGAAAAGGCUUCAUGGUUUCUGGUCGUUUUGUGCAGUCGUUCCAGUGAAGGGCGUAAAAGAAUUAUCAAUGAGCUUUCGAGGGUUUUAUCUGCGUUUGCUUCCUCGGGAAGCAGUUCUAGUCAAACUGUUCUAUUACCUGAUAAAAGAGUUCUUGCUUUUGCUAACCUUGUUUAUUCGAUCUUGACGAAGAAUUCAUCUUCCAGCAACUUACCUGGUAGUGGUUGUUCACCUGAUGUUGCAAAGAGCAUGAUAGAUGGGGGAACUAUCCAGUGUCUGACCGGCAUCCUUCAUGUGAUUGAUCUCGACCACCCUGAUGCUCCAAAGCUUGUCACUCUUAUCCUCAAGUCUCUCGAGACACUGACGAGGGCUGCAAAUGCUGCUGAGCAACUAAAAUCAGAAGGACCAAACGAGAAAAAGAGCACAGAUUCUAAUGAUAGACGUGACAGUCGAACUUCAACUGAUGCGGUUGUUGAUGAACUGAACCGAAAUAAUAGCAGUCUACAACGAGUAACAGACGUAGAGAAUGGACAGGAGCAGCCUCAAGUUUCCUCUCAAAGCGACAGAGAAAGGAGUCUGAGUCAAGCCCAGGCUAUGCCUCAGGAGAUGAGGAUAGAAGGCAAUGAGACAAUACUGCCUGAACCUAUUCAGAUGGAUUUCAUAGGAGAAGAGAUUGAAGGUGAUCAAAUCGAAAUGAGUUUCCAUGUUGAAAAUAGGGGCGACGAUGAAGGAGAUGAUGACAUGGAAGACGAAGGGGAGGACGAUGAAGGAGAUGAUGACAUGGGAGAUGACGGGGAGGACGAUGAAGGAGAUGAUGAGGAUGCCGAUUUAGCUGAGGAUGGAGCUGAUGUUAUGUCUCUUGCUGGAACCGAUGUGGAAGACCCUGAUGAUAAUGGCCUUGGAGAUGACUAUAAUGAUGACAUGAUUGACGAAGAAGAUGAGGAUGAUUUCCACGAGAAUCGUGUAAUAGAGGUGCGGUGGAGGGAAGCUCUUGAUGGGCUGGAUCAUUUUCAAAUUCUUGGGCAAUCUGGUGGUGGAAAUGGUUUUAUUGAUGAUAUUACAGCUGAGCCGUUCGAAGGAGUGAAUGUGGACGACCUAUUUGCUCUGCGGAGACCCUUGGGCUUUGAGCGUAGACGACAAACAGGCAGAUCUUCUUUUGAUAGAUCUGGUUCAGAAGUACAUGGUUUUCAGCACCCGCUCUUUUCCAGACCUUUGCAAACUGGCAAUACAGCCUCAGUUUCGGCAAGUGCUGGCAGUAUACCCAGGCAUUCAGAAGCUGGCAGCUACGAUGUAGCACAGUUUUACAUGUUUGAUACACCUGUUCUACCUUUUGAUCAAGUACCAGGUAAUCCUUUCAGUGAUCGCUUAGGAGGUGGUGGGGCACCUCCUCCUUUGACUGAUUAUUCUGUUGUGGGUAUGGAUUCAUUAAGAAGAGGGGUUGGUGAUAGUCGGUGGACUGACAUAGGUCAUCCUCAACCAAGUAGCCAAUCUGCUUCAAUUGCCCAGUUGAUAGAAGAACAUUUUAUUUCCAACCUGCGUGCUUCUGCCCCAGCAGAUACUGUCGUCGAAAGGGAAACUAAUAGCACAGAAGUCCAAGAGCAGCAACACCCGGAUGUUCAUCCAUCUUUCGGAAGCGAAACCGUUUUAGGGGAUGGUAACAACGGUGGUCAACAUAGUGAAGAGCGUGAAGUGUUGAAUAACAAUGAUAAUAACCUACCUGAUGUAACGGCUGGAAGUUUCUCUCAAGGUCAAGCUGCUGUAGCUUCUCCUGUCCUUCGAGAUGCAAGUGAAUGUCCACAACCGCAUGAAGUCAUACAGCCUCUUCCUUUAAACAGUACACCAAAUGAGAUUGACGGAAUGGAAGUUGGUGAAGGUGAUGGAGUACCUAGUGAGCUAGCAGACCUCCAAGCUAUGCAUCUUGUCUCCACUGCGCAGGGUCAACCUGAUACUUCCAGUAUUCAAAAUGUGUCUGUUACUGGGACGCCUCUUCCAGCAGAUGAUCCUGACUCUAAUUUUCAACCAAGUGUAGAUGUAGAUAUGAGUAGUGAUGGUGCAGAGGGAAAUCACAGUGUGGCACCUUCACUAUUGGCCCGUGACAACAAUGACCUCUCAUCCAUGGAAGCUACACAAGAUGCAAGGAAUGAUGAACAAGUUACUGAAGGUAGCUUGGACGGUGGGGCACCAGAAGCGAAUUCCAUUGAUCCUACAUUUUUGGAGGCACUCCCUGAAGAUUUGCGGGCAGAAGUCCUUGCUUCUCAGCAAGCUCAGUCCGUUCAGCCUCCAACUUAUGAACCACCUCCAGUAGACGACAUAGAUCCUGAAUUUUUGGCAGCUCUUCCCCCAGAUAUCCAAACAGAAGUUCUUGCUCAACAAAGGGCACACAGGUUGGUACAACAGUCCCAAGGACAGCCAGUUGACAUGGAUAACGCUUCAAUUAUUGCUACUCUACCUGCUGAUUUACGUGAAGAGGUUUGUAUCUCUACCUUUCUUUGAGCUAAGUUAAUUUGGAUUCGGAAAUGGUGAUAACAUUCUGAAAUAUGCUACUUUCAGGUUCUCUUAACUUCUUCAGAAGCAGUUUUGGCAGCUUUGCCUUCAUCUUUGAUUGCGGAAGCGCAGAUGCUCAGAGACCGAGCAAUGAGUCACUAUCAGGCUCGUAGUCUUUUUGGGAGUAGUCAUAGGCUGAAUAAUCGAAGGAAUGGUUUGGGCUACAAUAGGCUGACGGGGAUGGACAGGGGUGUUGGAGUCAGUAUUGGUCAGAGGGGUGUUUCAUCUUCUGCAGAUGGCUCGAAAAUGAAAGAGAUCGAAGGAGACCCUCUUGUUGAUGCUGAUGCCUUGAAAUCACUAAUUAGGCUACUACGACUAGCACAGGUAAGAGGCAUUCCUCUUUUUUUCCUACCCUCUUCUAACAAGAAAUAAUCAAUGAUCUUGGGCCUCAUUUCGCAACUCCUAAUUGACUAUUCUUACGGAAGUAUCUUAAGUAAUUGUUUGUCGCAUCUUACAAUGAAGUUGUUUUGAUGUAUCAGCCGUUGGGGAAAGGCCUUCUGCAGAGGCUUCUAUUAAAUCUAUGUGCUCACAGUGCUACAAGGGCAAAUUUGGUUCAACUUAUGCUGGAUUUGAUUAGGCCAGAGAUGGAAACAUCACCGAGCGAGUUGGCAGUAACUAAUCCGCAAAGACUCUAUGGCUGUCAAUCAAAUGUGGUUUAUGGACGAUCCCAGCUGUUGAAUGGUAGUACUUCCUCUCGAAAUUCGUUGUUCGCUAUUCUCGCCAGCUUCCAUAGUACUUUAUGACUGACUUUCUUUGUUCCUAACACAGGGCUUCCUCCUCUAGUGUUCCGGCGGGUGCUUGAGGUUUUGACGUACUUGGCUACGAAUCAUUCGGCUGUUGCUGACAUGUUGUUUUACUUUGAUUCGUCACUUCUGUCCCAAUUUCCAUGCCCGAAACCCUCUGUUUGUGAAGGCAAGGGUAAGGAGAAAGUUACUCAAGUGACAGACUCCCGGAAUCUGGAGAUACCUGUGGUUGUCUUUUUUAAACUGCUUAAUCGGCCUCAGCUUUUGCAAAGUACAUCUCAUCUUGCGCUGGUAUGUUACUAUGUUUAGCUCGAUUUUCAUCAUAAAAGUAGGAAUCUUCUCGCUACAAUCUUCAGAUAGUUGUUUUGGUUGUUAUUUUAUCUGUAUAUCCACAAGAUCCGUGUUCUGUUUGUUUCAGGUCAUGGGUUUACUACAAGUAGUUGUCUACACAGCAGCAUCCCGAAUUGAGGGAUGGUCUCCGUCAUCAGGAGUACCUGAGAAGUCUGAAAAUAAGCCCGUUGGUGAAGAAGCUUCAAGUGAAACACGAAAAGAUGAAUCUAAGCUACUGGAUGAAGCUGAGCUAUCUGUUGCAAGAAGGAAGAAUUGUGCUGACAUAUACAACAUAUUCUUGCAGUUGCCACAGUCCGAUCUCUGCAAUCUUUGCAUUCUUCUUGGAUAUGAAGGGUAAGAGAUAGCCUCCUAUCGUUUUUGUUCAUUGCUUUCCUGAGAUUCCUCUUUCCUCUUACAUUUAGUAAUGUACAAAACAUAGGUCGUUUCUUAUCUUUGUUGUCAAUGAUAUCUCUGAAUUGCUUGGACUGAUUCGCAUGUUUUAAUAUUUUAAUAGGUUAUCGGAUAAAAUAUACUCGUUAGCAGGAGAGGUACUAAAAAAGCUGGCAGCUGUAGAUGUGGCUCAUCGCAAGUUUUUCGCGAAAGAACUCUCAGAAUUGGCAAGUGGUUUGAGUGCCUCAACUGUCCGUGAGCUGGCAAAACUGAGCAAUUCACAGAAGAUGAGCCACAGUGCAGGUUCCAUGGCAGGUGCUUCAAUUCUCCGUGUUCUACAGGUGCUUAGCUCACUAACUUCCCAUAUUGAUGAUAGCCAUGCGGGAACCGAAGGGGAAACAGAACACGAGGAACAAAACAUCAUGCAGAGACUAAACGUGGCAUUAGAGCCCCUGUGGCAAGAACUUAGCCAGUGUAUCAGCAUGACUGAGUUGCAGCUGGAUCAUACUGCAGCUACAACAACCGUGUCAAACGUAAACCCCGGAGAUCAUGUCCUAGGGGUCACUCCUCCGUCCUAUCUUUCUCCAGGAACUCAGAGGCUCCUACCUCUUAUUGAGGCUUUCUUUGUUCUCUGUGAGAAAAUUCAAACUCCGUCAAUAUUACAGCAGGAUCAUGCGAAUGUGACAGCAGGAGAAGUAAAGGAGUCUGCUCAUAGUUCAUCAUCUAAAACCAGUGUAGUUUCUCAGAAAAAAACUGAUGGCUCCGUUACAUUUGCAAAGUUUGCGGAGAAGCAUAGGCGACUUUUGAAUUCAUUUGUUAGGCAAAAUCCGAGUUUGCUGGAGAAGUCCCUUUCAAUGAUGCUCAAGGCACCAAGGUUGAUUGAUUUUGACAAUAAGAAAGCUUACUUCAGGUCAAGGAUAAGGCACCAGCAUGAUCAUCACAUUUCUGGGCCAUUGCGUAUUAGUGUCCGCCGAGCUUAUGUGUUGGAAGAUUCAUACAACCAGUUGCGUAUGCGCUCCCCACAGGAUCUGAAAGGACGUCUGAAUGUGCAGUUUCAAGGUGAGGAAGGUAUUGAUGCUGGUGGUCUUACAAGAGAAUGGUAUCAGUUGUUGUCAAGAGUUAUAUUUGACAAAGGAGCGUUGCUGUUCACUACCGUUGGAAAUGAUGCCACCUUCCAGCCGAAUCCGAAUUCUGUUUACCAAACUGAGCAUCUGUCAUACUUUAAGUUUGUUGGCCGGAUGGUAAUAGUCAGGACCUUGUGAUUGUAAUGAUCCUAUUGUUUAUUUUUGAGCCUAUCUGAUGUGUUUGUGAUGUCACUGCUGCAGGUGGCGAAGGCAUUGUUUGAUGGGCAGCUUUUGGAUGUUUAUUUCACUCGUUCCUUCUAUAAACAUAUCCUUGGUGUGAAGGUGACCUAUCAUGACAUUGAGGCGGUGGAUCCUGAUUACUAUAAGAAUUUGAAGUGGCUGUUGGAGGUUUGUGGACUUAGUCUUAAUUUACCUUUUACCUUAUAAAAGCUUAAAAAUCGAUGUUUACAGAGUCCUGCCUUUUAGAGACUUAUCUUUGAACCUUUUUUUUUUCUUUACAGAAUGAUGUGAGCGACAUACUCGACCUCACAUUUAGUAUGGACGCAGACGAGGAAAAACACAUUCUUUACGAAAAGACCGAGGUCUGUGAUAUUAUUAAAUGUUUGUUUUUCUCUUCAUUACCCCAAAGGGUAUACCAUAUUGAAUUUGAUCAUGUUAUACCUUUACCGAAAAGGUGACGGACUAUGAGCUUAAACCUGGAGGACGAAACAUACGAGUAACAGAAGAAACAAAACAUGAAUAUGUUGACCUUGUAGCCGGCCACAUACUUACCAAUGCUAUUCGGCCUCAAAUCAACGCCUUCCUCGAGGGCUUUAAUGAGUUGAUACCUCGUGAGCUCGUAUCCAUUUUCAACGACAAAGAGCUCGAGCUCCUAAUCAGUGGAUUGCCUGAGAUUGAUUGUAAGUUGGAUCCUGUUGUUCAAUAUUGUUGCAUGUAUUUGCUUAUGCAUCAGGUUAUUUUAACAGUCUCAUGUUAUUUCGUUGUUUAGUUGAUGAUCUUAAAGCCAAUACCGAGUAUACCAGCUACACGGCAGGAUCUCCUGUUAUUCAUUGGUUCUGGGAGGUCGUUAAAGCUUUUAGCAAAGAAGACAUGGCUAGAUUUCUUCAAUUUGUCACCGGAACAUCAAAGGUAAACCAAAUAGUAGCACCGCUUCCGUCCAAGUCACUUGAAAUGCAUUUCCUGAUAUAUCCGUAUUUGGCUUCUUUCUGCUGGUGGAUGAUCUCGAUCUCCUCCUGCCUCGCUCUUGUGUAACGAUAGAUAAUCGCAAAAGAGGGAAAUCAUCUUUUGUUUUACGAAGUGAUUGGGUCUGUUUUUUUUUACAGGUUCCUUUGGAAGGUUUCAAGGCUCUGCAAGGUAUAUCUGGCCCUCAAAGAUUACAAAUCCACAAAGCGUAUGGAGCUCCGGAGCGGCUGCCAUCAGCCCAUACAUGGUUCGAAAUCAAUACAAAGCCUUUCCUUAAUACAAAACGGUUCAAUCUCGCCUUGAUUCUCAUUGGUUACGUCUGUUUUGUUCUGUUGCAGUUUCAACCAACUAGACCUCCCUGAGUAUCCAUCCAAGGAACAGCUUCAGGAACGCCUGCUACUUGCCAUUCACGAAGCCAGUGAAGGUUUCGGGUUUGCUUGAGCUACGCUUCUCGAAACCGUCACACCUUCAGAACCAGUGAAAACCCCCUUCAAUCCUUCAUUCUUUCGGCUCCCCUGUACAUGUAAGUAAGCUUCCAUACUUGUUUGAUACCCAAAGAAAAAAAGAUUGACCAUAAAGUGCUGGUUUGUUUGCCACACAAAUCUCAAGUUUUCAUUGGUUCCGUGGCAGAGACCGAAGAUUUUCUGGCAGGAUAAGGAGAAGAGCUUUCGAGAAAGUCUGCAGAAUGAAUACAAAACUCAAGAGGCUAUUUUUAUAUGUCCAUAUAUGUUAGUAUUAGACCAUUAGGGUUUAUGUUUCUCUUUAGAUUUUGUAAAGCAAAAAUCUUUGAAAUAAUUGCUGGCCUUUCUUUUGAGUUUGAAUACACCGGCUCUCUCUUUCCAUUACAUAAACGCGAUACAAGUGCAGGCGGAUAAAGCUAAGACAACUGAUUUAACUGUCACGGUCACUGGCAUUUUCCCUUUGUCGUUCCUCAACAACAUGCCUUGAUACAGAGGCCAGUUUAGUACCACAAGUACUCCUGUUAUCACAAUCUGCAUGCCCAUUGUCUGAAAAUGUUCACCGUCUCUUGAAGUGAUCAGUCUCAUAGCCGCUGCAGCGAAGCAGAAGAGAUUGAGCAUCCCGAGUGUUCCGAGGAGGAGAAACAUCGGAGACUCCACUCCAAACUCCAUUACCUCUUUCUCGUAUCUCUCUGCUGCUUCUUCCUCUGCUACUUUCGCCGUGAUUACAAAUGCAGACUCCGAAGCCCCAAGUUUCUUCAGAAUCGUGUCCGUGAAUCCGAAUACAAACGAGCUUGUUCUUCUAUAAAGCCACAUCCUUUGCUCGUUCCACCAUCCACGGAACGUUCCUCCGCACCACAAGAACUCGGCUAGGCUAUAGGAAUUAACUGCGACAGUCACGUAUCCAAAUGGGAAAAACCACGAGCUUGAGACCUGGAUUCAAAGACCAGAUCAGUUUUACCUGAAUGAGAUUCCGGGUUUAUGACAAACACAUAAAGAAACAGAGGGAAAGCCCUUUCUUUACCUUUGGAAACAGAGGAAUGCCUUUGAGUAGACAGAGAGAGGUCAAAACAGAGUAAACAAGCACAGGUACUGAACUUGGUGCCCAAAGGCAAAAGCAACAGUAACCAAGUAUCAGUCCCAAACCAAUCUUUCCGUGGCCAUACCAAACCGGACUAUACUCUGAAAGCAGAACCUGAAAGUCUCCCUCUGACUCUGCUGCACAAGCAUUUGAUGCAAAUUUGUCGGCGCUACCCCGACAAAAAGCUUUCUUUUUUGGGUUCAGGUACGCUAAUUUCCAUCCAUGGCAUUGAAUCGCUAAACCGGUUAUUACAUCUUCUACCGGGCAUAACCAUAUUUUACACCCAUCUGCAAUGGAAACAACCAUGGUUUACUUGGUUUUCAAUGAAUGAGACACUGGUUUAAUUCCGGUCCAUAUAUAAAUUUUCCAUACGACGAAAAAAAAUAUAAUAAUACAUAUGUUUUUGAGCAUUUUGUCCAUCCAUAUAUUAAAUCAUCAUUUACAACAUACCAAUAUAUUCUUUUUCAAUGUGCCAAUACACAAAAUCCUCAAAAAUCAACAAAACAAAAAAUAUUGAUUUAAUAACGUGAUACAUAGCUUACCAUCAACGAUGUUCUAUACACCAAAAUAAACUGCGAGAACCCAUCACUGUACUUCAACCGCGCCUCCUCAGGUACUCGCCGGAGUUUCGUCGCUGUUUCAAUCCUCGCCGCCAUUUCUCUAUACAACUCAGCCACCUCCUUGGCCACAGCAGAAUCAAGAACAUUUGCCGUGGAAGACAAGUAAGCCGCUGGAGAUCUCGGCUCAACGUUGAAUCUCUUACAGAAUGGAACCCAAAUUCCGGCAAACUCAGCUGCCUCCGCGAGGGCAUAGAACGUGAGCUCAGAGCCACCGUCAUCUGAGAGAUAUACGGCGAGUUUCUCCGGUGGAUAAUCGAGAGCCGUCACAGAUAAGAAAGUGUUAACAACCAUCAACGGCGGCUCAAUCACCGGAUCCGCCGUGCAGACGAAAACGUCGAGCGUGGGAAGAUCGUUCCCGUACCUCCGGGAGAGUCUGUCGGUGAAGGUAAAUCGCCAAACCGGAUUCCACCGGAGAGACUGUACGACUACCCAAUACAAACCGAACCAAAUCUCCAUGAUUAAGAUAACCAACCAGACAAUUGGAACGAAACUGGUCCGGUUCUCAUCAAUCUCUACCGGUAUGGUCACUCUGUAGAACCAAAUCCAACAGAUACAAAAGAAAACCGAGGCUGAGAAAACCCGGUACGAGAUCACUCUUCCGGUUUUCCUCCUGGUGACAAAAAGCGGUUCGCCUUGGUGAACCGGUCUAAACGGGUCAUCUUCUUUUCUCAUGUUUUUUGUCUCUCUGAGUAGGAAGGGAGUGGGAAAGAUAAGAGAAGCGUGUCUCUUGUUCGCUAUAUAUCCAAAAUACAGAGAUUAGUGGAGGCUGUAAUUUUGGACAAUUUCAAAAAGACGAAUAGAGCAUUCUCUUGACGUCAGCAAUUAUUUUUUUCUUUCCUUCGGACAAAAACAGGUCAGAGAUUAGAGAUAGCGUCCAAUAAUCAAAGAUGAGACUUAUCUCUUUUUUUCUGAACGAAUAAGAUGAGACUUAUUAAACAAAAGAUAAAGGCUGAAGCUGAUGUUUCUUAGGCUUUUAGCAAAUGGUUGGUGAUGAUGAAUAAAAGUAUCAAAAUGGGCUGUCCAUGUCUAUUUAGGCCCGUCCAAUUGUCCAAUUUGAUUGUGGACAAAUGGUGUUCAUAUCCAUUAACGACUAUGUCCAUUAACAACCAUAUCCAUUAACGAUCUAAAUGGGCUGUCCAUCAGUAUCUAUUGGACACAUAGUAUAAUAUAUUGUUUGUUUUUGUUUUUUUCUUUGUUUUAUAGAUAAUUUUUUGUUUUUCGCAUUUUUCAGAAAAAAAAACACAUGAAAAAAUAAUUUUAUAUUUUUGCAAAAAAAAUGAUUUUGCAGAUUUAACGAGGAAAUUGUUUCUGCGUUUUGCCGAGAAACUGGAAUUUUGAGUUUUUGGCAGAAAAUCGAGAUUUUGCGUUUUUGGCAGAAAAUCAAGAUUUUGCAUUUUUAGCGGGAAACCAAGAUGGAAACCAAGAUUUUUCGUUUGGUAGAAAACUGAGAUUUCUUAAUUUUGCGUUUUUGGCAGAAAAUCAAGAUUUUGCAUUUUUAGCGGAAACCAAAAUUUUUCGUUUGGCGGAAAACUGAGAUUUCUUGAUUUUGCGAGAAAUUGAGAUUUUAUGGUUUUAGCAAAAAAUCAAAAUUUAGUAUUUUUUAGUAGGAAACUGAGAUUUUUUGUUUCCGUCAAAAAAUAGAAUUUUUCUCAUACUUGUUGUAUUCUUUGUACGAUAGAGAAUUUUUCAUUUGAUAUUAAUUAUUAUAAUAAUAAUAAUAUUGGACCAAAAUAAAAUAAAUAAAAAUUAAUAGUUUUGAUGUAGUAUUUUUUGUCCAAUAGACGGAAUGUCCUAAGUGUCCAACUCUAUUUUGUCCAUUAACAAAAAUGGACGAAACCUAUUUUAACUUGUUUCGAAAAUGGAUUUGUCCAUGACUAGUCCAAAAUACGUUAGACAUAGAGAAACUAUGGGCUUCCGGGCCCAUUUUGACACCUCUAGUACUGAUGAAUAUCAACAAUUAACAAAAAAAAAUUCUCAUCUAAUUUUGGGGAGUACUGAAUCAAAUCAAGAAUCACCAUGAACGCGUAUGACACAUGAUGUUGCGGAGAUCUUGGUUUCAUAACUGAAGAUUAAAGGGUCUCUGCAAAGACUGCAACAGUGUUGAUUUUGAAGAAGUAACUGCACUAAAAAAAAACAAGAUGAACGCAGAUUUGCAAUCUAUCUUAUGUGAAUGACCUGUUGUUAUUGAAAUUCAAAUUCAGGCUAUCCAUAUCGAUCAAUUCCAUAUCGGAAGGUUGUUGUUUGUAACACUUGUGUUUAUAUGCAAAGAUAUGAAAUGUUAAGUUUCAUAUGGGAUGUCCACUUCAUAUGGGAUGUUCUAAUAUUAAUAUAGCGCUGACAGAUAGCAAGAAGAAGCUUCUCUAUUUGCAAAUUGAUGUAAACAGAAAUGAGUUAUUUUUAUAUAUAUUACAUAACUACUUGACCAUUAUUUUUAAUACAUUUGACACUCAUUUUCCUUUACAAAAACGCAAUACAAGUGCAAGCAGAUAAAGCUAAGACAACUGAUUUAACUGUCACGGUCACUGGCAUUUUCCCUUUGUCGUUCCUCAACAACAUGCCUUGAUACAGAGGCCAGUUUAGUACCACAAGUACUCCUGUUAUCACAAACUGCAUGCCCAUUGUCUGAAAAUGUUGACCGUCUCUUGAAGUCAUCAGCCCCAUAGCCGCUGCAGCGGAGCAGAAGAGAUUAAGCAUCCCGAGUGUUCCGAGGAGGAGAAACAUCGGAGACUCCACUCCAAACUCCAUUACCUCUUUCUCGUAUCUCUCUGCUGCUUCUUCCUCUGCUACUUUCGCCGUGAUUACAAACGCAGACUCCGAAGCCCCAAGUUUCUUCAGAAUUGUGUCAAUGAAUCCGAAAACAAAUGAGCUUGUUCUCCUAUAAAGCCACAUCCUUUGCUCGUUCCACCAUCCACGGAACGUUCCUCCGCACCACAAGAACUCGGCUAGGCUAUAAGCAUUAGCUGCGACAGUCACGUAUCCGAACGGGAAAAACCACAAGCUCGAGACCUGGAAUCAAAGAUCAGAUCAGUUUUACCUGAAUGAGAUUCCGGGUAUAUGACAAACACAAAAAGAAACAGAGGGAAAGCUCUUUCUUUACCUUUGGAAACAGAGGAAUGCCUUUGAGUAGACAUAGAGAGGUCAAAACAGAGUAAACAAGCACAGGUACUGAACUUGGUGCCCAAAGGCAAUAGCAGCAGUAACCAAGUAUCAGUCCUAAACCGAUCUUUCCUUGGCCAUACCAAACCGGACUAUACUCUGAAAGCAGAAUCUGAAAGUCUCCCUCUGACCAUCUCCUCUGCUGCACAAGCAUUUGAUGCAAAUUUGUCGGCGCUACCCCAAGAAAAGCUUUCUUUUUAGGGGUCAGGUACGCCGAUUUCCAUCCGCGGCACUGUAUCGCUAAACCGGUAAUUACAUCCUCUACGGGGCAACCAUAUUUCAGACCCAUCUGCCAUGGAAGCAAAACCCGGUUUACUUCCCUAUCAAGAAACCAGAAACCGGUGGAGUAAGUGAAGUAUUAAUCAAUGCUUUUACCUCCUUUCCCCAUUGAGAGUUUUCUUCAUAAGUGCAGCUCGCGAGAGCUUUAAUCAUCUCAGGCUCUAAAAUUUCUUGAAUUUCCUCAGAUUCUUCUUCUUCUACCUCUCCAUACUUUCUUCCACAGAUCACGUCUCUUCUGUGAAAGCAGCCAGUCCCAAUGUACAGCGGUCCGCCAUUUCCAUCCAGUCCAUUAAACUCCACCUUUUGUUUUUUCACAUCCCAAAACACACAGGUUAGAUAAGACAACAACAGAAUCAAUAUAUCAAAAAUCCAGAAUCUAUGUUGUGUUUUCUACUGUCUCUGUCUCUAUAACUUACAUCAGCUAUUACUCGCAUCAUGCUUCCAUACAAAUCAUUCCUAGUAAUGUUCUCGUAACACUGCGGAAACUGCACGAAGGCAAUCUCCUUUCCCUCUUUCUCAUCAAGUAGGAUGCAGAGCGCGUCUAGUGCUGACUUUGAGUUGUUUGAGUACAUAUCGCAGUCCAGGUUAAGUAUGAUUCUCCCACAGGUUAUCUUCGAAGAAACCCUUAUCUGAUCAAAGAAACAACCAUAUCAAAAGGGCGACCAAUCGAGGAGAAAUCAGAAUGGCUUGUGGAACAAGAAACCAUUACCAAUGCGUUCAUAGCUCCAGCCUUGAAAUGAUGAUGAUGUUGAGGUCUCUUCUCCCUUGAUAGAUACACCAACGUUGGUAUUGCUACUGUGUUCUUUUUUCUUCCGUCUACCAAAAUCUGAUGCAACAAAAUAAACAAUCUAAAGAAUCCACUUUUCCGAUUGCUGAAUAACAGAACAUAACCCUAAAAAACCCUAUUGCUUACUUGAAGAAUGGUUCCAUGGUUUCUCUGAGUAACGUCAGAAUCCCACUGCGAGAACCCAUCACCGUACUUCAACCGCGCCUCCUCAGGUACUCGCCGCAGUUUCGUCGCCGUUUCAAUCCUCGCCGCCAUUUCUCUAUACAACUCAGCCACCUCCUUGGCCGCAGCAGAAGAUUCAAGACCAUUUGCCGUGGAAGACAAGUAAGCCGCCGGAGAUCUCGGCUCAACGUUGAAUCUCUUACAGAACGGAACCCAAACUCCGGCAAACUCAGCUGCCUCCGCGAGGGCAUAGAACGUGAGCUCAGAGCCACCGUCAUCUGAGAGAUAUACGGCGAGUUUCUCCGGUGGGUAAUCGAGAGCCGCCACAGAUAAGACAGUGUUGACCACCAUCAACGGCGGCUCAAUCACCGGAUCAGCCGUGCAAACGAAAACGUCGAGCGUGGGAAGAUCGUUCCCGUACCUCCGGGAGAGUCUGUCGGUGAAGGUAAAUCGCCAAACCGGAUUCCACCGGAGAGAUUGUACCACUAACCAAUACAAACCGAACCAAAUCUCCAAAGUUAACAUAACCAACCAGAUGAAUCGAACGAAACCAGUUCGGUUCUCAUCAAUCUCCGACGGUGCGGUAACUCGGUAGAACCAAAUCGAACAGAUACAUCCGAAAACCGAGGCCGCGAAAACCCGGAACGUAAUCACUCUUCCGGUCCUCCUCCUGGUCACAAAAAGCGGUUCACGGUCGCCUUCUUGAACCAGUCUAAACCGGUCGUCUUCUUUCCUCAUGUUUUUUUUUUUUUUGAUUAUUUUUUCUCUGUAAGGCGGCGCCAAGUGGGAAGGAUAUGAGAAGUGUCUCUCUGGUAGGUUACUUUACUUAUAAUAUGUAUAGAGAGAUUAGUGGAGACAUUGUUGUCCAAAAAGGAACGUGGACUUCCCUGACGUCAUUAGAAUCGUCAGCAACUAUGUUUCAGUUUCAGACAAAUGAUGACAGGUAGGCGUCAAGGAUCAUGAUUAAACUUCUUAAUCUUAUCAGAUGACGUUUUCGUUGACUUUAGCACUUGGUUUGGUUAGUGAUUAAAAUAAUAGUCAAAGAGUAACAAACUUCAUUUCAAUUUCUUAUAAUAUUAUCUUGGGAGUACUGUAUGCCUCUGACUCGUGAUGUUGCAGAGAUCUUGUUUUCACAUUUGAAGAAAAAGCGCUCUGCAACAAUGGAGAUUCAUAUAUGAAGCAAACAGAGUAACAAGAAGCUUCUCUACUUGCAAAAGAAGGUAAACAGAAAAUGAGUUCUAUAUAUAUAUAUAUAUAUAUAUUCGAUCAUAAGAUCCAUUUCGAGGAAAUUGUGUUUCCCUUUCUUCUUUUUUUUCAAACAACCCUGCAUCUAGCUGAUGCAAGCAAAUCUAGGAAUACAAUCUUGAGAUGCUAAACAAGUAAAGCUGACUCUUAUCUUAAAUACUGCUCAUAAACUUUAAACCAGAGAAAAUUCCGGUUUUUGUUUCAUCUUGGUCGGCAAACUCGUGUUAUAAGACGGCUCAAAUGAGGAAUCAGACCUUCUGGUCAUUUCCAAGCUUCUGGAACUCAGAUUCUAAGGUAUCGAAUAUCUUGGUGCCUUCCGUGUCUGGCUCAGGGAACCUAACGUGGACCGAACCAUGUCUGAUCGGUGCACUCGACCCUUUAACCAGAGCCUGUUGCUUGACAUAGUUGUAAAGCUCUUGGUGGAAAGAGUGAUCCAAUGAGAAACAAUUGUCUACUGUUCCAUUUGAGAUAUGCCUACCAGAUCCAGACCCUUCUCUUCUACAGAAAUGUGGCAGAGACUCGUAGUCCAUUAUCUGCAUUAGGUUUAAAACUUUCAGCAAGAAGCUAUACUUUGAAUCGAUUUUGGCAAUGAGCUUCGCUUGUCAAUUGCUUACCUUUAGCAACUCAUCUUUCCCGCAGCCUUUCAGCACUUGAAUCUUCUUCUUUGUUCUCUCCUGCAACAGAGGCUUUAUGGUUUUCCAACAAGCAGAGAAUAUGUAAGGGACAUUGACAAUAUAAUAUGUCUCUGUCUUCUCUGGGUAGUUUAAAUCAUCAAUUGUGGUUAUAGCUGUCAUUAACUGCGCAAAAAGAAAAGAAACACACCAUGUGAUGAAUAAUAUAAAUACAAAUAAAAGCUACAUAAAUCAUAAGCAAAUGUAGAUUACUAAAUUUAGCUAAAGAAGACAAAUAUGUAGAAUUAUUACCUUAAUUUGACUUAAAGCUGAAAGCUUUAAACCAGACAUAUCCAAAAUUUUCAAACAAGUGCAAAUUGGUCGUCCCUGUUUCUUUGUAGCAGAUGGCUACCAGACAAGAAUAUCACACAAUUAAGAUUUAUGAAAACAAGCAUAUGUAGAAAUGAAGUAGUAGGAGGAAAAAGCUAUUAAAAUAAAAAGAAAAGUUUUGGUCAUACCAAAACGACACGAUCCCGGAACUCAUUCAUUUGAAUGUGAGACUGUACAUAGUAGUGAACCUGAAGGAAGGAUCAGGAAGCUAUAUGGUCAGAGUUUCAACUUCAUAUCUCAAGUCUUUGUGUGGAAGAUGGAGAGACUUAAAAUGAACAGAGAUGCUUACGGAGGCUUUGUCAUAUGUGCUAAGCCCCACACCAAUGGCAAUGACAGGGAGACCCUUAAAAAGUUGAUGAACAUUUCAACAAAGUUAGUUUUGAUCAAACAUGCCUAGUUGUGAUGCUUGUUGAAAGUCAAAAGUCAGAGAAAGAAAGAGACUCAAAACAAGUUAGAACUAACUAGUAGUACCUCUUUUGAAUAACCAGAGAUACCGACAAGCUGAGAUUCUCUGAUUGCUCUGUACAGGUCAACAGGAACGAUGGGUUUCUACAAAGAAAGAAAGAAACCAAAAAAAUUCAAUUUAUCGGAUGAGAUAAAAAGGGUCACAGAAGUUUAUCGUUGAGAAUAAUUUCAGUGAAGAAAAGCAGAAGACUCACUGUAAGAAUCUUGUCAAUCUCGUUUUGAGUCCUCCAUUCUAAACACUCAAGCAACUGCAAACAUAUAGUUUUAAGCCCCAAGAAGGCAAAUAAUAUAAGAAACAAAGCAUCAAAGACAAUCUGGAUUAGGUGAAAGCAAACAGAUUUAUUAAACCAUUUUAUGAGCUUUCUGGACAUUCCAAUCCCUCGCUUUUAGAAAGCGCAACAAAGUCUCUGUUGGAUACCCUUGAUGAAUGUUCUGCAGCAUAACACAGGCAUUUUGUUAAAUCCACCAUUUUUAUUUAUUAAGCUCAAUAAAGAUCCAAGUUACAUUUUAACACCCAACUCAAAACUCUGGAUCAGCCAAUAUUCUAACUACAAAACUCCACAGAUCCAACAACAUUGAACCAAAUGCAAGAGAGAAGUGUCAACUUAGAGCUUGAUUCAAAUAUAGAUCCAGAUCAUUGCCGAUCAAAUACUCAUGACAAUCAGAUUGGUUCCAAUUGACCCCAACGAAAAAAAGGUUUUUUUUCUUUUCCGUUGCUACUUCGGUUUAUAGCCCGAAAUACCAAAUCAGAACAACCAAUCUUUGGCUCAAUAAGCAAAGAGUUGGAGUUGAAUCAUACUACGCAUCUAAAGAAAGAGGAAAGCAAGAAAAUUACUAACCCGAUACGACUCUCUCAGUGAUUCAUCAACUGUCAAUACCAGAAGAAGAAACCAAAACAAAAAAAAAAAUUAGGAUUUCGUCGGCGAUCUUGGAACAAAGCAAAGCUUAAAACAUGAAACACACAAAGAGAAAAAAAAAAAAAAAACCACACCAUCUUCCAUUAAAGUACGUAAUUGCUUGAUUGCUUCCUCACUAGAGAUGCCCAUUUUCUCUCUCUCUAUCUCUAGAGAUCUCAGCUCAGAUGUGAAAGAAAACAAAAAACCUGUAAACUCUGGGCAAAAGUUUCUGCGGGAAAUCUAAAGAGAGUAAAUCUCUGAUCUUACGGACAAUAGUUCCUCCGAGGAAGUGAGAGAGAAAUAAAGAAAUUAAAAAAAAAUGUGCACUUUUUAUUUUUUAUUUUUCUGUGGAAAUGGAGCGAAGAAUUAAGCUUUUAGAGAGAGAGAGAGAGAGAGAGAAAACUCUAAAGUUCUCUCUCUGCUUAAAGCCUUUCUUCUCCAAUGAGUUAGACAAAUAUCAUCUCAAGUUCUCUCUUGUAAUAAACACAAGAGCAAGUGAUUUUGGAUUUUCUUUUCUAAACAAAUACAAAAAGAAACAAUGAAUUUUCCGAUCAUGCUUCUUUUUUCCAUUUUUUGGAGAUUCCAAAAACAAUGAAUUUCCCUUUCUUUAUUUGGAAAUCUCCACUCAAAUUCAACCAUCUAAGAAAAGUCAAGGGAGAAUUUAAUAGUUUCACUUCAUUUUCCUCAAACUUUACUUAUUUUCUGAUUAUCGAUUAAAGUAAAAAUAUUCUUCCCGGAAAGAAAAAAAAUGAGAAGCCUGAGAUGGAAUUAUUAUUUAAUGACAUUUGCAUGCUUGAAACAAUUGGCCUUCCAUUAAUUAUUAAUAAUACUUAAUGUAGAUCAAUCGAUCGAUGAAUAGAUUGUUGGAUUAAUUUAGUGUAAUUAAUAAUAAUUUGUCAAAAGAUAUGAAAGGAAAACUCCAAAACGAGAACCAAUGAAUCUGAUUCUUUCGAAUUUGAUUGUUGAUAUCCAGUACAUACGCACUAGUAAAGAAAGAGAAAAAAAAAGUGAAUGUAAAUGAAGUAGGACUAAGUAAGUUUUCUGAUUAAUAUUUGAUCAAGACGAUGCCCAUAAUUAAUAACCGUGUGUCAUCUUCUUUCGAUACAGAAAAUACGUUUAGUUUGGCUUGAGAAUGCAACAAAAAAAGAAUAAGAUGCGUGCACCAAACAAUGUUUUAACGAGUAAAUAACAAAACUCAUUAUUUUAUGCAAAGAUAAAAAAGAAAUAAAGAAACAUAAAUGUCCAUCGUCAUGUGUUAGUUCUCCUCAUUCAAUCACAAAAUUAAAGACCCCAUAUGCCACAUGUGACAUGCAUCAUCGAUCGUGAACCAUCUUCCUUACUUUUUUCUUCUUUGUUUUAUUUUAUUUUCUGUCGGUUUUCUACUUAUUUCAACAAAUAUAAAAAUCCCAUUUAGAUACUCUCGAGUCUUAACAACAUACUAGAUUUUGCUUCCACGCUUGUUAAUAAAAAUUAUAUGCAAUCAAUUGUAUUUAUUAAGAUAUAAAUUUUAUAUAUUAGUAAUUUAAUAAUAUAUUAAAAAUAUUAUAAUGUUAAUAUAAUAAUUUUUAUGUAAAUUUUGAGGUUUUAACGGUUUUGUUUUAAAUCUAUAUACAAUAUGUCAUAUUUCAAAAACGUAUUAUUUAAUCAAACACUUAUAAGUUAAUACAACCAAAUCAACUAAAUUUUUUUAUAAAUUUGUCAAAUGGUACUUAUUAAACAUAAUAUUGACAUGAUGAUAAAAUAUUAUACAUUACUUCUUUAAAUCAUGAAGAUAAUUUUUUUAUCAUUUUCACUUUCCUUCAAUUAUAUAUGUAUUUUUUAAAAACAAUAAUAAAUUUAAAAUUUAAUUAUUUUUCUUCUCUUGUUUAACCGAUACAAAUUUUUAUUUUGUUAUAUUAAUUUAAAAAACAAGCUAAUAAAUAAAAUAUUUGCUUUGAGAUUAAUAACAACUUUAAAUUUGAAAUCAAAAUAAUAUUUGAAUAUAAAAUAAAGAAAAUCAUACAAAAUUUGUGAAUUAAAUAUAUUUUUAUCAAUUGGUUGUGUAAACGUUUAAAUACUUUUUCAAUGAUUAUACGUCAUUGAUUCUAAUAAGAAUGAAUUUUUUCAUCAUGUUCAUUUUUAUUCUUGUUAUAUCUGUUUUUUCAACUAAUAGAUCAUAUUUAUUUAUUUCAAUGAUUUUUGUAUGAUUAUAUUCAGUUUCAUCAGAUUCAAUCUUACUUCUUUUAAUUAUAUUUAAGUAGGCAGCCGGUACAAUUUAAUACAUAUAAAUUUAGAAAAACGAAAUAACAAAUUGAAAUCUCCUCAAAACUAAAAACUUCUACAUUAAUCUAUUGUAAUUCCAAGCCGAAUAUACAAAAUAUAAUUUUUUCGAUCAUUUUUUCAUAAUAUAUUACAUGAAAUUAUGUGGAAAUAUGUUUUGCAUAUGUGAAAAAAUUAAUAUAAAUUAUAAUUAUUAGUUAUUUAAAAUUUUACAUGAAAAGCCUUAAAAUCAAGUGACAUAAACUUGUAUAACUAAUAUAUAGUUUUAUAGAUAAUAAAUUAAAUUUCUAAUUAAAACAGAAAUAAUGAAGAUUUUAAUAGUAUGUUUUUUAUUAUUAGAGAUUUUUUAUUCUUUAAUUUACUUUCUUAAUAGAAUUAGGAAAUUUUUUUAAAUUUACAAUUUUGAUAUAUACGAAUAAAAUUUAAUUUUUAAAUGCUGAUGUGAAUGCCUUGAAAAUAACAUACCUUUAAUUUUUAUUCAUAAUAUAAUAGUUUUAAUUAACAAUUUUUUCUAUAUUGUUUUGUAUUAAUAAUAUAAUUUUAUAAUUUACUUUUUUUAAAAAAAUUUAGUUAUUGAUGUACACUAAUAAAAUUGACCUUUUAAAUCUUAUGUGGAUGUCUUUAGAGGCAUAUAGCUUCUAUAUUUAUUUUUCUAUAAACAUAUUUUUUGUUAACUAUAUAAUUUUAAAUUUUGAAAAUUUUUCUAAUUUGAAAUAUUGAUGUAGACCAAUCAAAUUGAACUUUUACAUCAUAUGGACAUUCUUAGAGGCAUAUAGCUUUUAUUUUUUUUUUAAUAAUAGAUUUAGAAAUCAAAGCUGGAAGAUCCCACACGAGGCAAGUGAUUAUGGUUUUAGGUUUACCGAAUGUAUUCGCAUGUUGCUUGGUCAGCUAAUUGUUACACUUUUGGUUAAUGUUAGGUUGUUAAAACCCCAUCAAAUGCCAUGUUAUUUCAAAAAUCUUCCUCGGAUACCUCAAUUUUCGGCUUAAUGACAGAACUUCUUUCUCUAUUUUCAGUGCUUCGUUUUUCAAAAGUGUCAUGAUUUUGGUCUUGCCUCCUUGUUUUUGAGGCUUACCGAAUGUAUUUGGAUGCUUCUUGCUCAGCCAAUUGUUACUUUUGUGCUUAAUGUUAAGUUGUUAAAACCGUAUCAGAUGCCAUGUUAUUUCAAAAAUCUUCCUCAAAUACCUUAAUCUCCUUCGUCUUAAUGACGGAACCUAUUUCUCUAUUUUCAGUGCUUUUUUUUUUUAAAGUGUCGAGUAUCAAUCACUUGACAUGUUUCUCGGAUUGCUUGAAAUUUAUCAUUCUUCUCAAAUUCGGUGGUCAAGCUUAUUUUUCGGUCUCUUUUUCGAUAUUAAAGCAGCUUGUAAUGGUUUUGUUUUAUAUAUCGUUUCAUUAUAUUCUUUGUAAUUUAGCUAAUAGUUAAACUUAUAGUUUAGCCAAGUUGGUUAUUUUACGUUGUAAUGAUUCAUUUUUUUGGGAAACCUAACUCUAUUUUUUUGUUUUUUGUUUUUUUGUUUUUAAUUUGAAAUGGUUGUACACACAGAAAAAAAACUUAAAAAUUAUUAUAGUUAUGUGACAAAAAUUUGGAUACUAAUGUAAGAAUCUCUAAAUAUGUGUGUAUACAUCUAAUUUAAAUUUAAAAUUUUCUUUUUUAAUAUUAUUUAUUUUAGUUUUUUAUUAUUAACAAAAAAAUUAUAUAUAAUUUCUUUAUCUUUAAUAAUUUUUAAAAAUAAUAAUGGAAUUUGAAAAAAAAAAAAAUUUCAAUGUUGAGGUGGACCAAUUAAAAAUUUAUAUAAAUUUUUUUAUUCAGCAAUAAUUAGAAUUUGUAAACUUUCUUAAUUUAUUUAGUUAGCAAUAAUAUUAAAAAUUUGUAAACUUUCCUUAUUUUUGAUUGUUGAUGUGGACCUCAGGAUGCCAUUUAUAGCUUCAGAUUUUAUUUUUCUAUAAAUAUUUUUUUGUUAACAAUACAGUUUUAAAAUUUGAAAAUUUUCUUAAUUUUAAAUAUUGACAUGAACCAAUAGAAUUGAAAUUUUAAAUCAUAUGUGGACACUUUUAGAGGCAUAUAACUUCAGGUUUUAUUUGUAAUAUAUUUAGAUAUUAACGCUGGAAGAUCCUACAUGAGGCCCGUUACGGCAAGUGAUUUUGGUUUCUCCUCCAUAUUUUGAGGCUUACGGAAUGUAUUCUGAUACUGUUUGGUUCAGCUAAUUGUUACCUUUGUGGUUCAGGUUGUAUUGCUAAACCUUUGUCAGAUGUCAUGUUAUUCCAAAGAUUUUUCUCGGAUACCUCAGUCUUUUUUGUCUUAAUGCAGAACCUCUUUCUCUAUUUUUAGUAGUUCGUUAUUCAAAAAUUUUGGGUAUCAAUCACUUGACAUGUUUCUCGGAUUACUUGAAAUUUAUCAUUCUUCUCAAAUCUGGUGGCAAAACUUUAGAGAUUUUACGGUCUCUUUUUCAAUAUUAAAACAGAUUGUAGUGGCUUUGUUUUCAUCAUAUUCUUUUUAAUUUAGCUAAUAGUUAAACAUAUAGUUUAGUAAAAUUGGUUCUUAAUUUUACAUUGUAAUGAUUCAUUCUUUAGUGAAACUUAACUCUAUUUUUUGCUUUUUUAAAUUGAAAUGGUUGUACACACAUAAAAAAACUUAAAAUUUAUUAUAGUUAUGUGACAAAAAUUUGGAUGCUAAGGGCAGGAUUAUCGCGGUAUACAACAGGGUUUCUAAAUAUUAUUUUAUAAUUUUUUAAUCAAUUGGUUUGAAAACUUUUCGGGAACGUCUCUUAUUUUGAGACUAAAAGAGACGUCUCUACUUUCUCUCUCCCUCUUUUCUUCUUCCACGUGGUCAUUCUUCUCAAUUUAAUAAUAAAAAAAAACUAAGAGAUCCAAAUAAGAGUAUCAGCGAUAAUUAUGGUCUAAUGUAAGAGUCUCUAAAUAUAUGUGUAUACAUAUGUAAAUAAAUUUUAAUAUUUUAUUUUUUCUUAGUUCUUUAUAUAAUUGAAACAUCUAAUUUAAAUUUAAAUUUUCCUAUUUUAAAAUUAUUUAUUUUAUUUUAUUAUUUUAAAUUUUAUAUAUAAUUUAUUCAUCUUUAAUAAUUUUUUAAACAAUAAUAGAAUUUAGAAACUUUUUUAUUUUUAAUGUUGAGGUGGACCAAUAAAAAAUUUAUACAAAAUUUCUUUAUUCAACAAUAAUAUUAGAAUUUGUAAACUUUCUUAAUUUUUUAUUUAACAUUAAUAUUAAAAUUUAGAAAUUUUCUUAAUUUUGAAUGAUAAUGUGGACCAAUAAAAUUGUUAAUUUCCUUAUUUAACAAUAAUAUUAAAAUUUAGAAAUUUUCUUAAUUUUGAAUGUUGACGUAGACCAAUAAAAUUUAUCUUUUACAUCCUAUGUGGACACCCUGAAAAGCAUUUAGUUUCAACUUUUAUUAUUAAUAUAUAUAUAUAUAAGAUCCCCUAUAUUCCAUUUUUUCUUUUCUUUUUUAUUUUGUUAAAAUGCCUAUAUAUUCUAUUUAUUAUUAUUAUUAUUAUUAUUUUUCUAAUUAAAUGCAUGCAUCUAAAAUUGGACCUAACAUCUGGCGUACGAAAAAAUCCCUACCACCCUUCAAAAGAGAUAAUAUUCUCCAUUAUGUGUCUAUUGAAUUUAAACCCGAAAAACAAAAGAACAAAAAAAACUCAUCCCGUGAUUAAUUACUCAAUAUAUAGACAGACGAAGAAGUUAUAAUUCUUCUGUACAUGCAAUCUUGAUAGAUUUUUUUAUUUUUUUUUAACGAAUUGACUGUAAAUAAGAUAUUACAGUCUACAAAAACUUGAUGGUAGUGAUUAAUUGGGUUUUUAUUACACUGGACAGAUAUUGAUUCAGUUUCGGAGACAGAAGUAAGCACAAGACGAUAUCCAAAUGUCAUUGCAAGAAGAAUCCAAACUUGUUGAACACCUAUAUAGCUCCUUUCAGAGUUACUGUGUCGAACGACGACGAGCUCUGCAAAUGUUCUGCAUAUCCUCCAUUAUAAUGCUUCCACAUUCGAAAGCUUCUCGCUUGAAUACCGAGCUUUGAGCAGCAGUCUAAAGCCGUACGUAUAGUGCAUGAAUGAUAAGUACUUCAACUUUCGUAUGUGCUGCAUAAACCAAUAUACUGUAUACCAAGAAAAUUAAUGAGUUAAUUAGAGCAAGUACAUUAGUGAACCCCUCUUUGGGGUUCACCAAAAUAAAAUAAUAGUUUUUUUUGUUUUGAGUUUAUUGAAGAACCUGUGCUAUAAUUAAAAUUCCAUUGGUGAACUCUAGAGAAAGGUUCAUCAAGAAUAAAAAAUAAUUUUUGAAGAAGAAAAUUAAUGAGUUAAUUAGUAUCACAUGCAUGGAUGAUGGAUAUCAUAUCGUCUUGAAAUAUUUAAAAACUUUGUCAUAAAUUUUGACUAAGUAGUAUUUAAAAAGUUUUUAUAUAGAUACCGACAAGCUGUAAUAUAGAAGCGCAGCAAAAUGGAUCAACUAUAUAACCAACCUGCAACUUUUCUUUCUUUCGUUGGUUCGUUCUUUCUGUGUUAGUUUGAAGCAAAAGAAAGACAAAUAUUUUACUAAAAAAGGUACUUUUUAUUUCACCUUUACUUUAUCGCUUCGCCAACGAAAACGGCGUCGUAUAGCGGGUAGUUGACAAAUACAGUAGUGUUCCUUUCUUCUUCUUUCGUUGUUCGUCUUUUGAAGGAAGAACAACACAACGCAGAGAAGAAAAAUGGACGAUUCGCGGGAUAUAUUGAUGUCGACAUUGAUAGAAUCUGGGGUGUUGAUUCCCGGAGAUUUCUCUUCCGUCGGAAAAUUUUCUUCAGAAGCUUUGGUAUCGAUCUGCGCUCAGUUGCUUAAUCUCAUUAAUCCAUCGGCGUCGUUUUGCGAUGACUUACCUGAUUCUCUCCCCGAAAGGUUUAAGAUCUGCACCGAUAUCGCUCUGUCUGUGACGAACCUAGGCUACAUCGGCGACAUGAGUUAUUAUAAGGUACCCUGUUCCCUCUUUAGAUCGCAAGCAGAAUGUGUCGGAGAAUCUAUGAUUAAGCAUAUCUUCUUUGAUUAAAGGAAACAACUUUAGGAUUUAAUAUACCUAAAGGAUCAUGCUUUUACAGUGGAAUUGAUAGAUGAUGCGUGGUGGUCAUAAGAACUGAUUGCAGUGGAGUUUGUAGAUUAGUGACAAACUAGCACCCAUUCGUCUUUCAUAUAUGAAGUAUCGAAUGAAGCAUUUUUUUCUUUCUGCAUUUGUGAUUCUGCAAUAUCAUGAGGGUGAUGUGCUGUGAGACGAUUCUCUAGAGCUGUGAUAGUCGUUUUGGUUUAAUCUGUUGAAGUUUACUUUCCGUUCUGGCUGUGUGGCUUUCCUUAUCUGUUUGAAAUCAUGCUGAAACAGAUUGUAUGUGUUGCUUGCGGCAGUUUCUGCAUCCAUCCCAAGAUGACUCGUAUAGGUUGAUUAGAUUUUUGGUUGAGAGGCUUUCGGAGGAAAAUGAAGGAAUAAAAACUUCUACGGCUGGUGAUAUAGCUAGCAGGCCAAAGGUGGAGAAUUUCACAGAUAUUUCAGAUGACAGAAUGGUGAAGGAGGACAAUGAUGAGACUUUUGAUAUGCAUAUACAGAAGGUUGAAGCUGUCCUAAAAGAUCUUACUAUGACUACUGAAAUCUCUCAUGCAAAAAGUUCUUCAGCCAAUGGUUCAACCAUUGUUGACCUCUUCUCCAUUGCUGAUGAAGCAUCGGGUCUUUCUAUGAGACACGAAGAAGAUUCCUCUGUUGACCCGUCUGAGGUACUGUUUCCCCUGCUUAUCUUGACCUUAUCUCCUUUUACUGUACACGGGCUUAUGUUUGAACAUAUACAUAGGAAUAGUGAUGCCAAACCUUUAUGGAGAAGAGAGGUUAUCUCCUUUUAAGGCUUAACCUUUAUCAUUUUUAUGCUUUGUAGACAAAUUAUGAGACUUUUGAGCUACAGAAUCAGCAUAGUUUACUCUUGGAGGAACUAGAAUCUGGAUGUUCAGAGCUCUGCAGUCUUGACAGUGAACUGGAGUUGUUGAAGAUGGCUGCAGAGAGGUUAUUGGAUGAUAAACAGCCGGGUGGGUCAUGUCUCGAGCAGCUUAAUCAACAAAUAGUGGUCAAAAAGUGUAAUAUCAUGGAUCUUAAAAAGCAAUGGUAUGAAUAACGAUUGUUCUAUAAUUUUUCAGUUGAAAGCAUUCAUGCAUUCAAUUUCAUGGACAACACAGGAUAUGAUAACCUGGAAUAUAUAUAUAUAUAUACAACCCGUGUUUAGCAUUACGAAUAUCACGAUUAUGUAGUAUAUCAUGUCUUCCUCCAGGGAAGAUGCGAGGCAGACUUUGGAAGCAAGAAAGCUACGUCUUUUGGACCAGCUUCAUGUGGAGGAGUCAGAGGCUAAAGCGAAAUUCCAUAAGCUGAAAAAGACUGAACUGGAAUUACAAUCUGUCUCAUCAGAAAUUCAAAAGAGGUAAGCAGAGAACUCCUACCACAUGACCCUUCAUUGUCUAUUUUGGAAAUUAGAGAUGUAUAUACUUCUUAAGUUCAUUUGUUGAGUAAUAACUGUGGGACGAAUAAUAAAAAUCUAUAAGAAGGAAAAAGAAAUAAACAAGUGUUUGCAGGUCACCUCGAACAGGGUAUUUCAUUGACUCUCGUAUCAUAUUAAUGUGUUAAUUUUUUUUUCCGACAGGGAAGAUGAAAGAUGUAGCCUGUACACUGAACUUGAGAGGCAGCCAAAAGCAGCGCCGCGGAAGUCUUAUAUACAUGGGAUUAAAGAAAUAACAAAAAAUAGCCGUAAACUGGACAGUGAUAUUCAGAGGAUUUCAGGGGAGACGAGGGAGCUACAACUAGAGAGUAACUCAAUCCAAGAACGCCUGCACCGAUCAUAUGCUGUUGUAGAUGAAAUGGUUACAAGGUAUGAAUUUUUGCAUUGUCUGGUCAAAAUCGUCCGAUAUGCACCAAAAGACAAGGUGCCAUGUCGCUCUGCUUUAGAGAACAUGUAUUUCCCGUUGUACGUACUGAGCUGAUGAGGAUGGUUUUUCUUUUUUUUUUCCUGGCAGGGAAGUGAAAAAGGAUCCAGCCGUACGACAGGUCUACAAGCUUGUGACCAGUAUCCAUGGUAUUUUUGAGCAAAUUUCUGAAAAAAUCCUUAUGACUGAUCGGUUAAGAAGAGAAACAGUCGACUACGAGAAAAAGCUGGGCUCCAUCACAGCUCGGGGCAUGAAUCUGGAGAAUUUACAAGCAGAUCUCCAUGCCAUCAGAAAAGAGAACGAAAGUCUUGGGAAAUAACUAAUUCAAUGUGGUUUUGAAAUUACUAAAAGAUGUACAUUUUAUAGAGUUUUUGAGGCAGUGUUUGUUUAUAGAGUGAGUAAUCUUUUUUCUCGCAUACUAAUGACUAAACAGAAGCAAAGGCUUAGUCAUAUAUGAUAUUCCAUAUGAUUGGGAAUAUCAGGCAAAACUAUUCCACAGGGGAAUACAGACAAAAGAGACAUCAUCAGUUUCACAAAAACUAUUCCAUAGGGAUCUUCUUCCUAAGCAUUCAUUCUUCAUGUAUUGUUUGGAUGGUCUCACACCAAAAAAUCAGGCAAAACAAUUUCUACUUUGAAGCACAUCUUCUUCCCUCCCCUCUUGUAAUUGUCAACCUAAAUUCCACUGGGAUGAUAUUUCCUAAGUAUUUACACCCAAAAAUCCAGACUUUAACACCUCUUUUACACGUUUGAUGUGUAUCUUUAUAGCUUCUUCCCACCGGCCUACUAGUUGUUGACCCGGUUCGUUACAGCAACUUGAGGAUAAGCAAUGUGUGAGUGUCCUAUGGGUUCAGCCAUAGCCAUUGUGGUGUGUGGCGGUGGCGUUACUGUCUGAUAUGUAGUUGGCUGAACGGCCAUGGAGUGCGAUGGUUGGUGUACUCCCAUGAGCCCAUUAUGACCAGCCUGCACGACUGGGAAACCAAGUGGCUGACCUUGCAGGGCUAGGUUGUACAUUGGAUUCACCUGCAGGUUGCCAAGUCCCUGCCCAAUCCACGCAGCUGCACUUUCAGUCUGCAACAACAAUAUCAUGAUUACCAAUUAGUGUUAAUAAUACUCACCAACUACAUCAAUGCAAAGAUAAAACAGAAAACAAACAAAAAAACUGACCAUUGGUGGUGAAGUCUGUUCUUCACUAUGGAUAGAGUUGAAGGCGGUUGCAGAUGGGAUGUGAGUAGCAACUGUGGAAGAGGCAUGUGGGGAUGGGUUUGUGGUAGGAGGGUUCUCAGUGUCGCCUACUGGUGGUAUAUGGGUAGGUGCUGCUAGAGCAGCUCCUGGUGGAAAAUAAGACUGCUGAGGAAUCCCAUUUGGGCUCAAGAACUGGUGAAUGUAUGGCGGUGGCAUAUAAAACGGUGAGUAAUAAGGACCAUAAGGGAAGAAACUGGGAGGGUAUUGUUGCCUAAAAAGAUGAGUCGCCUGCUGAGAGGCUGCUGCUAUGGAGCACUGAUCUGGCGGAUAUGAUACUAAUGAUAUAGCUGGAGCAUUCGAAUUUCCAGGCUGCAAUUUGAUAAAGCAGUUAUCAGGAAAAUCUGAAACAGAUAUUGUUUUGAGUGCAUACAUAUUGACAAGAUAUACCACAUGCCUGAGUCUCUGCGGCUUCCGUAUUUACGGGUUGGCCUAUUGCUGACAACGAAGGAACAAGACCAUACACACUGAAUGGGGCUUGGCCAUACGCAAUUUGAUGAGUUUGUGUGUUCGAUAAAACUUCCCCCUUCAGUUCAUCUUCGACAGAUGCGACAAUAUUAUCUGAGCGCCGCACUAGCUCAGCUCCAGGAGCCGAACUUGAAAUCCUAUGAUCCUUAACUUCAAAAAAAGAUAAUGCUCCUUCUCUGCACAAAAAGUAUUGGUAAUGAGCAUGGAAAUCAUAUCUGAACAAUCUCACUCCACUGAGAAUAGCGAUUGCAGUAGAUCAUAACUAAAGAAGAGAACGUGUAGAGUCAAAGUAUUUCAGUCACCAACCUGGCAGAAGCAACCCCAGGAAUACCAUUGGUAGUGGGAGAAGAAUCUCCCUCAUCAUCCCCUGUCCCAUGAGAAGACUCAAAAGUUGAGUCAUCACCGCCACUAGCACCAUUGUUAGAAGAUGCCUCUUUCACAAGAUUAGAAUCAAAACUGCCAAACGUCAGACCAUUUUGCAGUACUUCGGCAACCUGAAGGUGGAAUGGAAAUGUUACAUGAGACCGUUUGCCAACAUCUGACUUGAGAAGCGAUUGAGCUUUGCCUUUAUUAGAUGCAGUCUCAUUUUCGGUGGCUGUCAAAAAGAGAAACAGAGGCUGAAUCAAAUAACAAACCACAUUUGCUGCACCAUUAGUGACUUAACAAGAUGACAAGAGAAUGAAAUUAAAGCUACGUCGAUGCAUACUAAAAAUUCAAGAAUAAAAAGGCCGAGAUACCUUGAUCUGCCUGGCUACUGCAAUGAGACGCAGAUAUCAAAGACGGAUCCUGAAGACCGAGUGUAGAUGAUUGCAACUCUGCUGGCUGGUUGUUCAUAACAGGUUGUGAGAUCUGAGCAGAAGUUGCAUCUUGCAUAUGGUUUUGUACAACAGAAACUGAGACAGGUGCAGCAACUGAUUCUGAAAUUGCUCUAGACGUCUCUGGUUCAACUUCAUCCACGGAGGAAGAAGUCGACUUGGAAGCACGAUUUUUCUCUGCAAGUCCCUUGUUCACAGUUGCAGUGAAAUAAUCCUGAGCUUUAUGAUUGCUUAACCCCCUAAAAGGUAUCCUUUAAUCGUGAACAACUUUAUAGGAUUAAAAAGAAAAAAAAAAAAGCUCCCAGAGCUGAAAAGAAUCACACACAGCUGAUAAGUAAAAAUUACUUUUUUCCACGAGGUACUGCGAGAUUUCUUGCUUUGUUAGUGGCAGGAAGAGAAACUCUAGGACCUCCUGAUACAUGGUUAGCUCCAAUCUCCCUUUUAUAAGAUGCACUUCUUCCAUUACUUGCAUCUGCAUAUCAACAAAGAGCUAAGAACAGGGAAGAGGAAGAAAACUACACUUGUCACUCAACGGUACCAGUAAAGGAAACAAAAAAAACUACCUUGAUGAGUGUUACUUGAAGCAACGUUCCUCCGGCCACUUAGGUCACUUCCUUGGGUAAUUGGCGCUAGAUUCUGCAACAGAAAAUAGACAGUAAUCAUAUGAGAUGGUGAAAAGCUAUAAGAGCAAGUGAUGGACCAGGAUUGCAAAGUGAAUCUACAGAUCAUGCACCUGAUAAAUCUAUAAGAAUAAAUUAAAAAAACCAAAUAAGGGGUUCAUAACAAACAAAAAAAAGAAACACUUGCCUCCUUCUUUUUCUCCCUUUUACUUUUCACCUCAUGAAAUGUAUCUGCAAUAUUUCAAAAAUGAUUGAGGUACAUUAGAACAAACAAAAGCGCCACGAAAACCAAAGUACAAAAAGCAACAGUUUUGAUGAGCAAAAUGAGAAGACAAUUUUGAAAAAUGCUGACAUAUAGAAACAGAAGAAAUGAUCCAUACUCAGAUGCCGACUAGAAUCAUACUAGUACGAACUCUAAACAGUACUAAAAAAAACAAAGAUUCCAAAUUCGAAUAGUUCCAGGCACCAAAGAGACACUUAUCCCAUGAUCUUCCGAAACAGAACAAAAAAAAAAUCAACAAACCCUAUCGGACAGACGAAAUCGAUGAAAUGCAAAAGAAAAAACCAAACCGCAGAGGCCCAUUCCAUUAAACAAAAUACAUACAACAAAAGAGGAAACCCUAAAGGAGCAGUACCUAAAAAGAGGAGCUUCUGGGCGGUCUCGUGAGGAUCAUUGAAGGAUUCCUUAUAGACGGCGAAGAUAUCCUCGUCGGAGUGCUGCUUGCCGGUAAUCUCUCUGAUACUCUGAAGGGUUUUGCGGAGAUGGUGCGGAAUCGAAACCCUAGAGGAGCCGCCAUCGGCGAAGCUGUUCAUGGUGUGUAAUGGGGAAAGAGAAGCGGGAGGAGAGAGAAGCAAAACCAAACCAAAAAAAGAAGACAACAAUUGAAAUUGAAAUUGAAAUUGAAAUUAGGACUUGCUUUGAAAUUACAAUAACAAUUCACAGAGAGUGUAAUUUCUUUCUUAUAUAACUCUCAUUGUCGGUAACUUUAUACGCUGACGUCACUUCACAACACUUCUUUUAGACUCACGCGCCGUAAAUUUAAAGUUUUGUUUUUUAACCCUAGAGUAGGCGAUUUAGCAAGAUUUUUUUUCUAUUUCGCCCAAAAAAAAGAGCAAGAUUUUUAAUUUACAACAUUCACACCAUUCACAACAUUCACAUGAAUGGUCUAAGUCUAAGGUUACUCAACUUCUUCUCCCAAAAUUACAUUGCAGCAAGAAUGCCAUCAUCGUCUAAGUCUCUUGCUUGCUCUGGAAAGUAGCGGUAAGAACUUGGCGAGUCUUCUCUUUGCACAACUCAUCAACUCCUGACAUUCAAGGUACUCCAUGGUGACUCGAUUAUACCAGCACAAAGGGCAGUGAAAGUUGCCGUCUUCAUCAAGGUUAACCGGGGAAUUCAAGCAUUCCCUGUGAACUCUAGCUGCACACUCGCUUCUGCAACAUAUCAACAAAGUUCCUUCUUUUUCACAUUUCCAGCAUACAUUCUCAGCUCGACCUCUAACCAUAUCUGACUCUUCAUCGCUCCCACUGAUUAGCCACGUCCCAUCUUUUGUACAUUUUACACGUGUAUCCUCUAGCCUCAUUCUUUUACAACUUAGAGGAAAUGUCCCGCCAGUAUCGAUCGCAUUUUCUUCAUCUUUCUCGUUUGUCUGCAUUGGAUCAUCCUUAUCAUCGAUCAAGAUUGCUUUACCCUUGUCGUUUAUAUUCGUCUGCUCCAAACCAAUUUGCACUUGCUGCUCAUCUACCGGCUUCUCCUCACAUACAUCCGUGUGCAAUGUUCCAUCAUCUCUAACAAGUGGGUCAUUUGCUUCCAUGGGAGGAGCUGCACUUGUCUGAUUCUCCAUUAAACUCACAUCUCUCAGCUACAAGAUCCAAACGAAAAAGAGAGAGAUUUGUGCAUCGUUGUUUCAAUAUAGUUUUGAAAAGGAAAAGCAUGAAACAAAGGAAAGGUGAGGUAUAAGAGAGUUUUACCUUCUCCAGUGCACAUUGUGGCAAAGACAUGUUCUUGUGAGCAAUAAAUGGAAGAACAUUGAACUUUGAUAGCUCCGGCAUUCCCGUUCGUAAGCUUGAUAUUGGAAUCUCAACAUUUGGGAAACAAACUACUAAGAUUAGAAACUAAUAGAUUCCUCUAAUUCUACUACUGCUAAUAGAUCAAGUUAGUUUACGGUUUUGCUCAUACAUCUUCACAAAUGGCUUUGAGAACAUCGGUGUUGCUCAAAGAUAAAUCGAACUCAACUCUUGACUCAGCGACACCGACGCCCGUAGCAUCAUCACUCUUGCUUGGAUCAAACAUGAACUCCAAGAUUCUAAGAGACAGGAGUUCAUUAAUCCUCCUCCCAUAGUCAUUUGUGCAGGGAUAACCCAUGUUCAUCAAAUCUGAAGCAACAGAGAUUUUCUGUUAACAUACACAAAAACGGUCCAUAUGUAAAAGAGGGGACUUUCCAAAUCUAAAAGUUACCGAGUAUGCAGCGUAGAUCCUUGACGAAUUUGGCUACAUAUUCGAUACACCAAAACCAUUCAGCGAUUUGAGGGGGUAGAGAUGAAUAUUCAUCAAUCAGAUCCUCAAGACUCAAAUCAGAAGCUCCAGCGUCAUCACUCUCUUUCUUCUUCUUCUUCUUCUUCUUCUUCUUCUUCUUCUUUCUUCCGUCCUCUUUCCAUUUCCCACCACCCCAUUCGUACAACGGGUCAAUCCACGGUGGCAGUAACCUGCCUCCUCCGGAAGUUACCGUUUCUUUGUCUGAAACUCUACUUUCGAGUCCUUCGGGAUUCAAAGGAGGAGGAAACUCCCAAUCGCCCAAAAUCUGUGUACUCUCUGUGUCCGAAUCCUUCUCCAUUCGGAAAUGGCGCACUGUAAACAAAACAAAAAGAAAGACUUUACGCUUACUUUUGAUUUGUAGGAUUAGACAACUUAGAGACACGUUAAUACUGAUUCCAGAAAACCUAAAUGGCUAAACCCUUUUCCUCUAAAACCCUCAAUUCCAAGUUUUCAACAUCACAAUCCCACUAAAGACAAGCCUAGAGCUCCGAUGCACUAGAUUUAAAUUCACUGAUGCGAAAACGCUAUCGAACAUACUAUAGAGACAGCGACAGAGAAAAUGUAAAGUAUUUGAAGAAAGCAAAAAGGGAAUCACCAAUAGGCUUAAAGCAGCGAGGAAGACGAAUUCGAGGAACCCUAAUAGCGAAUUUGUGUGCAAGCUUUCAGAUUUUAAACAGAAGAACAAAAGCCCAGAAACAGAGAGAAAGAGUAUUUAGUCACCAAUAUUUGUUGAUUCGCAAAUCUCCCGCCUCGAAUUCGAAAAUUCGAACUCGACCUUCUUCUUCGGUCACACCAUCCCGAGUCGAUUGCUUAAAGACUAAAGAAGAAAAGAUAACUGUAUUUGGGCCGUAUAGUGCCCUUAAAUAACUGAUCCACACCGUUGAAAUUCCUGCAUAAUAUCGCAACCGUCAAAUUAUAUUUAACUUUUUUAAAAAGGCAUACUAACUAAAAAAUGACAUCACAAUAACUUGGGCCUGCGCCAUUAAUGUGGGUCCAUUCUCAUGACUGAUCUCAACGGUUGAAAUGAAAAUGAUUUAAACAAAAAUGCUGCGUUACAAGUUAAUCAGAUGAUUCAGAUCAUCAUUUUCUAAAAACUGUAGUUAUAACAACAGUUCUUACUCUCAACCAAUCAGACCACAUGUUUAAGAAUUCUACAAAACCCUCUCACCGAGGUAGAAGCUUCUUCUUAAACUCAGUCAACAACAAUUUGUUCCGGUAUACAAAUAAAUAAAUGUGUGUAGGAAUCCAUGCGAUCGUAAAAUCCGUAUAACAGCUCAAACCAAAAUCAUCAAGAAUUCCAAAAUUUUCAACUCAAGAUUCUGAGUUAACAAGGAAGGCUUGUUGUUGCUUGCUCACUCAUCAUCCGUGCCAAAAUAGCGGUCUCCAAACUCGCCCAUGCCAGGAACGACUCGGAACUCAUCGUUUAAACCGAGUUCUAUCUCAGAAGUCACAAUCUUUAUCCUCGGGAACCUUUUGCACACCACAUUUACUCCUUGAGGUGCCUGAAGAAACAGAACCAGACUUGUUGUAAGCUUCUUAGCCUAUCGAGAGAAGAAGCGAGGUUUCAGUUUAUGUUUUGGUUUUCAACUUACAGAAAUGAGAUUGAGAAAGAUGAUGUUGGUUUCAGGUACGCCUUUGCUUAUGAGCAGUCUUAUAGCUUGCACGGCCGAGUUUCCUAUACACACACAAAAUACGAUCUUGUUCAUAUCUUGUCUUUAUACAAAGAGUAAGACCGGACUCUUGGCAGAACAAUAAAAAGCAGACCUGUCCCGAGGAUUGGGUCCAGCAAAAGAACGUGUCUUUCCGAAAUGUCUGAGGGUAGCUUCUCGUAGAUAAGCUGCCGGUUGCCAUUUGUUCAGAGACAUAUUUUGCCAGGAAGCAGUUAGGACAAAGUGAUGAUGAACAGGCAAAAGAACACAAACCUGCUGACCGUUGUCGCCUUCUCUGUGGAUCAGAAUCUUCCCAAUCUUGAUGCCUUUGCAGCAUGCUCUUAGAGCAUUCUCCAUACUCUCACCGCUGUUUAUCAACAGUUUCGAAGACGAAAUCAUUUUAUCUGGUCUUUGAUAAUUACUAUCUGUCUGUGUUGAGUAUUUGUGGGUGUUUUUUUACCUUCUGAUAACCGAGACACCACACAGCCUCUUACAGAAGUCCACACCCGAAUACACAGAUCCUAAAAUUACAGAAAACAAAAGAAAAAACAAUUUUAACAAUUGGAGAUUUCUGCUGCACAAGAUAUAAGAGCAUCUCCAAUGUAUGACUGCAUAUUUUUCUUUAUUUUGGAGUAACUCCAAAAUGGAGUUGGGUUUAAACUCCAUUUUUUACUCCAUUUUGGAGUUAGAAUUGGAGUAGGGUUGGAGAUAAUCUUGCUGCAAAUUCUAUUUUGCAGUAAAAUUUGGAGUAGGGUUGGAGAUGGUCUAAGUGUUUCAUUAGCUUACCUGUGGGAGUGACCACUUGCUUUUCUGCGAAGGGAAGGUGCCCGAGGCCGUGCUCAACGACCUGGCGCAAAGACAUUAUUAGGACCAACUUAGUAAAAAAAAAAUAACACGAAACAGAAAUCUAAUUUUGCCACCCACCAAACGAAUCAACCGAUCCGAGUAGAAGAUGAAGUCAUGCUUUGUUGUUUUAGAGUCUCUGAUUAGAGUGUGCAUCCCUCGUAUCUGCAAUCAAUGGCUAAAAGGAUCAGUCACUAAACAAGAAAAACGAUUGAUUGCCGUUGGUUAGACGAGAAAGGGAGGGAAUUAAGAAAAAACCUGAAAAGUGGACUGAAUGACAUAAAGAUUUGGAUAUAUUUUACAGAGAUCAUGUUGACCGAGCUUCGUGUGGAUGUGUUGCACGAUCAAAUCAAUAGCAACAUGGUUGUCACCACCACGGGGAAUUAUUAUAUCUGCGUAUUUCUUUGUUGGGAGUAUGAAAUCCUCAAACGCUGGCUUCACAAACUUUGAGUACUGUUUCAGAGUAACCCAAAACAAAACAUACAAACAAGAGUCAGCUUGACGUUGCUGUGACAAUAUUGAAGAGACUCUUUGCAGAGACGGUAACCUGGUCAAGAACAGUCGCGAUAUCUCUGGCCUUCUCAACAGUAUCGCGUUUAAUCCUUCUUGCUAAACGCACAUCGGCAUCUACAUAUAUAGAUAACGCCAAUUAUAUAACCAACAUGAGUAUAUACUAUAUACACUUGUUACAUGCAAUGCACAAGUACUCUAGAGUCUCUGCACAUAUGCUACGGAUUGGCUAGAUAUGUGUAAACAGUUUCGACGUGGGAAAGACCUGCAUCUACAAAUAUCUUCAUGUUCAUCAAAUCUCUCACACGAGGGUCAUGGAAAAUGAGUAUCCCUUCAAGGAUUAUAACAUCAGAAGGAUUUACCUGCGAAUAAUAUCAUUAAUAAAGAGAGUUAUUAGAAUAUCAUUAAUUCUUAAAAAGUGAAGCGUUCUGAAAAGAAAAAGCGCAUAUAGAUAGUAACGAAUACACAAGAGAGCUUAUCACUCCAACAUGAGUUCAAUCUCCAGAGAAGAGAUGCAAACUCCAAAUAGUCAGAACCAAGUGACCAUUCGACGACGAUAAAGUAAAGAUGCUAAUUAAGAGGCUCCCUUACCCUUCUAGGUGGAAAAACAUUGUUCUUGUAACUUUUGAAGUCAUAGUUGGGGAUAUCUACAGCUUGUCCUUUUCUUAACUUGUCCAUGGAACACAAUAAUUGCUCGGUAUCGAAAGCGUCUACGAGACAGGGAUCAAACUUCAUAUUUACAAGCAAGCAUAUGAUAGAUAAUUUUGGAGACUCAAAAGGCUAUAUAAGCGACACAGAACAGUCGGUAUUAGAUUUAGAGACUUGCUAACCAGGAUGGUCAAAAUUGUAAUCAUGAACUCUUGCAAGCUCCUCUUCAUUUACAUUAUGGUAGAAAGAAUCCUGCAAAUUGAUAAGAUCGAUCAAGCUCAAUGUAUUACAUAUAUGACCUACUACAACCACUUGUGAUCUCUUAUCAGAAGUAAAAACCCGUAAAUCAACAUUUAUUCAGAAUUUUCGAGUACAAGCACCUGAUUGACAACAACGGCUCUCUGAUCAUGCAGUUGCUGCAUAAUCAGAUCGCAGACAGUUGUCUUCCCGGAUGCUGCUCCUCCAGCAACUCCUGAAAACAACACAAAAAUCAAUAAGAAUCCACAUCCUAUUCACAUUUUUUCUGAUUCUAACUAUCCUCAGCUGGAGGUAAGAUAAAAUCAGCAGCAUCUCUCACCGAUAACAAAAGGUUGCCCAUGUUCGUCUUCAUCUUCAGCAGUAGCCAUUUGGUCUGACCUAGUUGAAUCUAAACCAUCCGUUUGAUGAAAUCCUGAGAAAUGAACCUUUGUGGAAGUUUCUAUCAUAUCAACAGUCGAUUUUGAAGCCAUUCCUACAUCCAAAAAUAAAAAGCCAAACAUAGAUACGUUUUAAAAUCACAUGGAAACGCCAAUAAGGAAUACAGAAGCUAUCACCUUUUGUUUGUCACCAUCUAGGAGUAAAGGAAGAACAAAAAGGACUCCUGCUUUUUUUGCUUUCAGUAAAAAAAAAAUUCCUUUCUUUUUAAAAAAAAAAAGAAGAAGAAAUAUCCAACUUUUGUAGUCAUUUAGAUUCCACAAGUGCCAAUGCCGUGAUACCCAUUUCCUCAAAUCCCGUUGAAAACACAAACCAAGCAACAAAAAGGACACUUGAAACGCGUUAGCACGAAUCAAAUCAACCAGAUUCAUCUUAAAAAUGUAACGCCGAUCCUAAACGGAAAACGCGAUCAUUUCCCGGGGAAAAGAAAGAUUAUGACGGAGAGCAAACAGAGAAGAAAGACAGAGAUAGAUAGAUCAAAUCCAUGCAGAAAAUGAAAACCCAGAACCAGAAGAAACGUUCAUUGAUGGAUCAUCGAAAUCAAUAACCGAACAUUCACAAGAAGAAGAAGAAAAGAAACUCACGAAAUUUAAAAAAAAAAAGGGAUUGAAUUAGCUUCCAGAUCACCGAUGAGCUACACAAAAGCUUCCAGUUUCAGAUAAAGAAUCCAACAUAGAUAGAGAGACACGCACGAGCAUUGCCUGUUAAACUCGAUGCACAGACAUAAACUGAGUUUUAUACAUAUAGUAACGUAUAUAUAUAUAUAUAUGUGUGCGGUGAAAGAGGAAGGGAGGAUGCAGCGGCGGAGACGGGUUAUUUACGAAAACCGGGAAGUGGUUUCUAGCUAUUGACGAUACUACCCUUCCCAAUGCAAUGUAUGUAACUGUCGAAUAAUGUGUUUUCGUUACUAUAAAAUAUUACUUAUAAUAUAUUUAUAUUUAUUUUGUUACCAAAGAAGAACUAUUUUUGGAUCGCAUCUGCAAUAUAUUUUCGUUUUUUCCAUUUCUAUUCAUUUUCAUAUACGUAACCUCCUACGUUUCCAAAUUUUCGCAAAUGCCUGAUUAGCUCUGAAUAUUUUAACCAUAUAAAAACAUCAUUUCAUCAUUUAUAGGCAUUUUUCAAAUCGGUGUAUAGUUUAAGGUAAUUUAUUUCUCACAUACAGUCUUGGGGGUUAUUUUUGGGCCUUGGGGGUUGCCGAUCGAAAAAUAGGGGGGUGAAAUUUUGGUAUUUCGAUUCUUUGGAUCCUCUUUUGUAAUAUUCUCAGAAAUGAGAGGUGUUGUUAUUAUAUUGGUAAAUUGGUAGGCGUUAACACGCAAUAACGCCUUUUAGGGAUAAGAAAAGUAAGCCAAUAACGACGACGUUUCUUGGGGUUUCGAGGAUCCAACUCUCACGGGUACAGUGGUGGUCAUGUUUUCGUCUUCAACUAGGUUAAUCGUAUCGGGUUUUCACCGGACUCGAACCCUAAAAUCGCCGGUAAAUCCUCCGAGACUCUUACUAUCCGUGCCUAGAUUCUUCCAUUCCGAGUCGAAAUCGAGCGACAGGAGAAUCGGGAUGAGCAGCGUAGAGAAAACCGGGUCGGAAUCGGGGGCAAUCGAGAAUCGGGCGAGCAGGAUGAGGGAGAAGCUGCAGAAGGAGCUCGAACCGGUGGAGUUGGUAAUCGAGGAUGUGUCGUAUCAGCACGCCGGUCACGCCGGUAUGAAAGGUAGAACCGACGAAGAGACGCAUUUCAACGUGAAGAUCGUCUCAGAGGGAUUCCAAGGAAUGAAUCUGGUGAAGAGGCACAGGCUAGUCUACGAUUUGCUCCGGGAAGAGCUCGAUAGUGGAUUACACGCGCUUUCCAUCGUGUCCAAGACGCCGUCCGAGUCCAAUCGUUAGGACAAGGUCUAUGAAGAGUUUUGUGUAAAAACUCUCCCUUUAUCAUUGAUGUUUUCCGAACCCAAUUCAAAGGCUCUGCUUUGGAUUUGGAUUUGAUUGCGUUUCGUGUUUCCGGAACCCACAACCAAAUUCUUCAUCUUUACAUACGUUUGAGGGUGUUGAUGUUUCUUAUGCUUUACUUUCAGUCUUUUCUCGAGAUUUGGCGAAUUCUCAAGAGAAUUUAGCACCAAUGUACAUUAGGAAAUGUAACACUUUCAUUCUUGAAACGGUUCUUGGUAAAGGGAGGCAAAAAAAUUGUUAGUGAAAAAACUGCAGGGAAAUUGAUAGUGAAGAAGAAAGAAUAUUGGAUCAUGAUUAUGUAAACUAAACGGUAUCAAGAUGGUUUUUUUUUAUAAUGGAAUCUUCUGUUACCACAGAAAGUCAGAAACUAUAGUCUAUAGACUUAUGAAACGUUAAGCUAGCUCCGAUUUAGGUUAGGUAGCCUUUGAAUUGAAACACAUUCAUGUCAUGUGUUCUCUUCCAUGCUACAGCAUGUUUUUCAAAACGCUAGAAACAGUACGCUCUUUUUUUCAAUCAUUAUUACUCGAGACCUGUCUAUGGGCGUAGAUGUUCCUUUUCUUGCAAGUUGCAACAAAGAUUAUGCUAUUACUUGCUCUAUGGAUGUAAACCAAAAACCAAUUAGUGAAGGCCUGUUGGGUUUCGUUUUGUGAUGUAAACCGAAUCGUCAUUUCUAUUUUUGAUAGGAAACUGAAUCGUCCCUCUUCUUUAGUUUAGCUCUAACAGUAACGUUACUUGCUACAUUUUGAAACUCAAAAAUAAAAUAAACCCAGAAAAAAAAAACACUGUCCUCCAAAGUAUCCCUCCAAUGGCGACGACGGUGCUUGACCUCUCGAAGUUUAUCAGAGACGAUAAUGAUGAUGAUGAAGUAUGGGUCACACACUAUUCAUCAAACCAGCAAAUACUUCUCGUCGGUGAAGGAGAUUUCUCAUUCUCCUGCUGCUUAGCCACUCGCUUCGGCUCUGCUUCCAAUAUCUGCGCUUCCUCUCUCGAUUCAUACGGUAACAUUUCCUUUGCACUCUUUCUUAGAGUUUCUAGGGUUUUGAUUUUCUUUUUCUCGUGAAUUUUCUAUGGCGAGAGUUUAGGUUUUUUUUUAAUCUGUGGGUUGAAUCGAAAUCAAUUUCUAGGGUAAACAGCUACUUAUCGUGGAGCUUAUUGGUUUCAAGUAUUGCAUUGUUCUGUUUACAUAUAGCUUAUAAACCUGGUAAAAAGGUUUUGGCUUUAUUAACUCUGAUCUCUUGUGCUGUUUCAUGUCUCGUCUCGUCUCCUAUGGUAAUUGUACGUAGCAGAUGAUGUGGUUAGGAAGUACAAGAAGGCAAGAUCAAACCUUGAAACUUUGAAGAGGCUUGGAGCAAUCCUUUUACAUGGAGUUGAUGCGACCAAACUGCAAUUCCAUCGUCAUCUUCAUUUCAGAAGAUUUGACCGAGUCAUCUUCAACUUCCCGCACGCCGGUUUCCACAGCAAAGAGUCCGAUCCCUGUCAAAUACAGUGAGUGUCAUGUUUUUCUUCUUUUGACUCAAAUUGUAGACUUUAGGGAAUUUUUUUAAAAAGAUUAUCACAUUAUCUUUGCCUGUGUGUUGUGUAGGAAGCAUAGGAAACUAGUGUUUGGAUUUUUCCAUGGUGCAAGCCAUAUGCUAAGGGCUAAUGGCCAAAUACAUGUCUCUCACAAGAACAAUGCACCUUUUUGUCACUGGGAGCUCGAAGAACUCGCUAGCAGAUGCUCUCUUGCGUUGAUUCAUUGUGUGGCAUUCGACAAGUGCAAUUACCCUGGUUAUGAGAAUAAGAGAGGAGAUGGAUCCAGAUGUGACCAACCUUUCCCUUUGGGAGAGUGCAGUACUUUCAAGUUCAGAGUCUCUAGCGUGGCUAAGGAGCUUUAUGCAGAGAAGGUGAAAUGGAGACGAGCAAAGGAACGAGAAUCAAAGUUUCCCCAAGCCUCAUCUGAUCCUUUGUAUCCCCUCCAUACACAAUUUCAAGGUGUUAGCCAAAGACCUGUUUCAUUGGAUGUCAGCUAUCACCACCAGGACCAUAAUAAGCUUAGGCAACUCCAAGAUCCUUAUGAAGAUGCUAGCUUUAUUCAAAGAUCAGCGUCGUUUGCUCUGGAAAGAAACCAUGCCCGGUUUCAGGACACUCUCAGAUACACUGAAAGAAGCAGCUUCCAAUAUCAUGACUUUCCUUUUCUAAUUAGUCAUCAUCAUCAUCAAGAACGAUUCCUUGAAUGCUCUAGCCGCUUCAAUGAGGUUAUUUAUAACAGGGAAGGACAACGAAUGUUGACAAGGACGAGCUUUCUUCAUCCGUACAAUGGAGAAUCACCAGAAAGACAACGCCUGCUUCGUCAAGACUUUCCGGUUCAAGCUAGUCAAGAACCGUACUUUGAACGCUCUUACCGCUUCAAUGAAGUUUAUAACUGGGAUGGACGAAGGAUGUUAACACGUACCAGCACAAGAACAAAGCUUGACUAGGCAGAGCGACCUCAACAUUUACACUCCACAACACUGGUAAAAAUCAUUAUUCUCUGUGUAUAUUAUGAAAUCGAAAGCUAAGUCGAUAUGAAAAGUUUUCCAGGUGAGUGAUCUUCAAAGAAGUUGUCAUGAUAACUUUGAUGGAAACAAGGUGACUGAAGCUUGGACUUGGUAACAAAUCUUUAAGAAUUGCAGUUGGCUAACUAUAUUUUGACAGCUAAAAACCACGAUGAUCUCAGUUAUGUAGAUGAUAAUUAAGGGUAAUUUUUUGUGUAUGUAUUUAGUUUUUGGAGAAUGUGCGUGGUAGAAGUGGUUGUGAGUCUUGCAAAUUAAACGGUCUCUCUUGAUAUCUCCACUCUAAGACACUACCUGGGCCAGAUAGUUUGGUACGACACGUUUUUGUUUGUGUUUUUACUUACUUUGCUAUCUGGUCAAACAGCUUAAUAUAUGAUUUUUAUUAUUCCGCGUAGACUAGUAUAAACUAUAAAGUAUAAACUUGACCUUAGCCGACAAGGCGAAGACGAUCACUAUCCGAGCGACAUAAACUCUAAUCAAAUCAAAUCAAAUUAUAUAAGCAAGUAAUUGAAUAAUGAAAGUGUCAGGGUAACUGCAAGGAAAUUGAUAGUGAGAAUAAAUAAGAAUAAUAAAAAUGCAACUGGUGACUUUCAAGGAAUUUGCUUAUAGAGUUACUACGAAUCAAAUCCAAUUUGCGUUUAAACUCUUAUACCUAUUAUAAUGAUUAACGACCAAUAGCAUAAAUUUCAUACUAAUUAAUAAAUUUUAGAGAAAUAUGUUAUAACCUUAAUUGAGAGUUUUGUCAAUACUAUAAGAUUGUUUAAAUUUAAUGCAAAUUCUAUAAAUUAUUCUAUGAUCUAAAACAGAUCAUCCAGAGAGAGAGAGAGAGAGAGAGAAUUUUCAUGUUAUUUUUUUUUCCAAAUUAGGAUUCUGGAUAUUUCUCAUUCAUUGCGUUUGACAAUUGCUCUCAGUAUAUAUAAUCAGUAGAUGAUAUGACAUUCAAAAAUCCCUAUAUCGAUCCGAGUAUUCACUAUAUUACAUUUAAAAUCUUGGUUUCUCUCCUUACUCAAAACCUCAUAUCGGAAUCUUCUCUCCGGCAGUAAGAUGAGGGUAAGUAAAGUGCAUUUUUUUGUUUUCCUCAUGUCUUCUCUGUGGUGAACCUACUUUCUUGCAAAACAUGGAAUAUAUGCAUAUAUUAUAUAUGUAGGCGAAUUUUGAAAAUAUUUGUUGAUGAGUUCUAUAAUUGGUUAUAUCAUCGUUUAUUUCUUCAGCAAAGGAUAGUUUUGAAGAUGGAUAUGAGUGAGAGUGAGAAAUCAAUGAAGAAAGCUAUGAAAAUCGCAUCUGGAACAUCUGGUUAACAUCUCUAUAUAUAUUUGACUUUUUUUUUUUGCAAAAACUUGCAAGCCAAGUUAGGUCAUGUGAAUCGUUUCAAGCAAGGUUUUGUUAAUUUAUACGUGCGUGUAGGUGUGAGAUCGGUCUCGAUUCAGGGACAGAACGAUCAGUUGGUUAUAUUGGGAGAAGGAAUUGACACGGCAGAGCUAACACGUGAGCUCCGGAAGAAAGUUUGUCACACGACCAUCGUCGCCGUUCAGGCCGCGCCGCCGCCGCCACCGCAGCAACAGCGACCACCGCAGCCGAAUCAUAUGGGACAUCAGAACGAGAUGGCUCCGGCGAGAAGAUGCAUAUGUGAGAUACCGAAUUCGGGUUUCUGCGGAUUUUGUAGAUCUAUGAGUGAAACCCCUUACCACCAGAUGAUAGCUCCGCCGUAUCCUCCUCCGGUGAACUAUGUUGGUUACCGUGAUGAUCCUGAUGGUUGCAGAAUCAUGUGAUGUGAAACUACUUCUGAGUGAUUUUUGUUUGUUCUUUUUUUUUUUCUAAUUUUUCUUAGUUUUCUGAUCACGUUAUUCUGUAGAUACAAAAUUUAAAAAUUCGUGGUGCUGUAAAUAUUAUGUGACAGACACUCUAGGAAAAACAGAUUUUUCACUAAACCCAACAAAACAAAAAAAAAAAGAGAGUGAAAUUUAAUGUUUCUUGAUCGAAGUUACACUCAAACUAUGUAAAUGUUCAACAACAAAAAAAAGUUACACUCAAACAAACUAAAUAAAAAAAAAAAUUAUAUGUGUGCUAACACUCGUUCAUCUUGGUCGUACUUUGUCACAUGUCAUCAAGUGAAAACUUCUGCGUCUUAAAAGCAAAUGUAGAGAAGAAAUCAAUUUCAAAUUCUUUUCAAAUAAAAUAUUAAGCUGUUUUUUCCUGUCUCAAGUUGUGCUUAUGUAUCUAUCUAUAAUGUAAUGAAGUCAAGUCCACUAUUAUAAACAAAAUUUAAGGACUUUGCUUUGGUGAAUGUCCAAAGACUAGUUCCUCGAAAUAUAUGUCAACAUUCCAAAGAAAAUUGGUUUAAUUCCCACAGAAGUAAAGUAAUUAUUAUUAUUAUUUUAGAAUACUAAAAAUAUUCCUUAAUCUUUACGUAUAUUCUCGGCCUCAAACGCGGGAAACGUGAUCGUGUCAAUUAGUCAAUAUCAAUUGUUUUUCUUCCAUUUUUGGUAACUCAAUAUCAAUAAUCAUUCAGUGCGGGAAAAUCUCAAAAGCUGAAAAAUAAAAUAACAAAAAGGCUCGAUUCUCAGUGUAAGAAACUUUAAGGAAACUACAGAAAGGAAGAGAAAUUGUAAAUGAUGAAACUUAAUUGUUUGCUGUAAAACAAAAACAAAAAAAAAGAAGAAGAAGAAGAAGAAGAAGAAACUGGAUUGAUUGAAAAGAUGCCGAAUUAAAACAGAAGAAUAUGUAUACUGCAUGAACUGAUAAAUAAAUAAUUAUACUACAAAAUACAAUCUUUAUUCUUUGACCUGAAGCAUUUGGUUUAGGUCUGGAUCAGAACUAGCAGCAUCUUAGCCCAUAUCCUCAUUCACGCGAAUAGGUCCAAUCAGCCGGUAGGCUCAUUUACCUAUCGGCCCAAUCGGUUGUUAUUUACUUAUUUGAUUUUCUGUUUUGCAGUUGCAAAUUUCCCGCCGAAUUUUAAAGGUAAAUUUUGUUUUCCAUUUUAAUACAAACAAAACUACUAAAAUUAGAAUUCUUCAACAACAAACAAAAACGAUAAACAAAAUUCGAUUUAUCGUUUUGGAGGUUUCAUAUUUAUCAAAUAUAAAAUCUUUCUUCAUCAACCACAUUCCUCAAAUCAAAACCCAAAAGAUGAAGCAAUUCGCCGGACUUCUCUUCCUCUGCAUCGUUCUUCUCUCCUCACUCGCCGGAAAUGCUGAUUCCGAUCUGAUUUCCGAUCUGUGCAAGAAAACCGACGACCCAAAACUCUGUCUCUCGAGCAUACAGUCGCGUCCCGAGUCCGGCGAGUUCGCAGCCACCAGCAACCAGAUCGAGAUCAUAGCUAUCUCCGCCGUGUCGGCAAACGCCUCCGCCACAUCCGCCUACAUCAAGGAAAAGCUCAGCCGCGAGGAUCUUGAGCCGGCCACGGAGGACACGCUCGAGGACUGUCAGAAGAACUACCAAGACGCCGUUGAGCAGCUCGACGACUCCAUCUCCGCCAUGAUCGCCGACGCACACGCCGACGUCGACGUCUGGCUAAACGCGGCGAUCAGCGCCGUAGAGUCAUGUGGGAACGCGUUGGAGUCACGCGCCGGGAACGAUGUGGAGCUUUCUCAGAGGAACGAGGUUUUUCUCAAGCUUUGCAAAAACGCUUUGGUGAUUAACAAGAUGUUAACUUGAGCAGAUUUAAUUUUAAUCUCCAAAAAUUUGAGAGAUUAAUAAUAUUUGGUUCUUCUUUUUUUUUCAACUUGUUGUUGCUAUGAUUAAGAUGAGUUCGUUUGCAUCAAAGAAAAACAUCAAGAGCAGAUUGUUUUAUUAUUGUUUCAUGAUCAAAUACAAUGUCAUUUUUUUGUCAACCAAAGAAAAACUAAAACCUAAAUUAGAAAUAGUGAACCCAAGCAUAAUAUUAUAUUUUAUUUAUUUUUAUUUCUAAUAAAUAUAUAUAUAUAUAUUAUUUAUUUGUUUUAUUUCUAAUAAAUAUAUAAUAGUGAACCUAAGCAUAAUAUUUAUUUGUCUUAUUUUCAGAAUUUUAAACUUUGAUCUCUGAAUUUUAAUUUUUAAAUCCAAAAUUCUAAUUUUUAUACUCUAAAUCAUAAUCUAUAAACCUUAAAAAAAUUAAAAUAAAAACUAAAUCGUAAAUUAGAAUCUUUAUAUAUAUUAUUUAUAUAUAUAUAUAUAUAUAUAUUUAACAAAAUCUUUGAUUGAAUAUUUAAUUUUUUAAUUUUAAUUUUUUAAUUUUCUUUAAAAAUAAUAUUACAUGGCAGAUUCUCAUUGGCUUAAAUGAAAGAGGGUGAAUGAAUGAAUUCACCCAUAGGGAUGAACCCAAAAAUUUUCCAUAAUUUUUUAAUUUUAAUUUUUUAAUUUUCUUUAAAGAUAAUAUUAUAUGACAGAUUCUUAUUGGCUUAAAUGAAAAAAGGUGAAUGAAUGAAUUCACCCCUAGGGGUGAACCCAAGAAUUUUCCUUGUUUUUAUUAUUGUUUCAUGAUCAAAUACAAUGUCAUUUUUUUUUGUCAACCAAUGAAAUACAUGUUUUGACAAGAAAAAAAAAAUACUUGUUACCAUUUUAAAACCCGACCCGAAUGGACACUGUCUAUUGGGCUUAAAUUGUGAAAGCCGCUAUUUGGUUUAUAAUCGGGUCCAUCUUAUAUUUCCAAUUGGUUUAAUUAGAUGAUAAUUUUGUCUGGAUAAACUUUUUUGAAAAAAUAUCCAUUUCGAUCAAAUGAACAAAUGAACAAUUCAGUUUCUAUCCAUUUAUUUGGUCUAAUUAAGAUGAAAUUGGAUCGAUUUGGUUUAUUUAAUUUAAACAUCCUUGCCUUCAAGUCUUCAACUAUAAAAUCUCAUGGACAGUAUGAUUAGGAGGUGUGGAAAAAAUGUGUAAAAGCAAAACAAAGGUGGAUAGUUGAAAUCCAAUAAAAACGGAACCAAUGGUGGAAACCUACUCGACCCAUCAUGAAAUUUUUCUAGUCAAAUUGUUUUACCAAACUCCAACUUCAUCGUUGACCUACCACAUUCAUAACGUAAUCAAUUAUUUUGAUCUAUCUAUAUUAAACCAAUAUUAAUAAACAACUGUUUUCUAACAAAAAAAAAGGUGCAUUAGGAUAAUCAAUUGUCAAGUUUUGAGAUACAUAUUCAGGAUUCAAGUCUGAUAUUUUUCGGAAAUAUACGGACACGAUCCAUUUGGACAUCAUUUCAAAGAGGUUGCUUGUAAGAUGGGGUGUUGGAUAGAUUCUAGAUUCAAUGUCCCACAAAUAGACAAAACACAGAUACCUUUCUUCUCCACCUGGAUAAAUUGUAUAUAUACACUUGUUCUACGCUUUAAUAUUUUAUUUCCCAAAAAAAAGUUAUUUUUUCUUGUUAUUCAUCACUCAAGAUGUAAUUCACAAUCACAUUAUUAUAAAGCUUACUAAAUAUACAGUGGGUGUAAGAAAGAAGCUUUAAUUUUAAAUACUAUUAUUAGAUAUAUACCUAUGUUCACAUAAUUCAAACAACUUGCACAUCAAAGAUGAGAUCAUAAGAGAAAACUUGCACUCUUGUAAAGUAAUUCAAGAUUCCACUAAGACCCCACCUUGUUGCAUUUCCUCUUAACAAUGAUAGAAUCUUGCUUUUUAUUUGCUUUUUUUUUCAAUUAUUUAUGGAUAAAACUAUAUUUUUAUCAACCAACUUGAUUAUACUUAAUAUUAGAAACAAUCUGGUUUUCAAGUAUAUGAUAUCCGAGAAAUUCUUGUAGUUUUUUAUAACCAAAAAAAAUCGAAACACGAUUGCAGUUAUAGUGGUUACUGGUUAGUUAAGGAUUUGAAUUUUACUGACCCCAGAAUCAAGUGUGGUGAAGGACAUGGAAGAAAAUAUAAAUAUGCAUAGAUUUUGAUUCGUUGAAUUUCGAAUAUGUGGGAAAUGGAUGGGAGAUUCAAGUUGAAGAAGACGAUGAAGUUUGGAAGUUGCAAAGGAGUGGGCAAAGGAACCAAGUUGACAUAGAAUGCACGCAAAUCUAUGCGAGUGCUGAAAAGAACACUUCUCUCACAUUAAUCUAUACAAUUCUUCUGUCACUCAAAUUGAUUUAAACAAUUUUAUAUGUACAAAAUAUUUGUAAAGUAGAUAGAUUUGCCUAUCUUGGAAGCACACAAAUUCCAAUUGCUUCCAUCACACUCCAACGCCAAUCUCACAACCUAUGGUAUUAAAUUUAAAACGCAUUGUGAAACUCUAGAUUUAGAUUCAUAAUAAAUCAAGAUUUUCAUAUGUAGACACUAUCUAAGCACUCAGUAUCAAGUUAUUAUGCAUCAACAAUAACUAAUUGGAUGGUUACAUGUAGUGCACACUGUUUUUAGGCUAAGAUCAUUAGAAUAGUUUUAUGGAAUUAAUAAAGUUAAUACCAGAAAUAUUCUAUGCUAAGAUCAAUCUAUACUUUGAAAAGGAGAAAAGAAGAAAAACAAAGAAAAGGAUAAUUCAUUCGUUGGGGGUAAUUAUGUAAAUGAUAAACCACAUCGAACCCAAGAAAUGUUGAAGUAUCUCUAAAGUCUGAAAUUACGUUGGAAGAGAAGAAGACUAGAGAAGUAUCCAAUAAAUGGGACACACGCCCCAUAUUAGAGAAUAGAGACUAGUGCCCAGUUCGUGAAAUAAGACAAGGAACAUAGCACCAAACACUUCACUUUCUCAGUUUCUCUCUCUCUCAACCAAAAAAAAAAGGAAACGAAACCUUUCAAAUGACGUAAAAGCAAAACACUGACUUUGCUUCCCCGGAAUUACCAAUCCAAGAAACGCUAAUGAUUCCUCCCUCCAUUAAACAACUCCUCUCUCUAAACCCAAAUCUCAAUCCUUCUCUCUUUUGAUUCUGUUCGCUUUUAACCCACACAUACAGAUUAUACAUAGUUUCGUAUGUGGAAGAAGAGUGUAUGCCAGAAAAAUCCCCCCUUUCUCUCCAUAACCUAAAUCACUCGAUCAUAAGUAGAAGAAAAAGGUAAACUUUUUUUUUGGGUGAUUUUAUAUGGUAAGAAGAGGAGAAAAGAGCAAACCUGGGAAAGUCAGGGGAGAAUUUGCUGGAGGGUUUAUUGGAUUGUAUCCAUGACAUCACAUCGGCUUUGGCUUUCGCUAGGAUGACUGAUUCUGCUUAUAGAGUUGACACCAUUUCCAGGCUCGCCCAAUGGCGAAUCCACAACCUUUCUUCCUCCACUUACCGCAAGUCCGAUCCUUUCAAGAUGGGUCUCUGGAAUUGGUAUCUCUCUCCUCUCUCUCUCCUUCCUUCUUUCCUUUUUUCAUGACCCGACAUGAAUGAUGGCGAUGAAUGAAACAAAAGUGGGCACCUUUUUUUCUAAUUGAUGUGUUUGGUGAUUGAUUUUGACAAUUUGGUGUGUUGAUUAUAUCCAAGGCAUUUGUCUGUGGAGAAAAGCAAGAUGCUAUUAAAUGUUAAGUUGUAUCCAGAGGUAUCAAACCUCACCAGAGAGAAUCCACCUGUUGCCUCCUUUGCUCUUCGUGUUGUCUCUUCUGCCGGUGAAAGGAAAGCUUUAUCUCAUCCAGGUCAAUAAGAUCUUGCUAUUUGAUUUUUUGGUUUCCCCUGCUUUUGUUCCUGUUCCACUUAAGAUGAAUCAAAAUGCUGACACUAUUUCUUUCACGAAUUUGUAUACCCGAAUGCAGAAGUAAUAGAUAAGCGGAUCAAGACAAACGAAGAUUUUCUUUGGACGAUUGAAGUUCCCUUAACUGGAAAAAUCAUCAUCGAUGUUGAGUUUCUAGACCUGAAGGUUCUGUCUCAAGAUGUAAGUGUUUCCAUCACUUCAGAGAUGUUACUAAGAAGAACCUUAUAUAUGUUUGGUGUGUUUAGUUGAUACUUAACUGAAUAUGGCAGAGUGGAGAAUUCUACUCAAUCUGGGAAGACGGUUCAACGCAGAAUCAAUCCAAAGCGUCAGCAGUAACAUCCCUUGGACGUAUGUUGGAAGAAAGCAUUUACACAGACAUAAUGAUCAAUGCCUCUGAUGGAAGCAUUGGAGCUCACCGAGCUGUUCUUGCUGCACGUUCACCUGUUUUCCGCAGCAUGUUUCUACAUGACCUUAAAGAGAAAGAGCUCUCAGCGAUCAACAUGCCCGACAUGCCUCUUGAUGCUUGCCAAGCGUUCCUCAGUUAUAUCUAUGGCAAUAUCCUGAACGAAGACUUUCUUAUCCAUAGAUUAGCUCUCCUCCAAGCAGCAGAUAAAUAUGAUAUUGCUGAUUUGAAAGACGCGUGCCACUUGAGUCUUGUAGACGAUAUCGACACAAAGAAUGUUCUUGAGAGGCUUCAGAAUGCUUAUCUCUACCAGUUACCUGAGCUCAAGGCUAGCUGCAUGAGGUAUCUUGUGAAGUUUGGUAAGAUAUUUGAGAUCCGUGAUGAGUUCAACAUAUUCAUGCAGUGCGCAGACAGAGAUUUGAUUUCUGAAGUUUUCCACGAAGUUCUCAGUACCUGGAAAGGAUUUUAGGGGGGAAUCAGAAAGGGUAUGUGUGCUAUUAUUAUUAUACAAGGACUAUUUUUUUGUGCAGAAGGAUUUGUUGGUCUUUAUGUACAGAUUAAAGUGUUGUCAGGGUUUUAACUCAAAACCCCCAAGUAUUGUCCUUGCAAGGAUAAAAACAGCAACAUGUAAAUUCAUGAUUUGAUUGAAUGCGAGAGCUUCUUAGCUUGAACUUUGGAUUGUUGGUCCAUAACACUAAUACUGUAUAUAGUUAUCAGUCUUAUGCUUUUAAAGUAAAAGUUUGAAAUCAGUUCUAAGUUCCAAGCAGGAUACCAGGCAAAGAGAUUCUAAUAGGGAUCAAAGGCUUAUUCUAGAGUUAGGCCAAGCUAAACUUUAUAUAUCCUCUCAUACUCUGUUAUAAUAGUACCAUUCAUCAUACGAGCAAAUGCCACAGGAAUAAUUUUAAGUGAUUUUGCAAAACUAAGCUACUAGUAACAUAUCAAAACCAUCACUCUAUAAACAUGACAACUAAACGUCUUAUAAUGUACAAUAUAUCUUAUAAGAUAUAGAGUGAUAUGGUUUUGAUAUGUUUGGAGAAUCAUGAAAUUUUGUACAAGAAACAUUAUAAAAAAACUUUUAGUUGUCAAUCUUUUUAACAUGAUUAUCAAUGAGUUCAUUUUGCAGCACAUUACAAGAAUCCAUAUGCCAUUUGACCUGAUUCGUAAUUAUGUGUUCCAAGCAGGAUAAGAGAUAUACUUAUAGUAUGUACAGAUGGUCAAGUUAGGCCGAGCUAAACAUUUCUAUAGAUAUGUAUCCUCCCUUAAUCUAUAAUCUCCGCACGGUUUUAAAAUGGUCAUCACAUAAGCUAAACAAUUCAUAAAUGCAACAGGAAUGGUUCAGUUUCAGAGAAUUCUCUAUACAUAAGCCCUUGUGCUAUUUAACAUUUUCAUUAAUUUAUCAAAAAGAGAAAGACUAGAAUCUGUGAUCAUACUUGAUACUAUACAUAGAUACCGUUGAUGCCGAACAUAAGCUUAGCGACAAUGAUAGCAGAGAUAAAAACACACCAAAAGGAACGAUCUGAAUCAAGCCAAUCACCGAAACCAAAGCCCUCGAAAGCGGAGAGUAAACCAAAGCGAAAGGUGUAAAGGACGUGUUUAGUGUCCAUGGUAUACCCAAAGGCAAUCCAAAGCGAAAGCCCAAACUAAAUUGGGCUUAACGUAGAGUUGAGCUGGAAGAUGGCGAUCCCAAAGGCAAACACGGAGCAUAUGUAGAUCAAAGCAUCGAUGGUCGAGUAAUAGUAAGGGAAAUAAAACAUGGCUACCAUAAGAAUCACAGAGUAGCCCGCACGUGUAGCAGGAAGAGGAGGCUCGUUUGGAUGCGAAUAAUAUUGUGGGACACUUCGCGAUAUCUCCCUUGUCGUGGCAUUGGAUUUUAAAGAUUCUAUCUCAAAAAAACACAUUAUCGAAGGAAGAGAUAAUAGUGCUGAUUUGAGACGUCCAUAACCUAUACCUAGGCCAUUCCACCGGUUUUAAGAUUGCAUCAAGAGCAGCUGCACAAUCAGUCGCUAUCGUUAUAUCCAUCAAGUGAAGAUCCCUUAGGCUUUGCAAUGCUCAGAUAAUACCUCUUAGCUCUGCUGUUAUUCGGUUAUGAAAGCAGGUCAAGGCAUCUCUUGCGUGAAACAGAACAGUACCUGAUGAGUCUCUUGCAAGCCACGCAACACCACUAAGUAGAGAGGCACUUCUCCAAUUGGCAUUCACAUUACAUUUCACGGUACCUGGAGGAGCACUUCUCCAAUUGUUUAUGUACAGAUUAAAGUAUUGUUAGGGUUUUAACUCAAAACCCCCCAAGUAUUGCAUAGUUAAUUAGUUUUUCUUUUGCAAAUCAAAGGGCAUCAAACAUUUUCAAACCAAUAACACCAACCAAUCAAUUGUUUUCACUCAGCUUAAAGAAUGUCAAUAGUAACAAACAGCUUAUGAUCAUGUUUUUGAGUAGAAAACAUUCCACAGCUCCCAUAAUUCUGCAUGGAAGAGAGCAUAUAAGGUGAUUAAAAGUUUUGGUGUACACAGAGACAGAGAUGGCAGAAUCAAAAGGACACAAUAUGAGCAAAAUAAAUGUCAGUCGUACAAAUCUUUAGUGUUUCUUUUUCUUUUGGUUAUUUCUGUUUCAGCCAGCCAGAUACGAAAGUGGCAUUUGCCAUUUGUUAUGCAUACUACACGAUUAGUGAAUAACAAAAAAAUAAAUAAAAGUUUUAAGAAAGAAUUAAAUAUAUAGGACAAAUAAACCUAACUAUUGUUAAAUUUUGUCCCAUUAAUACUUCUACUAAUAAUUUAACCUUUUCUACCCUUCUAAUUCGAAUUUACCCAUAUAAUUAAAAUUUAUGAUAUAAAAUUUAUUCUAGAAAGAAAGAAAUAUAUUCGAAAAAGAAAGAAAUAUAUUCUCUAGAUCUGAUUAGGAAAAAAAUAAAAAAUUUAAGAAAAUAAUUAGGAAAUUAAAUAAUUGGAAAAGGAAAUAAAUAUAUUCUCUAGAUCUAAUCCUAGAUUCUCGGAGAUUCAGUUAACCAAAUUGUAGAAUAAGUAUUCUAUAAUUAUAGAACAAAGAGUUUCCGUAGAAAACAAUUCUACUAAGAUAUAGAACAAAGAGGUAAAUAUAGAAAGAUAAUUCUACUAAACUGUAGAACAAUGAAAAAGUUAUAGAAUACGGUUUCAUAACUUUGUAGAACAUAGAAGAACUGUAGAUAACUAAUUCUAUAUAUUUAGUAGAAAACUAAUGAAAUAGUAGAUAGUCUAUUCUAUAAAUUUAUAGAUUUAUAGAAUGCACUUUCUACUAAUUCAUAGAACAUUUGUAAAAAGUUGUUUAAAAUUUUUUUUUGGCAAAAAGAUGUUAUGAAAUGUUUUUGUCUUCCCUUUUCAGAAUGAUCCAAAAUUUUUUAGAUUAUAAAAUUUUUUUUUAAAAUUUUUGUAAUUGUAAAUUAAUGGUAUUUUUAUCCAAAAGUGGUCAAGUUUGAAAAAGUAUUAAGGGGACAAUACUACAGUUUUUUUGUCCUAUAAAUAUAAUUGAAACAUAAGAAGGUCUAGACCCCUAUAUGAAAAUGAUAAUCUAUAAUUAAGUGGCUCUAACUCAUAUGGUUACGGAAUUAUGAAAGACCAGUGGCGGAGGUAUAUACAAUGAGUUGGGGGCAGUUGCCCCCAAUAAAAAAAAAUAUUUAGUGUAAAUUUGUAACAAUAAUACUAGUUGCCCCCACACUAAAUAGCAUAUAUGUUCCCAUUAAAUACGUUUUGUCCCUAAUAGAAAAAUGUUCUGGCUCCGCCACUGUGAAAGACAUCAGUGUGACUUGAAGCAAUGCUUUGUUUACUUCAAAGUUUGAUAUUCUGUGUAUAAUUAAAAAGUUUAGUCAAAAUCAUGAAUUUUCACUCAUUAUCCAUAUAUAAUCUAUAGAGAGACAAUGGUCACGUACGUAACAUUGUCGUUAUUUGACAAAAAAAAACCGUUUGUAUAUCAGAAUAAAACGAGAGAGUAUCUGUUUGGUUUAUAAUCAUACGUUAUUAUACAUAAUUAGACAAAAAUAGAUCGUAAAUGCUUAGGAAACAAAAUAGAUCAUCAUAGAUAUAGGUAAUUAACGGGGAAAAAACAAGAAUUCAUAGCCAAAAAAGAAAGAAAGGAAGUUUUAUAUAUUGAAUGCAGCUAUAGAAAAUACGAAGAUCCAAAAUGAUUGAUUCCUAUUUCCCAUUACGUUUUGGGUUAUAAUUACAAGUUUCUGAAUCAUAUAUUUCCAAUCGAUCGAAUCCAAAAGAAGCAAAACGAAAAGAAAAAAGAAAGAUGUUGAUGUGGGACUACUAAACAAACUAAAUUGGGCUUGACCAUCUGCUAGUAGUAGUCCGGGCUAAUGUCGAUCCAGCCUAAUUUCUUUCAGCCAUCUGCAACGGGGGACUUGCCUGGGAAGCUCAGCGACGACAGCUUCAGCCGGCGGGGGAGGUGGAGUGUUCAGGACUGCCAAAAGAAGCGAGAAGCAUACGCUUAGGACUAGAAUGUAAUGCUUCUUUGGAUAUUCUGCGACUGAGACGGUGAAGGCAGCAAUGAGGACUCCCUGGGCGAUUCCAAUGUCAUCGGUGAUUUUGUUGAUGACCCAGAACGAUAGUAGAAAGAGAAAGUAAAAGAUAGCGGAGAUGGCUAUAUACACAUCUUUCUCUGCCACCAUUCUUUUCCCCAGCCAGAGGAACAAAAAGAAGAAUCUAAUCGUAGUGACUCCCUUGAAGAUAGUGAAUGCACAAUCCCCAAAUUUAACAAGGAUUUUUUGUCGUGCCUUCCGUUACAAAUUGUGGAAUCCAAAUCAAGCAAAAGGAAACCAAUAUCACAUCGGCGAAAUACAUUGCUUCAUCGCCAGAGUGAUUCUUGCAAUACACCGAUUUUUUUAAAAAAAAGUUGUAGAGAUGAGCAGAUAAGCAGCAGCUUGAUACUUGGGAUAAAUAGAACCCAAGAAAACCUGUGAUGCGAGCGGCUGGGUUCAGACUUGGAAAUCGGAUGGUGUACCUGGGAAAAGCUGGAUUUCCGGCCAUGAGUAUUUGGAAAGAAGAAAAUGUAUUGGAGGAAGACAAAGAAAAUGUAUUGGAGGGAAGAACCAGAGGAAUUUAUAAAUCGACGCUGAUAUAAAUGAUAUUAAUGGGCCGGGUCAGUUUGAUUAGAGGCCUUAGAGAUUCGAGUCCUUAAAUUCUUGUCCUCAAAAAAAAAACCUCGAUCUUCAAAUCCCUUUCAUGGUUUAGUCUUGGAAAUUCGAUGGGGAAAAGCUGGAUUUCCGACCAUGGAUGAAUAAAGAGAAAGGCUCUUGGAUAUUUGGAAAGAAGAAAGAAUUAGUGAAUUUGUCCGCGCCUUGCACGAGCUGAUAUUAUUUUUUAUUUGAUUGUUUAAAAAUGUAAUAUAGUUUAGAUUAAUUUUUUUAUUCUUUAUUAUUGUAUAUAUUUGUUUGUUAGAUUUCUUUGCAUUUUAAUGUUUAAAAACAUGAUGUUGACUAUAAAUACUAUCAUUGUCUUUUUUUGUCCAUUUGGCUGAUAUGUUUUUUGAACAAGACUACAAACUAUAUAUAUAUACAUAUUUAUAAUAAUCAUAGAACAUAAUGAUUUGAAGUAUCGUACAAAUUUAUUCGAAGAAUAAAAUAAGAAAUUAAACAAUUUAGAAGGAUGUGAGAGAAUUAGGGAGAAAUUGUGUACAUAUUUAUACUAAAACAUUUGAAGUCAAAAACCGUAAUAGAGACAUGACAAAUUCCGUUAUUCCAUUAGAUAUUCUAUUUAUUGAUUUUUACUUUUUCGUUUAUUUGACUGAAUAUCAAUUAACUAAAUUAGAAAACGGUUUGAUUGACAGUGGACUGAAACAUUAAACCACAAUAAUUUAGAGCGGUAUGUUUUAAGUUAUUGUAAUACAUUAUCAGAUAAAAAUUAAUAAAAAAUGACACUUAAUUGGAAAAUAGGGUUAAAAAGUCUUUUUGCGUCGAAAUUCAUUCUAGAGUUGACACAUAAGCAAAACUUUUUGAAACUUGAUGAGAAACCGAGACCUAAGCUUUUCACUAUACAAAUAGUAUAUAGAAUUGGAGGAAGACGAAUUAAGAAUUGGAGGAAGGAAUUUAUUAAAUCGAUGCCGAUAUGAAUCCUUGUGUUGAUGUUAAUGGGCCGGAUCAGUUUGAUUAGAGUCUCACGGGUCCUUUAAAAUCCCACAAAAUGCCUCUUUCCCGUUCUCCUCAAAAAAAAAACCUCGAUCUAUCUUAUGACCUUUCAUGAACUUAGUUUUCGCAUAGUUUCGAUGGAUUUUUCCCGAUAUAUUGGCAAACCUGAGACGAAUUUUACCGCGUUUUAGAACUUUUGGCGUAUCUGCUCGAUAUGGCGGGUGGGCAAGUGGAGAAGCGAGUCAGAUUGCAGCGCUUUUUCUAAGUAAAAGUUUGAAAUCAGAUUGCAGCGCAUUUUCUAAUUACAAGUGCCAUUAACCUUAUUCAUAUGCAUGAAUGAUUCUGAGUUUCAAGCAGGAUGAUACCAGGCAAAGAGAUAGAUGCCAUUGGGUUUACUUUCCCUACCAAUUAAUCCACAGCCCAUAGGCCUAACUUAGGCCUAACUUAGGCCCAACUUAAGCCCAAAAUGCUCUAUCUUCCGAUCGUAUCACUGUCGUUACCACUCGUCGCCGACAUAUCAAACACGGCACAACUCCCGUCGAUCUGAGAAUCCCCGUCGUAGCUGGUCAUAAAAGAAUAAAACUCACAAUAAUAUAUUAUAGAAGAAGAAGCUUCUGUUUCGAUCAUAUCGGUUACAAAAUCUAAAUUUGUUGUUGUUGUUGUUGUUGUUGUUGUUUUGUUAACAGGUUUACACACGAUCGUCAGUAAGGUAAUCUCAUCGUCCAUGGAUUUUGUUGCUUAUUUUCGAACUACUCUAAACCCUAGAUUCCAAUUUUUGCUACAUCGCCUAUAAUUUUGAUUGAUUUUGACCGAUUUAGGGAACAUAUCUGCUGGAUAUGGCGGGUGGUGGGCAAGUGGAGAAGCGAGUCAGAUACAAGAGCUCUGUCAAGGAUCCGGGAACUCCUGGAUUUCUCAGACUAGUAAGAUUAAUCCACGAACAACUGGUGAAUUCUCGAUGCAUUUUUUUUCUUCUGCUUUCAUAUGUUUCAAUUGAUAAAAUUUCGCAGACGGAAGCAAUGUUGCUAUUUGUCCCAAACGAUCCGAAAUCAGAUUCAAAGCUUAAAGUGCAGACUCUAAACAUCAAAAGUAUGUAUGCCAAUUUACACCAGGUCUUAUUUGGAUAAGAGAUAUAAUCUGUUUUCCUCUUGUGUUUCUCGUUUCUUCAGUUUCUCCAUUGUAAAAUUUCUCAGGUCAAAAAUAUACAAAAGAAGGAUCAAACAAACCUCCUUGGCUUAAUCUGACCAACAAGCAGGUCUUUUGUUGGCCUUUUUGCUGAAAGCUUAGAUGUGUGCAUUUUGAAAGCUUAUUCUGUGUGUUUUAUGAGGCUUCCUAAUCUUUUUGAUCACAGGGAAAGAGUCAUAUCUUUGAGUUUGAAAAUUAUUCGGAUAUGCAUGCUUGCCGUGAUUUCAUCAGUAAGCUCUUUGUGCCGAUGGUUUUCUUUUAUUUAGUGGAAACUACCUUCUAUUGGUUUCUUUCAGUGGUACUGAAACCAUUUUACUAUGAACAGCUAAGGCCCUUGCUAAAUGUGAAGAGGUGCCUAAGAAAUCAGCUGUCUCGACAUCAACUGAGCAGCUCAGUAUUGCAGAACUGGAGCUACGCUUCAAGGUUCUCCGAGAAAAUAGGUAUGCAAUCGGAACACUAGGUUACCUUUUGGGAUCCUUAGAGUUUCUAUUUUCAUAAGUUCAUCGAAUUCCUUAAAACAUAAGUAGUGCAUGCAUGAUAUGUAGUGAGCUGCAAAGAUUGCAUAAGCAAUUUGUGGAAAGUAAAGUUUUAACGGAAGAUGAAUUCUGGGCUACAAGGAAGGUUGGUUCUUUGUAGUUUCUUUGGUUCUCAAUUAUCUGUUUGUUUGAGUGUAAUCAUAGUUACCAGCUUUCUUCUGAUCGCAGAAAUUACUUGGUCAAGUUUCCACUGGAAAGUCAAAACAACAAGUCGGGCUCAAGAGCAUGAUGGUAUCUGGCAUCAAACCAUCUACUGAUGGGCGGGUAUGGUAUAUUUCACUCUACCCCUUCCUGAGAGUCAUCCUUUUCGGUUAAUAAGUUCAGUGCAUGCUUUUGUAUGAAAGAAACAAUGCACCUGUAUAAGUAAACUAUGUUGUGUUUGGUUGAAGUCCAGCCGCUUGCUGUUAUAUAUCGUACAAUUCAUCUGGUUUAUACUAACCACCUUCUUCAAUGUUUUUUUUUUCAGACUAAUAGGGUGACGUUCAACUUGACAUCAGAGAUCAUUUUUCAGGUCAGCUCUUUGGUUGACUAGGUUCUCCACUGAUUUAGGUGCUCUAUAGGGUCAGGAUAAGUUUUACGGUGAACGAGGUCCAUGUUUCAAUUGGUGAUAUUUUCUGUCAUAAAUUAUGUUAUGUGUGGUUCCAUCUGCAUCAUGUGUUUGAACUUACAAACUCCAAAGCGAAACUACAAGCGAGGGAUAGAGACAUUUAUAAUAGCCUUUCAGUUCACCUUCUAUUUUGCGCUGGCUUAGUCCUUAGAUCUGCUGUAAGAAUAGUUGAAUGUUGCUUCACUCAUGCUACUGUCCAUGUCUCACAUAUGAUUCUUUCAUUACGCUUUCAGAUUUUUGCUGAGAAACCAGCUGUUCGGCAGGCAUUCAUAAACUAUGUUCCGAGUAAGGUAACAAAGCCUUCAUGACUAUGACUAUCUUUGUUUAUAGGUUUAACCAUCAAAUCCGACAAAUCUUAAAUGGUUUUUGGUAGUUUUUUACUACGACAGAUGACAGAAAAGGACUUUUGGACAAAAUAUUUUAGAGCAGAAUAUCUUUACAGCACCAAAAAUACAGCAGUAGCUGCAGCAGAAGCUGCUGAGGACGAGGAACUCGCGGUUUUUCUGAAGCCUGAUGAGAUAUUGGCUCGGGAAACUCGUCAGAAGGUUAUUUUGCCUCUACAAUUAUUCAUUUCUCUGUAUUUUAUUUGAGAAGAAAACAUUUUUUUGCAUAUUUAUCUGAUCUGAAUGUCAUUUAUGUAGAUUAGACGAGUUGAUCCGACUCUUGACAUGGAGGCUGACCAGGGAGACGACUACUCUCAUCUAAUGGUAAGCCAACUACCACUGCAUUAGAUGUAUGUUGGACACUGCGUCAAGUGAUUUGUUUUCUAAAAUCCUCAGACCCUGUAUAAGCUGUUAAAUCAAGAAAUUUAGGUUCUUACAAAUGUAAAUUCUGGACUACGCAACUACGUUUGAAUUAUCUGAUCUACUUCUAUUUCUUUGUGCCUUACAAAUUAAAACUACUGCUUUUAUCUUAUACACUAGGACCAUACUUUAAUAUUAGCUUGUAUAGGAAUGUGUUUCAUGCUGAUAUCUAGAAAAUAGGGAUCUUGAAAUCCAAUUUGCGGAUCAUAUCUUCACAUCAUGUGCUUAAUGUAAAUUUACUUUCCAACAGGACCAUGGGAUUCAGCGUGAUGGCACCAAAGACGUUGUUGAAUCACAGAAUGACCAAUUUAGGAGGUCACUGUUGCAAGAUCUUAAUCGCCAUUCUGCUGUUGUAUUGGAAGGCAGAAGCAUUGGUAAAACACUUCUACUAGAGCACCUAUUCUGAUUUCUUCAUCUGAUAUUCUGUGUAACGUCAUGAGAAAUAACUGCAACUGACUCUUACAGCUAGUUCGUAAAGGUUAAAUAUAUAAUGAUGCGCACUUGUACUUUUUUAAUUGAAAAGCAGAUGUUGAGUCAGAAGAUACGAGGGUUGUUGCAGAGGCUCUGACACGGGCCAAACAAGGUUUGCUGUUUCAUUCUGCUAUGUCCUACUUUAAUAUUCUUGCAGAUUGAUGACCGAUGCCACACGUUAUUAUAUUCAUCUGACUUCAGUAUCCAUCUUUAUUACUUUUGUAGUUAGCAAAGCUGAUGGUGAAACCACCAAGGACGCUAAUCAGGAUAGAUUGGAGAGAAUGUCUCGGACAGCGGAAAUGGAGGAUCUUCAAGCACCACAAAAUUUCCCGUUAGCACCGCUAUCUAUCAAGGUUUGGCUUUCUGCCAUUAAAGGGUUUUCAGUGUUGAUGAUGGAUGCUUCAUAAAUCCUCUAACCCUUUCUUUUUUUUUUUUUGGAAUUUAGGACCCUCGUGAUUACUUUGAAUCUCAACAAGGAAACGUCCUCAAUGAACCUAGAGGAGCAGGGGCAUUAAAUAGAAAUGUCCAUGAAGCUUAUGGGUUGCUAAAAGAAUCCAUUUUGGAGAUUAGAACUAAAGGAUUAAGUUAUCCGUUGAUUAAAUCAGAAGUUUCCUUUGAGGUGCUACUCUAUCUCAUGAUAAAAUGUGUGCUUACUAAAAGAAACCAUGGCUUAUUGCUUUGGUGCCUGCGCUAAACAUUGCUAACCUAUUCAGGUUUUCAGUUCGUUAACCCAAACUAUCUCAACUGCCAAAAAUAUUAUCGGGAAGAACCCGCGAGAGAGCUUUCUGGACAGAUUACCAAAGUCCACCAAGGAUGAAGUUCUACAUGUAAGUCAUAAGUAACAAUAACACCUAUGGAUUCUGUUGUCCCCUCAAAAUGGAUCACAAGAGUACUUUUUCUUUUUUCUUUUUCUCUUUCAUCUACAGCACUGGACAUCAAUACAAGAAUUACUGAGACAUUUUUGGUCAUCUUACCCAAUAACAACCACAUAUCUUCACACGAAGGUAAAUUUGUUCCCAUUUCAUAAUUCUCCUAAUCCCAGAAUUUGCUAUAUACAAAUAUUCACAACUUAUUUUACUCCAAGAGCAAGAUCGUAUACUAGGAUAUUAUGUUUUACUAUGCAGGUUGGUAAACUGAAGGAUGCAAUGUCCAAUACUUAUUCACAACUCGAUGUAAGCUAUGAAAUUCUUCUUCAAGUCUUCCUGAUAUAAUAAGCUACUCGUAGUCUAUUAGAACAGUCGUUCCAAAUCUCUCCAUGCCAGUAAUUGCAUAUGGUCUAGUGUGUGCGUUCGUGUACGGGUUCCUUGAUAUUAAUCUGCAUGUAACUCAGGCAAUGAAACAGUCGGUGCAAUCUGAUCUCCGGCAUCAGGUUUCUUUACUGGUUCGGCCAAUGCAACAGGUUAGCCUCUUCCAAUACUUACAGAAGAAGUUUUAUGACAGCAUCUCUCGAUCGGUUAAGUCUCCACACGCAUUGUAUCGGAUCUAUCCGAUUUAACCAUCCAAUCCAGGCACUACAUUGUAAUCCGGGUAACACAGUGAAAUCUGAGUGAUCUUAACCCGUUUUGUCCAUCAGGCCCUUGAUGCUGCGUUCCAACACUACGAAACAGACUUGCAGAGAAGAACCGCUAAGAGCGUUGGAGGCAGCAGCAGCGAAAGACCAAACGGGGGCGUUUAGAAGACAACACGCAUCUUUGUUUUGUUUCACAAAGUGUAAUUGAUGUUUUUGAGAUUUUUCUUUGGUUGCUUUUUGUCCGAUCAUUGAGAAUACAAACAAAAGGCGGUUAUAUUGUCUAAUCGAGGCGCUUUGUACUUGAAAGAGCAAUUUUCUUCAACAUCAUUCUCGAACUAAAGUACCCACUGAAUAUAAUUUAGCUUUUGAAGUGUAGUAGAUAAGAUUCUCCAGAGGACCUUAAGAUUGUUGCUUGAGUUACAAGAAACCUCCCGAUGCCUAGUUACAAUGAACAAUAAUAAUAGGGAGAGGCUUCUGUUUACAUAAAUUUCAAUGGGAUAUGACAAUGAUCAAAUUACAAAACAAACAUUCCAGAUUGGAAAGAGAAAAAGAAAAAAAAAACUUCGAAGAUAAAGAAAGAUGCAAGACUAAGUCCAAUACAUAACCUAUAAGAAAUAAAUUUUUAAUCCAAGAUUCAAAUACAUCAUCAAAGUUUUUUGUAGUUUGAUGGUGGACUUCAUUAACCAUGCGAAUCACACACUUGCCGUGGAGAUGGGACAACAAGAGGUCCACUUCGAUUUAAGCUAAAAAUCUAUACUAUUAAAUCAGCAUAUUUAACUAAAUAUCAUAUCAGUAAUUCACAUAUAAUACAUAAGGGACAUUCGAAAUUAAUUCAAAAAAAAAAAAAAGGUAAAAUGGCCAAUCAAAAAAAAUUAUUUUGAGUCCGAAUAACUCUAAUUAUUAUUUUAUUUUUGGUCACAAAACGCGAAUAAUAACUCUAGUUAUAUAUAGUGUUUUUUUUUCUUCUAUAUACACUUGUAGUUGUAGUUAGUUAACAGGACAAAUUAAAAUGAUGUAAAAAACUAUAAAGAUAAAUGAAAAUAUGAGGAAUAAAUUUAUGAUCUCUUCGAUUUGCAUUCUUUUGAAAAAAGCUAAACUUGUCUUCUUCAACGGAUGAAAAUUUAGUAGCGAGAAGGAAACUUCCUAGCUCACGCUCUUCACUUCAAUCUGAGAUCUCAUCGCAACUAAAUCACACAGAGAUCACAAAUCUCGUGAAGUGAAACUUUUUAAUUGUAUUCCUUGAAAAUAACAAACCCAUCGAAUUUUUGUAGACUAAGCUUCUCCAUCCAUUCUUCCUCCUACAGCAGAUCCGAAGACGAAGAAGAAAUCAAACUAGUUCCGGGUUUUUUAUCUUGCUAGUUUGUUGAGUUAUGCUGGAUUUGGUUUUCAAUCUUUCUUCUCUGACCGUUCGUUGACUUGCUUAGGUAAAAAUAUCGGGAUCUCUUUGCAAGUUCCUUUCAUUCCUAUGAAAAUCACUCAACUAUGUGUUGUAUUGAUUCUUUGUUUGUGGUCUCGAGGUUUGGGUUAGCGUUUGAAAACGUUUUUGACUAAAGCUUUGAAAGACAAAUUCGAAUUGGAUUCGCGUUACUCUAUAUCAAUGAAUUUGUUCUUCAAGUAUCUACUGAUUCAUGCAAAUCUUAAGCUUAGACCUUAAAGUAACGCAUUUUCAGUUCAAGUUCGCCUUUUGUUGCGGUUUCUAUUCUGUGAAGAUCAAUGGGCUUUGAUAUUGAUGAUCUGAUUGGUCUCCCAAGUUUUCAGAUUUAAAUUGUGUUCGAUACCUAAUCUAAGGUUUGGGUUACAGGUACAAGUCUCUCCAUCUCCAGCUUCUAGAAGAAGACAACAUUUUAGUGUAUCCUCGUUGAGUCUAUGGGUUGUUGUAAGGUGCCGGCUCUUAUUCAGGCGCAGGUAGAAGUAAGUUAGUUCACGAGAUCAGUGUCUUGUCUCUUUUUUUUUUGGCUCCUCAUUGUCAGCUGAUUGGAAAAAGUUGUCAUUGUAAACAGAUGGGUUUGGUAAGUGAAGUUGAGCACAAAAGACUUUUCAGACGAGAAACAGAUUCACCACAAACAAAAGCUGCUUCUUUGAUGGAGCAAGGUGGAUCAUUUUCUGCAAAUUUUCAAGAGCGCACAGCUAAAGCACCUAAGCACAGCGUGCUCCAGAGCUUCAAGAUCGUCAUUUUAUCGAAUAAACUCAAUCUUUUGUUGCCUUUCGGUCCACUAGCAAUAUUACUCCACUAUUUGACAGAUAAUAAGGUGAGCAAUGUUAGUUUCGGGUACUAAAUUUUAGCACUUUCGUUCCUUCUUGUUAUGUCAUCAAGAAAUGAUUCUUAUGGCUCAGGGAUGGAUCUUCUUACUGAGCUUAGUAGGAAUCACACCAUUGGCUGAACGUCUCGGAUAUGCCACAGAGUAAGCCGUUGCUCGCACUUGCAACUCUUAACUUACAUUCUAUUAGCAAGACUUGUAUAAAAGUACCCGUUUGUUUAUUCUUUGUAACAGGCAAUUGGCUUGUUACACAGGUUCAACUGGUAUGACUUGGUUUCUUCUAAAUACACAAGUUCAUUUUCAGGAUUCCUUUCCCUCCUGAUUAGUUUUUGACGCGCUAGAAAAAUUUCACAGUUGGAGGCCUCUUAAACGCUACAUUUGGAAACGUGACAGAGCUGAUCAUAUCUAUUUUCGCUCUUAAAAAUGGAAUGAUACGCGUUGUACAGCUGACACUGCUCGGCUCCAUUCUUUCUAACAUGUUGCUUGUACUUGGCUGCGCCUUUUUCUGUGGGGGGCUUGUAUUUUCCCGUAAAGAGCAAGUCUUUGACAAAGUAGGCAUAUCAAUUCACUUGUUGUCUCUUUUUUUUCCUGUUUUGUUCUUGUUGUUCUGUAAUCUUUACCAUGUUUCUGAGCUUAUAUCUUCUGCAAUACAGGGGAAUGCGGUUGUGAAUUCAGGACUGCUUUUGAUGGCUGUUAUGGGGCUACUCUUCCCCGCUGUUCUUCAUUACACGCAUAGCGAGGUUCAUGCUGGUUCGUCAGAGCUGGCUCUUUCAAGGUUCAGUAGUUGCAUAAUGCUUGUGGCCUAUGCUGCUUACCUUUUUUUUCAGCUAAAGAGCCAGCCCAGUUCUUAUACCCCUCUUACCGAGGUGUGUCAUCUUCGACCUUUAGUUUUUUCUUACAGAUGCCUGGAAACGAUGGUGAAGACAACUUCAAAUAUUAAAUGGUUUCUUACAAGUUACAAACCAGUUUCAUCAUUUAUGGGCUCUGUUCAUUUUUCUUCUUGGUUGCUCUCUCUACUAGCUGGACUUCAAUCUGCUGUUUGGUGAAAAUUUGUAAACUUUAGGAUAUGAACCAGAGCGAAGAAACUUCGGACGAUGAUGAAGAUCCUGAGAUCUCCAAGUGGGAAGCAAUCAUCUGGCUUUCAAUCUUGACUGCUUGGGUCUCUCUUCUUUCAGGCUAUCUUGUCGAUGCCAUUGAGGUAAAUCACUACCCUUUUUUUUUUUCUUUCUAGAUCUUAUCUUUAUGAAGAUUUUACAGUAUUAACUUGACUUGUUUAUGCCAUAUGAUUAGUACGGCAUUAUAACGUGAGUAUACUAGCUGGCUUAUGGUAAAAACUCAACCGAUGCAAUACAUAAGUUGGAAUAUGUUUUAGAUACUUGUAAUAUUCCUAAUCACAUGCACGAGUCCAUCAAAAGCGCCAAUAUUUUCUGUAGAAGUGUCUUGUCAAAGAGUGACUAGAAACCAAUGAUCACUACAACAUAACAAUGCGAGUUUGGCUUACUGUUUUCUGUUGUUUGUGUUUUUCAAUAUAUAACAGGGUGCUUCGGUCUCAUGGAAGAUACCAAUCUCGUUUAUUAGUGUCAUCUUGCUUCCUAUAGUUGGAAAUGCGGCCGAGCAUGCAGGUGCUAUUAUGUUUGCCAUGAAAGACAAGCUGGUACGCAGACUAGUCUCUUGCAAUUCUGAUGUCUUUGGUUUAUCUUUUUUUAGGUGUAUAUUUAUUAUACUCUCCUCUACAGGAUCUGUCUUUGGGAGUGGCUAUUGGAUCGUCAAUCCAGAUUUCCAUGUUUGCGGUACGUAUAAGAAAUGUGAACCUGGGGUCUAUAUAGUACUGAACAUUCUCUUUACAGAUCUGGCCUGACUUUUGGCCCGAUUAUGGAUAUAGGUUCCAUUCUGUGUGGUGAUCGGAUGGAUGAUGGGUGAACAGAUGGAUCUGAAUUUCCAGCUAUUUGAGACUGCUACACUGUUCAUAACUGUGAUAGUUGUAGCAUUCUUCCUCCAGGUGGGUUCAUAAUCUUGAAGCAAUUAAUUACGAAAACCAAUCUUGACGUUAAAUUAUGUCUCUGUGUUUGUCGUUGUGCAGGAAGGGACAUCGAAUUACUUCAAAGGAUUGAUGCUCAUUCUCUGCUAUUUGAUAGUUGCUGCCAGUUUCUUUGUACACGAAGAUCCUCAUCAAGGUUAGGUGUUGAAUUUGUUAUCUUCUUCCCAUAUAUUACGUAAAUGGUAACAUUAACCAGAAAACCUGGUUCGUGUGUCUGCGGAAACGACUUUGAAUUGGUUUUUUGUGUUCUUCGUUACUUGACAGAUGAUAUAUAGCCAUCCCAAAAAACACGUGAAUCUGGUACGUGUCCUAAAACUAAACCCUGGUGAUCUUACUUACAUGUACAUUUUUUUUUUAAGAUUCUGGAGUUAAUGUUUGUAUCAGACCAAACUGAAAGUUGUCCCAGUUUACGUUUGAGGCCCCUUCCUUGGGGGCUGGUUUAGGGUUGCAAUUUUGUGAAAUUACUUUGAUUAUCUUUAUAUAUAUUAUAUAAUCUAUUGGGAACUUGUAAUCGGAAUUUCUAUAGAUUAGGCAUCUAUCCAAGCGUUGCGCUCACCUAAAACAAUUUAACAUUUCUAUACAUAUUAAUAAUAUAUAUCACAUUAACCAUAUAUAUAAAUCAGAUUAUUCAUUCGAUAGUAAUUUUGUUUUAAAUUCAUGGUGUCCUGCUACCAAGAUGCAAGACCGGCUAAGAAACCUUUUAAAGAUUAUGCGUUAUGUUCAAGAUUUUUGUAAUACAAAAAAAAAACUCUAUUUGAUGAAUUGUGUCAUGGAUCCUAUGUGAAUUAGUGAAUACACAAAUGCGAGAAUCUCUUACAAGAACAGCCAUGUCCGCUUUAUAUUAAAAGAAAAAAAAAAUAUCAGGUUUGUUGAGUGUACAUUGUAAAAAAAAAAAAAAAAAGGAGAAAUGCAAAACGACGACACAGUUACACUCGUCGUUUGCAAAAACAAGAGGGAGGGCAUGAGGCCAUGUUGUGGAGAUCACCUCCAAACAAAAAAAUAAUAUACGAUGUGGGGCCCAUAUCGUAGGCCAUAGGCAGAAAGAACUAAAACCAUACGUCGUUUUUGAGGCUUCCCACUCCAGUAAUAAUUGGUUCAACAGUCAAAAAUGUAAAACCUACAGUAGUAAGUAAGAACCGUUCAGUUACCGUUGGUUAAAACAGUAAACUUAUUCACUUUGUGGGGCCAGUUCGUUUGAGCAGCCCAUUAGCCUAUCUAAUCAACAGGGCCCAUCUCUUGUCUGAAGGAUGCAUACGCCUUUUUUUUAACAGCUACCCACCCACAUUACCAACUCUAAUCUACCCAUCUACUGUACGGAUUGAUUUAACAUACUGUAUUUGAUUCUUCAAUACCCUAUUUUGACUUCCUGUUGACUAUGUGUUUAAAAUGAUUUUCAUUCAAGGCCUUAAAUCGUAAGCGAACAACAAUUUUUGCGUACGUGUACGCUGGUAAUUGGUGUACUGUGCGUUAAAAUACUUUAUUAAUAAAAUGUUCAUCGAUUGUAGCAAAUCACCUUCACGGGAAGAAGAACAGAACAGUUCAAAACUUGAAAAGGUAAAGAAGGCAAAGAGUUGACUCCAUGGAUUCAAGAGACCGUGUCAGGCUUCUUCUCUAAGCGAUCCUAAACCCCAUUACAGAUGUUACGUUGUUAAUUUACAAAUUAAUAAAAUCAAAUUAUUUUCUCUUCUUUUCUUUUUGGUAACCAUAUAAAAUCCAUUUUCUUUAUAAUACUAUUUGGUCAUAUUAAACUUUAAUUUUUUUGGAAACUACCACAGCUUCCGUUUUUUCUAACGUUAAUACAUAUAUAAAUCUUCUUAAUCAAAAAAAAAUUAAUACAUAAAUUGUUUAAUUAAGGGUUUUGAAGAGCUUUAAUUAGAUUCUUCAUUACAAUUUAUUUACUCAGAAUCUCUUAUGAAAAGUUUAAGAAAAAAAACUUUAAACCUUUUUCGUAUUUUAUAAAAAAGAUUAUGGUGUUUUUGAAAGGAAAAAACAAAUUUCAUGCUUUAUUAGAAAAAUUUCCUUAUAAUAAGUACGGUGUUGUAAGUUAACAAUAUAUUUUCAUCUAGACACAAUCUUCGUUCUUCUGUACGCUCCAUCUUUUUUUUUUUUUUUUCUCUGUCGCUAAUAAUAGACUAGGUGAAGACCCGCGUAUACGCGGAUUUAUUAUAUUAUUUAUAUUUUUUAAUUUGUGUUUAAUAAAAUAAAAAUUUUUCUAUCAGUGUAUAAGAGUUAACUUUUUAUUUUUAAGAAAAUUAUCCUAACAAAUACAACAUAAUUUGUGAUAGAAGACAUUUGAAGAAUUUGUUUAAUGUUCUCUAAACUAACUUAAACAAAAAAAAAAAGUGGUUUGUAAUUUUGUGAUGAGACCAUAUGUAUUUAUUAAUAAAUCUGUCAUACUUUCAUGUUCUUGUAAGCUCUUUGCCUUCUUUUCUAAAGUUGGCAUCCAUCUCCCACAAGCCUCAAAGUCAUUCACCAUGUGUUACCAACAUUUUCUGAUGGGAUCGUUGAUUUGACAAGAUUAAUAAGAAGACCGAACAAACCAAUGAUAACUGAAAUAUAGAUUGAUUUUUGCCCAAUAUAUAUCCAAAAUUAUCCCCCACAAAGAGUAAAACCUUUAUCUUCUCGAUUAAACAGAUAAUGAUCAUGACUUUAUCCUUCUACUACUCAGGAGCCUAUAAUAUGAUGAUAAUAAAGUUUUUUCAAAAGAGAUACAAUCUCAACCAAGUUUUUAUGAAAUCAAAACUCUUGGCCUGAAUAAAUUGGUAUGUAUAGAUAACAUGUGAGCUAACUUAAAUAAUUCUAAUUUGUCAAAAUACAAGCAAGCUCUGUUUACAAUAUUAUGUGAUUAUAUUAACUUGCUAUCUCAGAAGUGUUUUUUUUUUUUUUUCAGAAUUGUCUAUUUUAUUUAAAAAAUAUAUUCAUGCCACGACAACCAUACAAAAUCUUGUGACCAAUAAAAGGUAGUAUCUAGAUGCAACUUGGAUAAUAUAAAGCAUCUCUGUAUUGUUAUUCACUUUUUCAGUUAACUGAAAGAAUUGCGUUAUAAAUCUAUAGAUAUAUCAACCAAAAAAUAUGGGUAGAUGAUAAGGAAGUACCUUAAGGUGAUAUGUGCAUUCUGGUGAUGUACCAUGUGCAUUGACUAAAUUCCAUUUUCACAAUAUUAUGAGCAAGCGGCUAAUAUCAUAGCAUAGACUUCUAAAAUAUAUCUAUAAUAAGUAAUUGACUAUAAGCCGUAAGUAAGAUAAUGUCAACCAUAAAGAACAUUAGAUAACUUUUAAAUUAUAUCAGGAAACUAAGAGAGAAAAUAUCAAACAACAAAAUUGCUAGUGCGCAUCUUAUUGAGAAAAUAUAUGCUUUUACCGAGGAUUUUUAGCGAUGAAACGUUUUUUUAAAGGAAAAGGAAGACGAAGAAUUUAGAAAUCGAUUAUAAUACAUAAAUUAGAGAUGACAAGUAGCUGAUUUUAAUUUGAUUUUUUAAGCUGAUAUGUUUUAAGAAGAAAAGCUUAUGUGUCAAGCUUGUGAGACUUAAUUGAAUCUUUAUAUAAUAGAUUAUUAAAAAAAUGAAAAAAUUGUCAAUAAAAAGCUAAUCUUUUGCAUAUACAUUAUAUAUUUCGAGAAAAUGCUGUCUGAACUUCGUUUAUUAAUAACUACAAGCUUUCUGAAUAAUCUCAUGCAAAUAUAUAUAUUAAAAAUGAUCGUGUAAGAGUUAAAACAAAAAAUCCUAAGUUUAUCGGAGCCAUUGAUACAUCAAUUUACGAAGAAAGAGUCAGAGGGAGAGACAUUGCACUUUCUCUUUUUGUUAAACAAAGAAGACGGGCGCAUUUGACCUCAAUGUAAUAAGGUUUGGAACUCGAGGAAAAUAUGGAAAGGAAAAAAAUUGAAAGAUUGCUUGUGAAUCAGGAAAAGCAAAUCUCACAAGCCUUUGAAAAUGCAAUUUCUUCUCAGUUUAAAAUAUUUAUUAUUUCUGACAAACUGGUAUAUAUGAUUAAAAAGUUAUUUGUAAUUGUAUGUUUCUUCGUUAAGUCUUAACCACUAGUUAUCGUACCAAAGGGAGCAAAACAAAAAAUGUUUCUCAGUACGCUCCAUCUUCCUAUCUUGAAUUUUUAAAAAUCAAUAUAAACUAAUGACUUUACAAAUUAAUUAUUAAUUAAAUAGAGUUUUUAUCCUAUAUUUCUUAUUUGAAAAUGAAUACCAAACUCUCAGAUGUUAAAAUCUGUAGUUUUUGAAAAAAUAUGUAUGAAAUGUAGUAAGUACAAAGUGGAAGGGUAACGAAAACGAUCAAUAACUGCAGAAUAUUUUGGGCUUUGGAAUGGUAUAUAUUAUUAUUAUGGCUGUCACUCUGCGGAGAAAGUGACAUUUCCUUGUUUUUUUAUUUAUUAUAAAUGGCUUUGUAAUCUUAUAUAUAAAACUUGGCCAACUUUCUCCAGCUCCUUGCCACAUCAACACUGGAGAAAGCGCCACCUGUCCAUUUAAAAUCUUAAUGAAAUAAACAAUUAAUCACAUUUAAAGAAAAAGCAUUAAAGAACAUUAAUAAAUAUUAAUAUGUAUAACAAAUGUAUUUAAAUAAAUAAAUUCAAAUUUAUUUUAAAUAUAUCAAAACUUAUAAAUAUUAUAUAAUAUAAAACUUUUUGAAAUACAUCAUUCCAUUUCUUCUUUUCAAGUGAUUUAAACUACAUUUUCAAACUAAAAGUAUAAUUAAAUUUUUAUGAAAGUGAAAAAAAAUUAUCAGACUGAAUAAGUUAAGAAAUUUUAAAUAAUCUUAUAUAAAACUCUAACUAAUAAAAUUAUAACACACAAAAUAUUCAAUAAAUGAUUAAAGAGUUAAAAACAUUACUAAAAAAUAAUAGUAAAAAAAAAGUGGAUACAUAAAAAUGUCAUACAAAGUUUUUUAGUAAUUUUUAAAAAGAUGUAAUCAAUAAAAUAUAUAUAACCAAAAAAAAUCAAAAUGGUAAAUUUUUCUAUGAGCUAUUACGUUUUUAUAUAAAAAUUAAAAUAGUAGAUCUUUAGUCUCUCAUUACCGUAUGAAAAAAAUUGGAUUAUUUGGUACAACCGGUGUGAAAGAGAUUACAAAUAAUUUAUCAUCUAGAAGAAAUCGGAAAAUAUAAAUAUUUUAAACGAAAAAACAUUGAUGGUAAAAAUAAAAUUCAAUACAAAUCUUAUAUAUAAAAGACAAUCAACUCUCUCCAAAUGAGUGACACAUCAGCAAUGGAGAGAGUGACCUGUGGCACAUCCAAAAAUUGAUAAAAUAAAUAAUUAAUUAAAUUUAAAGCAAAACACAUUAAAAACAUAAAUAAAGAUUAAUAUAUAUAUAUUUAUAUAUACAUACAUUAGAAUACAAUUCAAAUUUAAUUUAAAUAUAGAAAAACUUAUAAAUUAUAUAAUACAAGAUUUUUUAGAUGCACUAUUCUAUUUUCUUCUUUCAAGUGAUUUAAUUUUUUUUUCAAACUAAAAAUAUACUAAAUUUUAAUGCAAAUAAAAAAAAUUAAGACUGAAUAAAUUACGAAGUUUCAAGUAUUCUUAUAUAAAACUUCAACUAAUAAAUUAAAAAACACAAAAAAUAUUUAAUAAAUGAUUAAAGAGAUAACAAUUAUUAAAAAAAAAUAGUAUAAAGAAAGAUGUGCACGUAAAAAUAUCAUACAUAAAUUUAAAUUAAAAAAAUGGAAUCAAUAAAAUAUAUAUAACUAAAAAAUUCAAAAUGGUAAAUUGAAAAAGUUAACAAGUAUUAUAUUAGUAAGAUUUACAAGAAUAAAAAGAAUAUGAAGAUCGAAGAACAAAUAAAUAUUCUUUUCUGAUAUUAAACGUAUAUUUAUAAGCGAAUUAUUACGUUUUCAUAUAAAAUUUAAAAUAGUAUAUUUUUAAUCUCUUAUUAUUUUGGAAGAAAAAUCAGACGAUUUGACACAACCGGUGUAGAAGAGAUUACAAAUAAUUAUCAUUAAAAAAAAAUCAAGGAAAAUAUAAAUAUUUUAAACGUAAAAACAUUGAUAAUAAAUAUAAAAUUCAAUACAAAUUUUAAAAAUAUAGUAUUUAAAUAUAUAUUAAAACAAGAUCCGUGUAUACCACGGGUUCUCUCCUAAUUUAUUUAAAAGGACUUUGUUCUGCACUGCACUGCAAAACGGAGAUUUCGCCAUCUUCUUUGUCACAAUGUCAAGUUGCUCUCAAUUCUUGGAUUCUCUCCAUCACAUCCAAAUCUUUCUUUUAUAUCUUUCCUCUUGUAUUUCCCAUUUUUUUCUUUUGUUUUUUUUUUUCCGUUUUUUGUUUGAUUUGUUGUUUGACCCUCUUUUUAGCUUAGCUACCCAUGUUCGUAUUAUUCACUUAUUAAUGUUUCUUAAAUAUGAUGCUAACGUUACUAUCAUGUCUGAAAUUCACAAGGGCGAAUUUUAGGAAUAUACUAUAUUAUAUAUGUAUCUUCAAAAACUCAGAGUGCAUACACACUUUUCGAUGUUUUUUUUGGCUCAGCGCUAGAUAUUGUAGUCGGCUGAUCGGCUCACAUUUGGUUUUAAUUACUGAAAAAGUGGUCAAUUCGGGUUUCAAAUCAUACUUUUUCUCUGGUUAGACUAGACUACUUAAUUUUGUCUAUAUAUAUUAUACAUCACUCUCUACAUAUCUAUGAAAACAUCAAAGGGAAUAUAUGUUUUAACUAUGUUUUUUUUCAGUCAUUUUAGAUUAUUUACAUAUCGGAUGUAUUGCCUGUUGUAUUAUAAACUUGUAAUGGUCCCUUAUGGACACUGUAUACGCAUUGUUUACUUAUAUAUAUAUAUAUCACGUGUAUACAUCUACAUAUACAUCAUGCAUAGAUGUAAAAAUGUUAUUCUGGACCACCGACCUCCUAAAGAAAAAAUGAUACCAAUAAUUAUGUAAUUAGUACUGUGGUUAUUUGCUGGUGGGAGUUCCCGAACAUUAAAUGCUUUUAACUGGAAUUUAUUUGUCUGCACGCAAUUGAAUAGCAAAGUGGAAAUUUAAUGGCGCGAAUGAUGGUUUGAUGAUGCGUUUUGGAGUCACAUAGGAAGACACGACAGUGUCUUGUGUCGUUUAUUAGACAUAGGGGGUAAAAAGUAAAAAAAAAAUAUAUGAUUCAAAUAAAAUCAUUCGACAAUGAUGUAAUAUUUUCCCUCCGAACUGAACUAUGUUCUAUGCUGUUUUUUUUUAACGUACCGUUAUGUCUGAUGGGACCAUUCUCAUUUAUUGCUGGACCCGUUUAUUUUUAACCAAAAUAAAUUGGAAUCGUGAAAAGAAUUUAACAAAAAAUAUCGUGAAAGCAAAAAUAAGGUACAGUUUUUAUUUUGCUGUUUAAAUGGUACAAAAUUGGUGGUAAGAGUCCAUGAGUGAUGCAAUGGACCGUUUGUUCAAUAAUCAGCUUGAAAACAAUCGAUGUAUGAUACUGGUAAGAAUAAAUACAUAUAGAUAUUGAGUUGGUACUAUUGUGUAGUAAUUAUUAGAACACAAUAAUUAAUCUAUCAGAAUGUCAUUUAUUUAAUGCUUUAGAAAUCCACAAUCCUAGUAUGAAUCUAAAAUGAUGGGGAAGCAUGCAUUAAAUACAGCAGGCUGGAAAGUCUUGACACGUGUCCAUAUCCAUAUGUGGUUGUAUGAAAAGUCAACUUACUGCAAUUCAUUACCACCAUCCUUUUGCUCUAAUCAAACAAAACAUUUUUAUUUCUUCUUUUCUUUUUGAGAAAACGCUUUUAGCUCUACUAAAAUAUCUCAUGGAACUUUACUGAUUUACAUAACUAAUCAACCUUUUUCUUUUUUUACAUCUUACUAAAUGUCAUUCAAGCUAUUAGUUUAUUGACUAAUAUUUUAUCUAUAAAUCAUGCAGAUUUAGUAAUUGGUUUUAUACCCAAUUAAAUAUAUUUUUGAAUUAUUAAAAAAGGAUUGAAACGAUAAUAAUUUUGAAUACUUCUUUCCCAAUAUAAUCUGAUCAGAAAAAGUUCACCAAUAAAUCGAUUUGAAUAAAAUGAUACAUGAUAUACUGUAAAAAAUGCAAAGAAGUAAAUAACAGAAAUUAUGCGUUGUGACUUAUCUUAUAUAUAUAAAAGUUGCUUAACUUUCUUCAUAUGAUUGACAUAUCAGCAAGGAAUAGGUUGACACAUGUCCUUAAAUUUUAAUUAAUAAUUUUUAAUAUUAAAUUUUAAAACACUUAAAGAAUAUGAAAAGUUUAUUUUAUUAAUUGACUCUUAAUUCAAAUUUAUAUUAAUGUUAAACAAAAGUUUAUGUUAUAACUAAUUAAAAAUAUUGAUAGAUAUGUAUUUAAUUUUUAUAUAAUUGUAUAUUAGUUAAUAAUAUUUAGAUUACUUAAUAAUAUUGAAGAUAUAUUUUAAAUUAAUUUUUUAAAAUUAUUUAUAAUAAAAUACUAACAAGUAACAAAUGAAAUGAUGAUUAUAUUAAUUUUAUUUUUUAAUUAAUUGACUAUCAAUUAAUAUUUCUGUAAAUGUUAAACAAAAUUUUAUGUUAUAACUAAUUAAAAAUAUUAAAUGAUAUUUAUUAAUCUUGAUAUAACUUUAAAUUAUUAAAUAAUAUUCAAUAUGUAUUAAUAUUUUAUAAUUUUUAGAAUAAAUAUUAACAAAUAAGUAAGUAAUAAGUAAUGAUUAUAUUAAUUUUUAUAAAAAUAUAAAAUAAAGUUUGAAAAUUUUGAAAAGAAAAAUUGGCACGUAACGUGCGGAUAUUCAAAUAAUAAUAAAAAAGACUAUUUUGUGGUCAAAAAACUAAAAAUUCUAAACUCGAAGAAAACAAUCUCUUUCUCCUUUUUGAUCUCUAUAUGUGUAAGACUUAAAGGUCUGAUUUUAUUCAACAUUUUUGUUUAAUUUUACUAAGUUUGUAUGUAUGUAUACAUUAAAUGUAAUAAUUGUUCAAUAUCUACAUUUUUCGUUGUAAUUAAACAACAUAAUAGAUAUCGUAAAAUUUAAAUUAACAAUAAUUAUUUAUAUAAGACAAGACAUUAUGUUAUGUACUUAUGUUUAAAGGAUGCUUACCUUUUUUUGUCGGCAAAGGGUACUUACUUACAACAUCUAUUGAACAGUCGAGAAAAUAAUUUUAUCAAAAUAGUUGAAAAUCGUGAUGCUUUUUUUUUUUUUCUUACAUUUGAAUGAAUAAUUUAAUAGUCACUUAUAGAGGGAAGGGGAAGGAAGAAAAGGACACGCAUGCAAAAUGAAGGCAGACCAAAGAAAGGGUAAGAAAAAGCAAACUGACGAAGCUUAAUAAAACUUUCACCUUCCCCAUUGUUUGUUCACAGAAAAAGGGACCAACAGAUAAAUUAAUAAUACCAAACCAAGAGAAUUUUUAUUUAUUCAUUCCUUUUUUUUAUAUUAAUGCAAAAGAGAAUAUUAUUAAGUAGCGAAAUUCAAGACUUAAAAGAAGCAGAAGAAGAAGAACAACAACAACACGCGAGAAAAUCCAGAUCUUUCCCUCUCUCUCUCUCUUUCCGCAUCUCACUUUUUCCAUCCUCGAAGAACCCUUUUCUUGCCCUCUACUUUCUGUGGAAAUUUCGUAUUCUCGCUUCUUCGUUUGUUAAUUUAACGUGGAUUCCGAUCGUUUGGAGUUACUGGAAUCGGAGAGAUCGUAUUUCGUCAAGGUAAAUUUCAGAGUUUAAAAGUCCUUUCUUUAUUAUACUGUUCGUCGGUGGGUAUGUUCACUGUUUCCCGAGAUUCGAGUGUGAGAUCCGUUUUGUUUUCUAUCGGCAUUGCUGCGAUUUCAAGCGGUUUUAAAGUGUCGGUGAAUCAUUGAGAGAAAGAGGAGGAGCUUCGUGGUUUUCGUUCUCGAUGCUCCUCUCCUCUGACUACUGUUUCAUUUUUAACGGUUUCGUCUCUUUUAAAGUUUCGAGAUUGCAUUUAUGGCGAGCUAAAGUAAUGCGUUUUUUUUUCUUUUGUUUGUUUUAGGACAAGACAAGUGUAGAUAAGACUUAAAUGCAGAGAAAUCGAGUGAAUGUAUUCAUAAGCCCCACUUUAAGAGCAGAUCUGGAGCUUUCACUAGGAUUCUGCUAAUUUCGUAUACUAAGCUGGUAGAAAUUAUCAAGAAGCACAAAAAGGUUAGGUUUUUUCGUUCUAUGUUUUUUUUCUUUUUGGUGGUAAUGGCUGAGGCAAAUAUCUUGUGGGGGAUACUUUACUUCUUAUGUUCACGGGGAAUCUCCGCUUUGGAGUUUAUGGCCGUGUAACAUGACCUUUAAUGCCAUCACAGGAAGAUUCAGUGGCAAACAUUUAAUUGGAAAAACUCAAAAAAGAAAAGAUGAUUCUUGAUUUGAUAUCUCCUACUUUGUAUAACCGUUGCCUUCUCUUUCUCCAGGUUUGUUUUGUCUCAUAAGUGAUGGUGCAAUAAGUCACAUGCAUGUCCUCUGAAUCCGCGUAGCAUCAAGAAACUUUCCCUUUGAAUUGAUGAUGUCAGGUAAAUUUUGUUGUUUGUUCUCCAUUUAUGUCUGAUUGAUAGAUAUUGAGACUUUGCAGAUACUUACUUUGAUUUGUCUAUUUGAAGGAGUUGAAGAAAACGGAACCCUUGAGGAAAUUAGGGAGAGAAGAUCAGACUUUGAAAUCUCGGAAGAUGAGAGGCGGCGCUCCAAAAUCGGGAAUUUGAAGAAGAAAGCGAUUAAUGCUUCCACCAAGUUCACUCAUUCUUUGAAGAAAAGAGGGAAAAGGAAAAUUGACUAUCGGAUUCCUUCAGUCUCCAUCGAAGAUGUACGGGAUGAAAAAGAGGAAAGCGUUGUGCUUGAAUUCCGCCGCAACCUUCUCGAGAGAAACUUGCUGCCUCCUAGACAUGAUGAGUACCAUACUCUUCUGAGGUUAGUUUGUCCUUAUUUAGCAGCUACAUAAACACUCUGGUCGCUUGAAAUAAAAAUGUGAGUAGUUGUAUAUAAAGUGGAGCUAACUAACCAUUCAUUUUGAAAAUCUAGAUUCUUGAAAGCGAGGGAUCUUAACAUUGAAAAAACUAUCCAGAUGUGGGAAGAAAUGCUUAGAUGGAGAAAAGAGUAUGGGACAGAUACCAUACUAGAGGUAAGCAGUCAUAGAUUUAAGUUUGACUCCAGCUUCUUUGUUGUUCCAUAUAAAAGAGAGAAGUAAUUUUCGUGUUAGUCAAUGGAUUCAACAUCAAGCUCUUAUGUUCUGAUAAUUCUAUGCAUUCGGAUGCUAGGAUUUUGAUUUCAAAGAGCUGGAAGAAGUUCUGCAAUAUUAUCCUCAAGGGUAUCAUGGAGUUGACAAGGAAGGAAGACCUGUCUACAUUGAAAGACUUGGAAAAGCUCAUCCCGCUAAGCUUAUGCGUAUCACCACCAUAGAUAGAUAUCUCAAAUACCAUGUGCAAGAGUUUGAGAGAGCUCUCCUUCAGAAAUUCCCUGCAUGCUCGAUUGCAGCCAGGCGUCGAAUUUGUUCCACGACUACAAUACUAGAUGUGCAAGGACUGGUACUUAUUCAAGCUAUUCCCAAGUUUUGGAAUUUUUCUUGCACUGUAUUAUGCUCUGAAGCAAAAUUUACUUUUUUAGCGCUUCCAUAUUCUUAGCUGUGCAGUGUCAUGUUUAAUCACAGGGCAUGAAGAAUUUUACACCAACAGCUGCAAAUCUUGUGGCUGCCAUGUCGAAGAUUGACAACAACUACUAUCCUGAGGUACUUGAGUUUCUCAAUUCAUAUGUCAAUUAUUCUUUGCAUACAUACCGGGUUGUUGCAAGUCAUCAUAUCAUUUUGCAGACGUUGCACAGAAUGUACAUUGUAAAUGCUGGGACAGGUUUCAAAAAGAUGCUUUGGCCUGCUGCUCAGAAGUUUCUUGAUGCAAAGACCAUCGCAAAGAUACAUGUACAGCUUUCAGCCUAGUUUUUCUCUUUGGUCAACUUUUGCCAUGUGUACGUUAUCUUAUUUCUGUUGCUGCAGGUGCUAGAACCUAAAUCUUUGUCCAGAUUACACGAAGUUAUUGAUUCAAGGUAGUUUGCUUUUCCAUUCAAACCGCACCUGACAAAUUUCAAAUAUCAUUUGUAGCUAUUACUUACCAGCUCCAUCGCUCUGUGCUUUUAGUCAAUUGCCAGACUUCCUCGGAGGCUCAUGCUCUUGCUUUGGCGAUGGAGGGUGUCUUCGCUCGAAUAAAGGACCCUGGAAUGAUCCUGAAAUAAUGAAGGUAAAAAUCUACAUCCUAUUAAAUUUUGCUUUUAAAUUUUUGGGCACGCUGUUCUUUCCUUACGAACUUUUAAGUAGGAGUCAGCUUAUAGUCCGGGCUUGUUCAUGAAGAUCAUUUUAAAUCUGUGCCUUUAUUAGCUCAUCUAUCAUGGAGAGUCAUCACUCUUUAGACAAAUCACCAGGAAGCUGAGUGACCCACAGAAUUCUUCAUCCUACAUAAGUAUACAUCCAUCGAAGGUAAAUGGCUAUAUCAAGCCAAUAUCUGUUUGUUUUGGAAUUUUUGUUUUUUUUUUUGUUUUUUCCAGGUAUAUAUGACAAAUUCAAAUUUGAAUAUCAGGCUAUGCAAGCUGAGACUUCUGCAGCAGAAUGUGUAUCUUGUUCUGAUGUUCCUACUUCUCUAACUGGAAGGGUGUGCGCAGCCUCUGCUCAUGUGAAUCCAGCUUAUGAGGAAGUGAGUUCUUGUGUUGGUACAUUUUGUGUCACAGACCACACUAGUUAUCUUAUCACUGACCGGAAAAAUAUGAUCUAUGCAGGCAAGGGCAUCAGAUGUUAAUGGCUAUUAUAGUUGCGAUGACAAGUUUGCCAUACCUAACAAAGCUACUAACCGAAAAGGCCAAGAAAGGCAAUCCCACUACCAAAUGCUGGAACUCAAUCAAACAACACUCGGUUUAAAACAUGAAACAUCUCCACCAGGUUAUACUGCUAACUCAUGCUUUGCUGCUAAAAACAUAUUCCUUUGUAAUUUUCUCACCUUUUGAAUUUCAUCUUCCCUCUGGUACCUUCCAGGUGCUCCCAUCAUACGAUGGCUUCAUGAUUUAAGGGGAACAAUUGACAGCAUAAAAUCUGAGAACCUAGCCAAAAGGGUACUCUCGUUUAUGCUGAAACUAGCAGCAGUUUUCCGUUAUAUCCCGUUUGAGCUUUCGAGAAGACAAAACACCGUUACUCCUUCAAACCCAACAGAAGAUAAUAAUAGGAGAAGCCUCAUUCCAACUUCUACAGAGCUCACAAUGAAAGACCGGAUUCUUCCGUGUUUGGAGCGUAUUCAGAAGCUGGAGAAAAAGUAUGAGGAAAUCCGGAACAAACCCGUUGAAAUUCCCGUAGAGAAGGAGAGAAUGCUGUUGGAUUCUCUUGACAGAAUAAAAUCGGUUGAGUUUGAUCUUGUUAAAACAAAGAGGGUAUUAUGAUUUUCCUUUGUUUUUCUUCACAAACUUACUUAGAAUUACAGUAUGGACUUGACAUGUUCGAUGGUUGCAGGUUUUGCACGCCACAGUGAUGAAGCAGAUGGAAAUAACCGAAAUGCUGGAAAGUUUAAGAGAGUCCCAACUUCACGUAAGUCCUCGAGAUUAUGACGCUAUAGUGAACAAGAUUUGCGAUGAGCUAACACCUGCAGAUUGUUGUUUGUGCAGAGAAGAAGAUUGUUCUGUUAGAAACCAUUAGAGAACAUCUGAGUUUUGCAUAAAAUACAGCUCCAAACUUCUGCACAUACAGAGAGAGAAAAAAAAUCCAAUAAACAAACGGUGUUAGUUUCUUAAUCUCCUUCCUCCUCUAACUUCUGUUAUCUUUCUUUCCUCAUAGGUCCAUCUGCUUCCACUUUUAAAUUAAAAAAGAAGAAGAUAGGGACAGUGAAAAUCUUUGAUGUUCGAUCUUGUCGUUGAUAAUGUAGAUUGAGAUCAGAGUUGAAGUAUCAAGCUGAUUUCCAAACCCUUUUGUUGUAAUCGGUGUAGAGAAGAAACUACACUAGAAGAAAAAAAAAGAAUCGUAUGAGAUUUUGUAAAUCUUUUUUAAGGUAAUAUGAUGAGGAAAACACUACCGAGUCUCUAAUGUCUUUACUCUAUGAAGAGAAUCCAUUUGUUUAACAUGAACGCAACAAGAAACAAAAUUGUGAAUGGUUAUACUAUAAUCAUGUAGUACGAUUAUUUAGGAAUCUGGUGCAUCUUGUAGUUGUUAUAGGUAGAUUGUGUAAAAUAUUUACAUAAUUCCAAAUAUCCGAAUGCAAAUGAUAUAAAAGUCAAAUCAGCCCUCGUAAACUUGAUUGAAUACGAGAGACACCCGAAUUAUGGAAGGGUAAGAUUGUAAACAAAGGAUGAUGAAAGUGUAAGGAAUUUUAAAAUCGGGGAAAAAUCGGGACCGUCCUUUUCCACUGAUGUAAGCCUGUGAACGAAGAAGAUAAAUUUCCCUGUCUUCUCUCUCUCUCUCUCCUUCUCCGUUCUUGUUUUCUGAAUUCGCUCGAAAUCGAUCUCAACGCCAAUCCAAUGAUGUUUUAUAUUCGACCCCAAACUUAAAUUUAGAAACCACAAUUUCUCGAAGUCAAUCCGUUUUCAUUUUCACGAAUUGCAUCGCCAGGUGAAUUUGUUGAUCCUAUGUUUUGUACGCCUUUGAUUGCCAUGUUGCUGAGUUUUUGGAAUCGUGCUCCGCUUUUGUUCUUAAUUCGAUAUCACGAUUGCUUACGCAUGUGCGGGUUUUCAUUUGGUUUCGCUUUUCCCUCCGCGGCUUUGUGAAUUUGAACUUUUAGUGCGUCGUAGCCGAAUCAGGGGCUGUUUUCUUCGUUUCGUGUGGGAUGAGGCUACGAUUUUAAUAUUGAACUUGGGAAUACACUUUAAUCUUUGUCCAGAGGGCUCCUAGUACCUAAGCGCUUUGCUUGUUGGAUAUUGUUACUCUCUGGCAUAUUGUCUUGACUAUGAAUUCGCUAGAUCUUGUUUUAGAUGUUGCAGCUCAAGCAAUAUGUACAGAUAGUUAUGGUCUUUUGAAGUCUUACCUAAGAUAGUGUCUUUAUAUGUUAUUGUUCACUUUAGGUCCCUAUUUUGAGCCUCAUCCUUGUGAGUAGGAAUAUUAAGCUUCCUACUAUUGUAGCUUCUGUGGUCCCUUGCUUUGAGAGUUCAGUAAUAGAGGUACUUUUCUACAUGUUAAGGCCCUGUUUAUCAACUAAAAAAAAUGUCCAAUUACCACCAAGAGGAGGAUGCUGAUUACAUGGACGAUGUGGAUGAUGAAAUGGAUGAUGUGGUUGACGAUGAUAUAGAUGACGAGUUUCGCGGGGAUGAUAUGGUUGCAUCGGAUUCCGAUGUCGACGAGUUUGACUACUCAGUAAGUGUGCCUGUACCUGUAAGAAGUCUAUUAAUGUAAAUUUAUUUGUGCCAUUCUUGAAUGCUUUAUGUGAAUUGUAUAGCUAAUAAUAAUAUCGGUUCAUAAUUAGGAAUUCAGUUUUUUUCGAUGUUGUUGCAAUCGCUUACUCUACUGUGUGGACUCUUUGGUUUCAGAAUAAUAAAAUAGCUGACACUUCAGCUGAUCAAGCCCGGAAAGGGAAAGACAUUCAGGGGAUUCCUUGGGACAGGCUUAGUAUUACACGUGAGAAAUACAGACAAACUAGACUAGAACAGUACAAAAACUACGAAAAUGUUCCCAAUUCUGGGGAAUCCUCGGGGAAAGUAAGUCUUUCAUUCUCUGACCCUUAAGCCUUUGUCGACUUGUUUUACUAGUAUUAGUUUACAUAUCAUUCAUUCAUUUGUUUAAUGACCUCAGGAUUGCAUGGUCACGCAGAAAGGGGCCAUUUUUUAUGAUUUCUGGCGGAAUUCAAGAUCUAUCAAAUCAAGUAUUCUUCAUUUCCAGGUUACCAUCGAAGCAUAGCUAUUUUUGUUAUUCAAAGUUCUUUUUGGUAGCUCAGUCGGUAUGCCAUGUGUUUGGUUUAUAGGAUGUACAAAUUGCUACAACUGUCCACAAAAGUUGAAAGAAAUUGAUUCGUAGAACGUUUGCUGUGCUAAAAAGCAUGUACGUGGACUUCUAAUAAAAAGUCGUUUUCUUUGGUUUGUAGUUGAGGAAUUUGGUUUGGGCAACUUCUAAGCACGAUGUCUACCUUAUGUCACAAUUUUUGGUGAGCCACUAUUCUACUUUGACAUCUGGAAAGCAUGAAGUUCUCAAUGUUCAAGGUCAUGUUUCCCCAUCCGAGGUUAGUUUCUUCUGGAAUCGUGAAAGAUUCUUGUAAAUCUACAUCAGUUAAUGAUGAUUUUUUCUUUCUUUUCUUGUGUGGGUGCAGAAACACCCUGGAAGCUUGUUGGAGGGAUUUACGAAGACUCAAGUGAGUACACUUGCAGUGAGAGAUAAAUUUCUAGUUGCUGGCGGAUUUCAAGGAGAACUUAUCUGCAAGGUAAGCUCUAGAGUUUUACGAAUCAUGCAUUUCACAUACAUGCAAUCUGAUCAAGGAACUUCAUCUGUUUCCCCAUUGAUUUGAUUCAGCACCUUGAUAGACCUGGUGUGAGCUUUUGUUCACGUACAACUUAUGAUGAUAAUGCUAUCACCAAUGCAAUUGAGAUUUAUAACAAACCCAGGUAUUUACUUGUCUUUUGGUCGAUGUAGUUUUUGCCAACUUGGGCAAUUUACAGCUUCUAACUUGCCUUUUGGCGUCUGCCUGGCUUCAGUGGAGCGCUUCAUUUUACCGCAUCAAAUAAUGAUUGUGGAGUCAGAGAUUUUGAUAUGGAGAGAUAUCAGCUUGUACACUAUUUUCGCUUUCCUUGGCCAGUGAAUGUAAGUUCCUUACUUGUUUCUUGAUUCAUUGUUUCUGCUUUGUCAUAAGUCGAUCAGUCACACUUGGGACAGUAAGUUUAAGUCAUAACUACGGUAUGGAAUCUGACAUCUUUUACAUCAUGAAUCAUUUAACUAAAAAAUGGAUCAUUUUUUAUUCUUGUCAGCACACAUCUCUGAGUCCUGAUGGUAAAUUAUUGACGAUUGUGGGAGACAACCCGGAGGGCCUUCUCGUAGACCCCAACACGGGAAAGGUGCAGAUACUAUCAUCUCUAUGUUCAAUUACUAUGAAAUAAAUACGCUCUUUCUUUCUAACUCAAUUGGAUCAUUUCCGACAGACACUGGGAACGCUAGCAGGACACUUGGACUUUUCCUUUGCAUCGGCAUGGCACCCAGAUGGGGUCACAUUCUCCACAGGUAACCAAGACAAGACAUGCCGGGUUUGGGACAUACGUAACCUGUCUAAAUCUGUUGCUGUCUUGAGGGGUAACCUCGGGGCAAUCAGAUCCAUCCGCUACACAUCUGAUGGGAGAUACAUGGCCAUGGCUGAGCCGGCAGACUUUGUGCAUGUCUAUGACGUCUCAAAAGAGUAUGAAACAGAGCAAGAGAUCGAUUUCUUUGGGGAGAUCUCGGGAAUAUCCUUUAGCCCUGACACAGAAGCGCUCUUCAUCGGUGUUUGGGACCGCACUUACGGUAGUCUCCUUGAGUAUGGUCGGCGCCGUAACUACUCCUACCUUGAUUCAUUUCUUUAAUCAUUCACUCACAAUAAUAAAAGAGCGUUCCUCACUCUCCCGUGGCUGGCUUUGUUCAACCGAGAAACCCGACCAAGAGAAAACGUUAAAAAGUGUAUAACUGAAUCUCUCUAAUGGUGUAAAUGAUGUGUUGUGCAAUUACUAGUUAAGGGCCAUGGCUAUGGGUAUAGAAAAGAAACAUUUGCCUGAGCCCAUUUUUUAAUAAAAUUUUGAAGACUCCAUUUGAUUAAUUGCUAAUUUUUAAAAUUUUCAAUUGAGUUUUGUUUACAUUAGCAACUAAUUAAAAAGAUUAAUUUAAGUGGAGUGAAUAGAAAUUAGGCGCAUUUGUUUUUGCAAAUCUUGUCCCAUGGCAAGUCUGAGCGUUUGCAUCUAUAUCAAUUAGAUAUGGAUUAAAACUAACAAAAGAGAAAGUAAGGCGUUGAAAGAAAAACCGUGUAAACUACGAGGGCUUCAACAAAAACUAUAUGACUGAAAAAUCUCAUAAUCCAGAAAGAACCAACGAGAUAAUGCCACAUCAUCAACCCGAAAUCGUAUCCUCACAAACAAAAUCCUGUUUCGUCUCCUGAUGACCCAGAGAAGCCAAAACCGAUCCCUAAGAUCAUAAAUCCAAAACCACUCAUUUCUAAUUUGCACUCCAAAAGAAGAAGAAGAAGAAGAAGAAGAAACAAUGGCGACAAGUGCAUCUGCUUUGCUCUCUCCUUCAACAUUCUCCACUGCAAUCUCCCAGAAAAACCCAAACUCCAUCUCAUUCCAUGGCCUCCGUCCUCUCCGCCUCGGUGGCUCCUCCUCCGCCUUACCCAAGCUCUCCACCACCACCGCCGGAAGAAAAUCCUCCUCCGCCGUCGUGAGAGCCGAGCUAAGCCCAUCCGUCGUUAUAAGCCUCAGCACGGGUCUCUCCCUCUUCCUCGGCCGAUUCGUUUUCUUCAACUUCCAGAGAGAGAAUGUGGCCAAACAGGGCUUGCCGGAGCAGAACGGUAAAACCCACUUCGAAGCCGGCGAUGAUCGUGCCAAGGAAUACGUCAGCCUCUUGAAAUCCAACGACCCGAUUGGAUUCAACAUCGUCGAUGUUCUUGCUUGGGGCUCUAUUGGCCACAUCGUUGCUUACUACAUCUUGGCCACUUCUAGCAAUGGCUACGAUCCCAGCUUCUUUGGCUGAUAUUCAUUAUUCUCCAAUCUCUGUCUCCUAUAUGAAUGUAUAUCUUUGACUUGUAUCGCAAGCUAUCUAAUAUAUUCUCUAUCUUUGUUUCUU